rnacentral:lncRNA from 1 species
GUUAAACAAACAGAGAUAAAUCUUGGUGAAACUAGAAGUAAUACAACCUGUUCUGUGGAGAUAAAAGAAAGGGCAGCAGUACUGGUGGCUGCAGAAAUUGAGGCAUGUAGAGACGAUAGAACCCCCAAGAUACCUCUUCAUGAGAAAGUCCAGAAAGAGUGGGCUUGUGCUGUAUGCCAGUUCACAACCCAAACUGAAGCGACCUUCAAUUCCCACCUUCAAGGGAAGAGACAUCAGGCCAUUUCUGAGCAGCUGAGAGCCAAAAACCAGGCAACCAAAACCAAUUGUUCCCCAUCUGCUUCAAUGGCCAAGAAAUCUGAUCAGUCCACCAAAGAGGAGCAACCAAAGUGUACUUCCAACAAUCUGAAUUCCAAAAACAAUGGAAUCUCAGCUGCUUCAACAGUGAAGAAACUUGAUGAGACCAAAGAUGAUGAGCAACAAAAGUCUGCAUCUAGCAAUGGACCAAACCAGAAGAAUAACAAAAAGCAAGAGGUACAGACCAAUGAGCAAGGCCAUCAGAAGAACUCAAGGCAAACUGGUGAUGGAAUGAAAGAGUUGAGAUCAUGGUGCAAUAUCUGUAAUGUAAGCUGCACAAGGGAGCUUGACCUGGCCUCUCAUCUCAAUGGAAGGAGGCACUUUGAUAGGAUAAAGCAGCUGUCUGAAUUAUGGUGCAGUAACUGCAAUGUAAGGUGCAACAGUGAGGUUGAUAUGGCCUCUCACCGAAAUGGGAGGAGGCACUUGGAGCAGCUGAAGGAACAGUUAGGAUUAUGGUGCAGUAUCUGUAGUGUGAGUUGCAACAGCAAGGUGGACAUGGAUUCUCACCUAAAUGGGAAGAGUCACUCGGAUCAGAUCAAGGACCAGUUAAGAUUAUGGUGUGGGGCAUGUAAUGUAACCUGCAAGAGUGAGCGCAACAUGGCCUUUCAUCUGAAUGGGAGGAAGCACUUAGAGAAGAAGGGGAAUACCUGAUUUGCUCUUCAGAUUAUUGAUACUUACAAAUGGUUUUAGUUAGAAGCAUACAGACCAGUGGGUGGUGCUCACAGAUGCCUCUAUUUUGUUGUAUGAAGUAAAAACAGUAUUUCCAUGUCCAGAAAUCAACCACUUGUUUAGUGCAUGCAUGGCUGGUUCAAAAUUAAACCUAAUUGUGAAUGACUAGGAGCAGGGAGGGAAAAAUUGAAGUGAAGAAUGUAAGAUUAUGGCUUCAUUUUUAUUUUUUCCUCUUCUGAAAAUUGUAAGAUUGUGUUAGGAGGAGCUGGAAUGGGUUCAAAUCAGGAAUUAAGACCCAGUUCCAAGACAUGGAAAGUGUCUUUAGAUUAUGUUAAGUUAUUUCCAUUUUUUUUUCUUUAUUUACGGUAAGAGGGAGCAUAAGGAACGAAAAUGAAUAUUUUUUUUUUUUCGAAUAAAAAUGAAUUUGAUAAUUUCAAUUAUUGUGUUUGGAUGUAUUUCGGAAUGUAAGAUUAAAAUAAUUAUUUGUUUUCAUUUUAGUGUUUGAUAAUAAUGAAAGUAUGAAUUAAAAAAUAAAUUGAUAAUAAUAUUCUUAUAUUUAAUUUAAAAUAUAUAUAUAUUUUUUAUUUUAGAAGAAUAUGGGUUAAAAGUUUUUUUUUUUUUUUAAAUAAUAAGCUUAAGAAAAAUAAUUUUUACUCAAUAAAUAAAAUUAAUCAUACAAAGUCAUAAAAACCAAACCAAAAUAUAAGGGUAAAAUAAUAAUUUUAAACUAUUCAUUUAAGUUAUCCAAAUGCAUUCCGACUCUUCAUUCUCUUAUACCAAAUACCGUCUUUAAGUAUUUGUCAAACUUAUUUUUUUGCAAAAUAUCAAUAUUUUACUAAUAUUUUUAUCGAUUAUUUGCCGAUAUUUAUCGCCACGUCACCAAUUCUUUGAGUUUGACUUUCAAAAUUUUGAAAUGAUCUUUGAAGUCCAGUUCAGCCCAAAUCACUACACCCAUGAACUCAUCUACAAAAGGGAACGGCUGGGCCACCACACUAAUAUGGCCCAUACAUGGGACCUCGUAAAAGAAUACCCAUCUUCAAAAAUAGGGACCAUAUUAAAUUAUUAAUGUAGCUAUAGGAAGCAUUUGAGGACAAGGGUUAUGAUUUUUCCCUUUUCUUUUUCUCCUUAAUUUUCACAUCACCCAACAACACCACUCUUAAUUCACACAAAUUUGAAGGUUUGGAAUGAGACUUCUUCAUAAUUAUAUUGUAAUUAUGUUAUAAUAACCAUGUCGUUUUUGGAUUUAUUUAUUCAGUCCAUCUAAAUCUUUUGUUUAUUCGCGUCAAAACAAUAUAUUUAUAAUCGAAUCCAUUUAUGACAUGUUCAUCUUUUAUAAAUUCAUUAAUUUUAUAUAUUUAAAAUUUAUAAAAGUUAAAUAUAUUUUUUCAAUUAUGAAUAUCAUAUUACUAAAAUAUUAAAUAACUAAUUAACUUGAAAUGUUUUAUAUUUCAUUAAUUAUUUUAUAAUUACAAAAUUAAGUGAAAUAAUAAAUAGGUUAAAAUAUAUAUUUUAUUUUAGUUAAAAAUUAUAAAUUGUUAUUGAGACACAUAACUACUAAAAUUCUACCCAUUUGACUAUCAAACAAACAACUUAAGUUUUUAGUCAUAAUUUAAGCUUAUGAUAAACUCUAUUUACAAAAAUUAGAAACCAAAAUCAAAUUCUUCCUAGACUCAAAAAUAUAAAGACAAUCUUUUAACUUUAGAAGAGAACUAUCAUCUAAGAUAAGGGUAACACAUCCCAUUGCCUGUACAACAAUUCUUGCUUCAAAAGCUAAUGUUAGGUACAUAUCCCUAUCAUUCAACCUUUCCCUUAGCUAAAACCCCUAUAAAGAAUUAUAAACAUGAUCAAUGGCUCCAAAAUUUAUCCACCAAGAGUUAGUGGAAUCUAAUACUAAACAUGAUUCAACUAAAAGAGAAUGAUGCAUACCUGACUGUCUCUUUAAGAACUAAGGGCAUUCCUUUUUCUAAUGGCCUUUUUUACCACAAAGGAAACAUUUGUCAUGACCCUUACUCUUCUUCUUCUUCUCUUGCCCUUGAACUUUCCCUUCUGUUUGGUGAAUUCUAUAAUGUUCUUAUUUUGGUUAGAAGAACCUAAAGAACACUUAACUGCCAUAUAAAUACCUCUCUGAUCCUUGAGAAUUCCCUCAAUCAUUUUGUGUUCUCUCAUCAGUUCGGUUAUAGUUUAAGAAAAAAAUUGUUUUUUUUAUGUGACUAAACUUGGAAUGAAUGUCCAAGUUGCAUACAUACUCGGGUUGAGAUCAAGUCAUAAUGUAGUUUAAGAAAAAUAUUUUUUAUUUUUUAUUUUUAUUUUUUAUCUGAUUGAACUUGGAAUGAAUUUCUAAGCUACUUACGUAUCCAGGAUGGGAUCAAGUUCUAACAUAGUCACAAUGCAGUUCAAGAAUUAUUUUUUUUUCUUUUUUUGUGCUCCAACUUUUGCCAAGACUAAAGAUCUUAAUUUUGCGAGCAUGUCCUAACUUUUGCCUAGGUCGCCUUUCCAAGUUUUCAAUUUAGCAAACUAGGUUUUUUUUUUUCUUUUUAGUUCUCUAACUUUUGCCAAGACUAAAGAUUUUAAUCUUGUAAGCAUGUCAUAACUUUUACAUAAGUCGAAUUUUUAGGUUUUCAUAGUGCUGGAUUUUUUUUUUGUUUUUUGUUUUUUUUUUGUGUCGUAGUCAAUUUAAGCUCAUAUGGGUUGGAAGCGAUGUGUAGUUUGUUGGGAUUGAGCCCUUAAAAGCAAGACAUGAUGUAAUAAAGUUAAACUUAACUAUCCCCUUACUAUCCUUUUGGUGUAUCAACAUUGAUUUAAACAUUCAACCCAUAUCUCUUACAUUGUAUAUGAUUUAGAAGCAUUAGGAGUUGUACAGAAGAUACAAGUUAUGUGUUCUUUGUAAGUAGGUGAGUUAUCCAUAGUCAUUUCAUGGAUUUGGGCAAUCUAGUAGAGACUAUAGUGCACCACCUCCUAAUUGAAGGGAUGACUUGUCUUGGCCGUUGGGAUGAGUUUCCUAUGGUGAGCGUACUAGUGUAUAUGAUGCACAUUGGAUAGGACCUAUGACAAAUCAUGAUGCAAGGCUAUCAAUUGUCAUGAUUCACCAAGUUACUAUACUACAUGGACUCUCAACCUUGAGAGGACAUUGAACCUGUGUCAAAAUCAAUAGAAAGUUUUGACCUAUGGGCGAGACCCUAAAGUAGUCAUAUAUCCUUAUGAAUUAGGUCAUUGUUGAUGGAGGCUAGUGAUAAUAGGCAUUCUCAAUAGAGGCACCAUGAUAUGUCAUGCGAUUGAGAUGGUGUGUCCCUUUGGGUGAUCCAAGGAACAUGUGAUCAUGAAAUUUGUGGCCACAGUAAUUCCUUUAGUGGAAUUUGACAUAUGCUCAAGGAUUUGAGAGAUAAUAUUGAUAGGUGAUAACACUAUCUUGUUAGAUUAUAGACACCAGUUUCAUGGGGAAUCUGCAUGUAGUGGAUAGUAGGUCAUGAAUGCGAGCUUUGUCUCGUUGUUAUUUACAUAAGGUACUGGAGUGUAGUUGAUUCUCUUUAGUAGAAUGUUAAAUCAACUUCAAAAUUGGAUUAUGAGGGAGCCAGUACUCCUAUGGGUCUCAAUGGUCCCCACUCUAAGCUUAUAUACCAUGAUGACAUAAUUUAUGAGGGUUGGAUUGGCUUUAGGUUCAUUCUUAUGCAUAAGGGCAUUUUGGUAAUUACUCAAGGUUGCAUAGGGGAUAAUAAAUAAGGUCUCUAGAUUGGACUAAUUGAUUAAUUAGAUGGCCUUAUGUGGUUAAUUAAUCAAUUAAGACAUGUUAGGGCUAGAUUAAGUGACUCAAGCCUUGAUGGGUUCAAGUCACUUAAGCCUAGUGGGUAACCGUAUAAAUACCCCCUUAUGGGUUAGGGUUUUCUAAUGACUUUUAGUUAGUCAUCUUCCACUUUUAGAAAAAUAGAGAGAGUCAAAGCUUCCUCCUUUCCACUGCCCACACUUUGGAAUGCCAAGAUCGUGGAUCGAGUCAUCGAACGAAAGAUCUUGGGUGUAUGAGACCUUCGAACUCUUUAGGCUUCUUCUUCGUUGGAUGGAUUUUGAUCUAGGAACAUCUAGAUCACAUGUAUGUGUUAUAAAAUUUGGUUAAUUCAACCUAAGGUAAUCAUCCUAGAGAAGGGGCGAAUAGGGUGAUGAUCUUUUUUUGAAAAUUUAAAUUAUGUGAAUGCAAGAGACAAUUAUAUGCAAAAUAUAUAGCAAAACCAUAUAAAAACAAUUGCAUAUAAAGUAAAAGGGUAAGGAAGAGAGAAAAUAAACACAAGAUUUUUAUAGCGAUUCAGUGCAACCCGACCUUCAUCCAUUCUCCUCUAGCUUCAAUCCCAAACUUGAGGUUCCACUAAUUUAAGGCUUCCAACCCAAGCCUUCAAGCAAUACAAUCGGAUUAUGGUUCCAAUCAAACCUCUUGAAAUUUUAGUUCUAAGCACAUUUUACAAUCUUCAAGAGAUACCUCACUCUUAAACAACUCCUUAAGUGAUACCCCACACUUGAGAAUCCCUAAGUGAUACCUCACACUUAGAUUUUUCAUCUCAAAGAUUUAUAAAUGAAGAUAGGAAAUUGUUAGCCCAAGGGCUCUCCUAAUCGGGUUUUGAUGAUAAAAAAUCAUGGUUAAAUGACUAAUUGGUUUAAUGGUUAAGAAUCUCAGGCAUAAACUUGAAAAUUCAUCAAAAGACCAAAUGGAUACAAGAUCGAGACGUUUGGAAGACUUGUGAUCAUAGGAAACUAAUGUAAGAUGAAUGCAUGAGUACACUUAGGAUUUUCAUACCGUUUCAUGCAAUUUAGAAAACUCGGUUUAUUCUUUAAAACUUCAAUUUCAUUAAAACUUGAGUUUUAACAAAUGUACCUUAGGCAAAAUGUUUUAAAAUUGGCAUAAUAAUUCACCUAAAAACCUUGCUUAAGUGUUAGAAAAGAAAGGAAUUGAAAAAUAUAGGUUUUCGGGGCCAAAAGGCUCAACCGAUCGAGGCUAUGACCAACCUGCUCAACCGGUUGGGGAAUCGGUCGACCGGUUGCCCCUGUCCGGUCGAGGUUCGAUAGAGGGAUGCACAAAAUUUUCUUUCUCUCCCAGUAGCCUUCUCUUCUCGGUCGAGGUCUGGUUGAGGACCGAUCAAGGUUCGAUCGAGGCAACGGUAACCUGUCAAGCAUUAAAUGUUCCAACGGCUAGUGAACCGGUCAACCCCUAGCUCGACCAGUUGAGGUUACCUUUUGCUGUUUUUGGCUCCCGAGCUUAGAAACCUAUAAAUUGAGAGCUCCACUUUAUUUAUUGACGAGAGAACACUUGCAAUCAAUUGUCUACCUACCUGUUCUUGAUCAAAAAACUCUCAUUUCUUUCUUUGUGCAUUAAAUCAUCACUUGCAUAUCCUUUAGUGCACUCUUAUGUGUCAUCCUAGCUUUGUCUUAUAUUUGAGCUAUCCUUAAGCUAGGUUGAGGGAUUCAUUCUUGUAAAAACUGAGUGUCAAAGCCUUCAAGAGGUUUAAAUCUUGAAGAGAUUGUGUAAGAGCCCAUUGGAGCCAGAAUCCAAGUGUAAGAAGAUUGGAAGCUUGGUUGAAGCUUCAAGUUAGUGGAACCCUCACUCGGUUAAAAGAUUGAGGAGAGUGGAUGUAGGGAAGGAAGUGUCGAACCACUAUAAAACCCAAGUUUGAAUUCUCUAACUCUAUCUCUUUAUUUUGCUUAUAUUGUGCUUGAACUCGUUGUGAUUGAAAAGAAUUUAAAAAACCCAAUUCAUCUCCCUCCCCCCUUUUAGGUGUUUUUCUUAAUUAAGCAUAGCAUUUAUUUUCUCAAUUGGUAUCAGAACUAGACCUCUUGUUUUUUUUUUUUUUUUAAAAAAAAAAAUUAAUCGUCUAAGAGGAUAUGACUAUUGCAUCAAGCUCAUCUCAAGCUAAAAUUUUUUCAAAACAUAGAGCUUCAUUCUUUACGGGAUCCGACUAUCCCUAUUGGAAAACUAGAAUGACUUGGUACUUACAAUCUACUGAUUUAGAUGUAUGAGACGUCAUUGAAGAUGGCCUAACUUUUCCCACUAAACUAGUUGAUGGAGUUUUGGUUCCAAAACCCAAGCAAGAAUGGAAUGAGCUUGAUAGAAAAAACUUUCAAUUAAAUGCUAAAGUCGUUUUUACUUUGCAAUGUGCUAUGGAUAGAAAUGAAUAUAAUAGAAUAUGUCAAUGCAAAUCGGCUAAAGAAAUUUAGAGGUUGCUUGAAAUAACUCAUGAAGGAACUAAUCAAGUGAAAGAGUCAAAAAUUAAUUUACUUGUUCAUAACUAUGAAUUGUUUUCAAUGAAAAAAAAUGAUACUAUUGUUGAGAUGAUUACUAGGUUCACCGACAUUGUCAAUGGUCUUGAAGCUUUGGGAAAAACCUACAAGGAAUCCGAGAAGGUGAUGAAGAUAUUGAGGUCUUUCCCAUCAAAGUGGCAUACCAAGGUCACUGCAAUUCAAGGAGCAAAAGACUUGACUAAGCUACCUAUGGAAGAGCUCAUAGGGUCAUUAAUGACAUAUGAGAUCAAUUUGACAAAGAAGCUACAAGAGGGUAAAGACAAAAAGAAGAAGAACAUAACCCUCAAAGCUAUAACCAAGGAAGAAGAAGAUGUUGAAGAAGAAAAACCAAGUGAUGAAGAUGAUGAUUUAGCCCUCAUCACAAGAAAGCUCAACAAAUACAUGAGAGGUGAAAGGUUUAGAGGAAGAAAGUUCACCUCUAGAAGAGAUCCUUCUAAAAAGGAAUCUUCAUCCCAUGGUGACAAGGAGAAAUGAGAAGAUAAAAGAGAUUUGAUAUGCUUCAAAUGCAAAAAACUGGGACACAUUAAAUAUGAUUGUCCACUCUACAAGAGUGAAGCCAAGAGAAGAAUGAAGAAGGCAAUGAUGGCCACUUGGAGCGAAAGUGAAGAAUCCUCCGAAGAAAAAAAGGAGAAGGAAGUAACAAACAUGUGCUUCAUGGCAAUAGAUGAUCUUGAUGAGGUAAACUCUAACUUUAGUGAUGAAGAUAUGUAUGAUGUUUUUGAAGAAUUAUAUGAGGAUUUUGAAAAACUUAGUUUGAAAAAUAAUUCUCUUAAAAAUAAAAUUCAAGAACUUGAAAAAGAACUUGAAGAAGUAAAAGAAAAAGUUUCAAUUGUUGAAAUAUCUAAAACUCAUCUUGAAAAAGAAAAUAAGAUUUUGAGAAGUGAAAAUGAGAUUUUGAAAAAGAAAAAUGAAUGGUUGACCUCCUCUCUUUCAAUUUUCUCUUGUGGAAAAAAAUAUUUUGAAAUGAUCUUAGUUAGCCAAAAAUGUAUUUUUGACAAACAAGGGUUAGGAUUCAAAUCUUCAAAAAAUCAAAAGUAUUUUAAAAACUACUUUGUAAAAGAAUCCGCAAGUGUAAGUCAUUCUACCACUUGCAACUUUUGUAGAAGAGGAGGAGACAUUAGUAGUACAUGUCUCUUAAGAAAUGGUUCUCAAAAGAAUUCAAAUGCUAAAGCUAAAAAGGUUUGGGUUGAGAAAUCCAAAGUCACUAACCCUCAAGGACCCAAAAAGAUAUUGGUACCUAAAUCAACUUAAAUUUUAUUUUGUAGGGUUCAAAGAAGGAUAAGUGGUUCUUGGAUAGUGGAUGCUCAAGACACAUGACCGGGGAUGAAUCCAAGUUUGUUUUCCUUACAAAGAGAAAGGGAGGAUAGGUUACCUUUGGAGACAAUGCAAAAGGAAGGAUCAUUGGUCAAGGCAACAUUGGUAAUGACACAUCCUCUCUUAUUGAAAGUGUUUUAUUAGUGGAUGGUUUAAAACAUAAUCUUUUGAACAUAAUUUAACUUUGUGACAAAGGUUUUAAAGUGAUUUUUGAAGCAUUUCAUUGCAUUAUCAAAGAUAUUCAAAAUGAUAAAACCAUCUUCAUGGGCCAUAGAUGUGAUAAUUUUUAUGCUAUAAAUAUUUCAAAUAUGAUGGCCAUGGUAAAUGUUUUUCAAGCAUGCAUGAUCAAAGUUGGUUGUAGCAUAGGAGGUUGGGACAUGCUAACAUGGACCUCAUUUCCCAACUCAACAAAGAAGCACUUGUUAGAGGCCUUCCCAAAAGAAAUUUUCAAAAAGACAAAGUUUGUGAAGCUUGUCAAAUGAGAAAGCAAAUCAAAAACUCUUUUAAAAACAAAAAUUUCAUUUCAAUAACUAGGCCUGCAUAUGGAUUUAUUUGGUCCCUCUAGGACACCAAACCUUGGAGGAAAAUCUUAUGCAUUUGUUAUUGUGGAUGACUUCUCUAGAUACACUUGGGUCUUAUUUUUAAGUCAAAAGAAUGAAGUCUUUUUUGAGUUUUCAAAGUUUUGCAACAAGGUUCAAAAUGAAAAAGGUUUUACAAUUUCUUGUAUAAGAAGUGAUCAUGGAGGAGAGUUUGAAAAUAUUGAUUUUGAAGACUAUUGCAAUGAGCAUGGUAUUAACCACAAAUUUUUGGCUCCUAGAACUCCUCAACAAAAUGGGGUAGUUGAAAGGAAAAAUAGAACUCUUCAAGAAAUGGCUAGAACCAUGCUAAAUGAAAACAAUUUACCAAAAUACUUUUGGGCCGAAGCAAUUAACACUUCUUGUUAUGUUUUAAAUAGAAUUUUAUUGAGGCCUAUUCUUAAAAAAACUCCCUAUAAGCUUCGGAAAAACAAGAAACCCAACAUUAGCUAUUUCAAAGUCUUUGGGUGCAAAUGCUUUAUAUUAAAAACCAAAGACAAUCUUGAAAAUUUUGAUGCAAAAUCGGAUGUUGGAAUUUUUCUUGGUUACUCAACUUUAAGUAAAGCCUUUAGAGUUUUUAACAAAAGAACCAUGGUUGUUGAGGAGUCCAUCCAUGUUAUUUUUUAUGAAUCUGACAAUUCUCUCCAAGAAAGAGAGAGCUUUGAUGAUGAUUUAGGCUUGGAGACCUCCAUGGGAAAAUUACAAAUUGAAGAUAGAAGGCAACAAGAAGAAGUUGUAGAGGAUCCCAAGAAAGAAGAAUCACCUUUGGCACUACCUCCUCCUCAACAAGUGCAAAGUGAAUCAAGCUAAAACCUUCCUAAAGAUUAGAAGUUUGUCAUCAACCACCCACAAAAUCAAAUUAUAGGUAAUCCAUCUAGUGGGGUAAGAACUAGAUCAUCUCUUAGAAACAUUUGCAAUAAUCUUGCUUUUAUCUCUCAAAUUGAACCUAAAAAUAUAAAUGAUACUCUAGUUGACGAAAAUUGGAUGAUUGCUAUGCAAGAAGAGUUAAAUCAAUUUGAAAGAAGUGAAGUAUGGGAAUUAGUGCCAAGACCUCAAAAUCAAAGUGUUAUUGGAACUAGAUGGGUCUUUAGAAAUAAAAUGGAUGAAAAUGGCAUAAUUAUAAGGAAUAAAGUAAGAUUGGUAGCCCAAGGUUUUAAUCAAGAAGAAGGGAUAGAUUAUGAAGAAACCUUUGCUCUCGUAGCUAGAUUGGAAGCCAUUAGGAUGCUACUUGCCUUUGCACGUUUUAAAGACUUUCUUUUAUAUCAAAUGGAUGUGAAAAGUGCUUUCUUAAAUGGCUUUAUAAAUGAAGAGGUAUAUGUUGAACAACCACCCGGUUUUCAAAGUUUUAACUUUCCUAAUCAUGUUUUUAAACUUAAAAAUGCACUUUAUGGUUUGAAACAAGCACUUAGAGCAUGGUAUGAAAGAUUGAGUAAAUUUCUUUUGAAAAAGGGUUUUAAAAUGGGAAAAAUUGACACAACUCUUUUCAUAAAAAUAAAGAAAAUGACAUGCUCUUAGUGCAAAUAUAUGUUGAUGAUAUCAUUUUUGGAGCUACUAAUGUCUCUCUUUGUGAAGAAUUUUCUAAAUGCAUGCAUAGUGAGUUCGAAAUGAGCAUGAUGAGAAAACUUAACUUCUUCCUUGGACUUCAAAUCAAGCAACUAAAGGAAGGAACCUUCAUCAAUCAAGCAAAGUAUAUAAGAGAUCUCCUCAAAAGGUUCAAUAUGGAGGAAGCGAAAACAAUGAAGACUCCAAUGAGUUCAUCCAUCAAGCUUGACAAGGAUGAGAAAGGUAAGUCCGUUAACUCAACUAUGUAUAAAGGCAUGAUAGGUUUUUUGCUAUAUUUGACCGCUAGUAGACCUGACAUCAUGUAUAGUGUAUGCUCGUGCGCUAGAUUUCAAUCUUGUCCUAAAGAAUCUCACUUAAGUGCCGUAAAAUGAAUUCUUAGAUAUUUAAAAGAGACAAUGGACAUAGGCCUAUGGUAUCCUAAGAGUGAUAACUUUGAAUUAAUUGGAUUCUUAGAUGCCAACUUUGCCAAUUGUAAAGUUGAAAGGAAAAGCACUAGUGGCACUUGUCAUUUCCUAGGACACUCACUUGUUUCAUGGCAUAGUAAUAAGCAAAAUUCGGUAGCCUUGUCAAAGGCGGAAGCAGAAUACAUAGCAGCUGGUUUAUGUUGUGCACAAAUCCUUUGGAUGAAACAAACACUUAGUGAUUUCAAUUUGAUUUUUGAGCAUGUUCCUAUUAAACGUGAUAACAUUAGUGCCAUAAAUAUUUCAAAAAAUUUGAUGCAACACUCUAGGACUAAGCAUAUAGAGAUUAGACACCAUUUUCUUAGAAAUCAUUUACAAAAAGGUGACAUUACACUUGAAUUUGUAAGCACAAAAGAUCAACUUGCCGAUAUUUUUACAAAACCUCUAAGUGAAGAGCAAUUUUUUUAUAUUAGAAGACAACUAGGGGUGAUUUCUUUAUAAUCAAAUGAUUACUUGAUGAAUUCUUGAUUGAAUAUACCUUAUGAUUGCGUGAAUUUCACAUCAUAUGCAUCAUAUAGAAAUAAUCUUAGGAAAAAGGUCAAAUUUUGACCAAAAAUCAAAAUUCCCUUGGCAUUGGAUAUCAAAAAUUGGGGAUUUCAACUGAAAAGGGCAAGGGAAGGAUCACGAGACAAGCAAAAGCCAAAAAAUUAGAGCGUUGACCAUUGACCAUUGACCAUUGACCAAGCGGUUCGUCGGGGCUGGGAAUUUAAAGAGACCCCCGCGCUUUAUUUUUUUCACUAUUCCCCUCAAUUCCUUGAAAACUCUUCACAUACCUGCUUCCAGAGACCACUUUGGGUUGAAUCUUGGACCAUUUGAAGGGCUUGGAGUUGUUUUUGGGACGUUUUUAAGACUAGGGUUUCAAUCUGAAACCUAAGGUUUCCAUUUUUAGGAGCAAUUCCUCUCAGACCACGUGCAUCAGCCAGGCUCAACUCCUUCUCCUUGCGCUUAGGGCUUCCGGUUGGAUUUCAUUCUCUCUUGUUUGGUUUCAUUCUCUCUUCAAACUUCUUUUUCUUCAUUUUCCGUUCUUUGGAUGGCGCCUAGGAGAGAGACAACUACCUCUAGGGCUCAGGGCAAGCGCCCUGCUGAGCCAUCUCAACCUGAGCAGAUGGAGGCUCACCGAAAGGCGAGGUAUGACACGACCCUCUGUGGACCCGCAUUUUUCACGUGCGUCCCCACUCGAUCGGCGAGACUCGCUUUUUAUUUGUGAAAAAUUGAUCUUUAAAAAAAAAAAAGUUGGAGUCGCCACCUAUUUUAUUUUUAUUUUGAAGGGAAAAUAAAACAAGAAAGAAAAACCCUAAAAAGUGACUCCAUGGUUUUGGAAAAAGCAUGUCUUUGAGAAACCCGAGUCUAAGUCCGGGGAUCAGGUUACUUAUUGGGAAGGUACCUCUAGGAGGUAGCACCCCUCUAAGCCCUAAAAAGGUCUCUACUGACUAAGUUAAGGGAAGCGUGGCAAUUAAAUGGUUGAUCAUGGAUACCUAAGUAGGCUAGGUGAUUCCAAAAACAUAACAUAUCAAACAAGAUCAAAUCACAAUUAAGGAGAGUUAAAAAUGCGUACCUGGACGGCUUCCCAAACGCUAUCAUAAAACAUAAGAGAUUAGUUUGGAGAUACAUCACACAACAUUUGUUUUACUCAAGCAAAUCAGGCAUAUAUCAAGACAUUCAAGAAUCACGUCAAAUAUGGAUAUGGUCAUCAAUGACAUACAAGUCCAUAGAAUUCUCGAAAAAAGGAUGAAAAUGAGCGUACCUGGAUAGCAAGCUAGAGCGCCUUUAUGGGAAACAAGGUUAACCCAAUAACAAAUUCAAGCAUAUCUCCAAGAAGAAUCAAAAUCAAUUGAAUACCAAAAAAUCAUCUUUAAAAUCAAUAUUAGUGAAGAUAUUAGGAAUGUAGGACCCCCCACCAAAGUCCAUAUUACUUUUGCACGAAUUGAUUCAAUGAAUUCCAUUAUUUGGAAUCGUGAAGCUUAUUCAUGCUUGUCAAAAAUCGAGAAAAUCAUAAAAUAGUUGAAGAUGAUGAAAAUGCAUGCCGGAAGGGAAAAUGGCAGCAAAUAGUAUGUUAAAAUUUGGAUUUUAUGCCUAGAGACUUCUCAGGAAUUUUAAAUAAAACUAGAAUUAUUUUUUACGGGAAAAGAUUUUGAAAUCCAGAUUUAAAAUGUGUAAGAUAACAAAAAGAAUAAGGAGAAACAUUAGGAGUAUGGUGUGUGGCAAGGUGACCACUAUAUGAGUGAGGUCUGGAGGUGCACUUGAGACUAAAUGGUUGAAACAGAUUGCAUAGGGAGCAUUCUGUACACCACUAGUUGUCUAGAAAGAAACUGAAUGUGUUCGUUUCCGAGCCCAUGUUCACCGGAGUUUAGGGUGCCACCUCAUUUAAAAAAAAGGGCUUCAAUACAACUCUAGUUUCUCAAGAUCACAAUCUGAAUUAUCAACAGAAGCUUCUGGUGAAGACAUAAUGCUCAAUUUCAGAUUAAAUUUCCUGUUCUAUAACUCGUUUUCUCUGAAUUUUCCUUUAAUGUCUGUGCUUUCUGAUCAUAUAAGUUGCCCGUCUGGUUCCUUGUUUGAGACUCUGCCGAACCUGGAAUAAUGCUUCUAGGUCUAGCUGAGGGGACCUACACCCCUUUUCAUGGAACCUGAGGCAUGCGUUAAUUCGAAACUCUAUUACUUUGCCUUCCAUUGCUUUAAGUCUUUUAGCCAUCUCAGCCACAAAUCUGGAGAUUCAUUUAUCUUUCUUUAAUAUUCAAGCCAAAUGUCAAUCCAGUCCGCUUAAACCCCGAUUUGAAUGAUUUUGAACCCUCUUUUUGCGCUCUUGAUGUUUUUCAUUUCAACUACAAUGACAAACCACCCUUCGAAAAAAGAAGAAAUCUGGACCAAAUCCUAAACUUUUAAUUCACAACUUCUUGAGCCUGACUCUGAGUCGACACAAUUGAAUCACCUUGGAUAAGAGUGCUUCUAAAAAUCCUCCAGAAUGUAGGCACAAGUGCAGCGUUCGUUAAUAAUGUCCAUGGCAUGUCACAAAGGAAAGCUUCUUUUUUUAUAAUCAUCAACGCAAAUUGACUCUUAAUGGACCCCAUUGCCAGCGUCACAUCAAAGACUGGACAGAUAGGGAGAUUCACAAUUUCGAUAGCUAUCUUUGCAUUAUUUGGGCAGGGCAACCAUGUUAUGGAUAUAUAGCUCGAAGGUGACUUGCGUUUUGUUCUGUAUCAUCAGUAGCAGCCUCAAACCCGCCAUAGGUUUGAGUGGUAUUAAAAGACUCAACAUGAUCAGCUGUAGGUGAUCGAGCAGCCAAUUCAUCAUUGAGCAAAUCAAUAAAAGCUUGGAUAUCGUUGCCGAGUGGCCUAAAAUCAUUAGAUAAAUCAUUAAAGUCAUUAAGUAUAUUACUGAUCUCCAUGAAAACCCUCCUCCUUGCUUCUGUAGAGCGAACACAAGCUGCCACUAAAAUUGGUUAGCCCGGAUUGCUAAUUUAUGCAUCCAAUCACCAUCGAUUUCUCUUGUCCUUUUUGGAACUUCUGGAAUAUGGAUGAAACCUGUGAAGAAUGUGGUGGAAUUGCGGUCUGCAAGCACGAAGUUUCCAGUUACUUGAAAUGCUUCGAAAUCAUGGUUCCAGUUUACAUCUACAGGCAUUGGCUCAAGUAAGUUCGUAUCAGCUUGGGUGGCUUUCGAUUCCAAAAGCUCUAACAACAACAUGAUUCUCAAAUAUCCGAACAGCAAUGUCCAAAAUUGAAUCAAGAAAAUUCUUUAGCAGCAGUAUGUGUUGUCCCUGCUGGAGCCAUCACAGGAGCAACUAAGCUAACUGCCAAAAAGGUUCUAGCCAGUGAGAUCCCAUUCUGACGUUUCGGUUUUGGUGACUGAUAGCUUUCUAAUUGUCCCUGCAAAUAAUGUAAACCAAUAGUUCCAUUGAAUGGAUUGUCAUCCAGAGCAAGGAUCCGAAUACUUGUAAGGCCAUCAACGAAAUCAGCGAGGGUGGUGUCGACUUCGUUGUAAUCGAAGAAGGCGAGUUGCAAUUCAGACAAUCUGCGAGAAGAAGGCAAUUUUCCAUUGAAGUGGUUCAUCUGAAACCCCAAAUUGCAGAGCAUUGAAAGCUGGUUGAAGUUUUGAGGGAGAGGUCCCUUUAAUCCCAAUCCCUUAACUUGAAUCUGUGUAACUCUGUCACCACUAUAAAAUACACGAGGCCACAAAUUUGACUCCACCCGUUGGCUCCUUUCCUUCAUUCAUUCGCUUUAACAAGUCACAUUUAAUUCCAAAGAAUAUUAUAUAAUCUUCAAGUAUGUUCAAAUCAGAGGGCUCUAGUCCGUUAACCUUUACACUCUCUAGCAGGUUCUGUUCUUGUCUCUUCCUAUUAUACAGAAGUUCAAGCAAGUUUCAUAAAGCCUGAAUUUCUACACGUAGCCACUACUGGGGUCAGGUUUAUCCAAGUGUGCUGCUCCAACAGAAUUAUCGAUGUGUCAGUUUCUCUAAAAAUCACCUUGUGAAUCAAUCCACAAUACCGAGGCAUCCCAUCAUCAGAACUUCCUAAGCUUUCAGCAAGUAGGCAAGCAUUUAUGCUUGAGUCAACUCUACCGAUGACAACAAACCCAUCCAAAUCAAACUUCAUAGCUGUUUCUUCUUUUCCAUUAAUAUCAACUGGUAUCCUUUCUAAAAGAAUGCUUUUCUUAUGACGACAUGACAGUAAAACCCUUUUGCGAGAAUGGCUCAGAGUUUUGAUCAUCAUCUGAUUCUAUUGUAUUACUGGAAUGAUUGCUUUGGUAAAUGGAAUUCAACAGAAUCCACACAUUCAUGACUCUAAAAUUCAGCUUACUAGCAACCAGAUGGAACACACAUUUUCUGGUUCAGGCAUUCGUUUCUGGUCAGAUUCAUGGUAUCUUAGCGGUGCAACAGACGAUGCAGCAACCUCUUCUAGAGUGCCUUUUAUGAGCCUCAAGAGCAAAGGCCAAUGAUAGAUGAAGCGGUCCCUCUGCACUACUUGGGCUUCUGAUUCAGAAGUUAUCAUGAAGCCAACGAACAAGCAGAGUGAACGCAUUUGCAGUCAACCUUAAAAUUUCUAAUAUUGUCAGCAGGCCUGAUGGUAAAAAAACGAAAGUAGGGGAGCCUUAUUCAAGAGGAUCAUUGCGAACACUGUCACGUGUUAUUGGUGAGCUUGUUGGCAUCUUGUUUUGGGCAGAAUAAUGAGAUCCUUCAGUUAAUUAGAGAUCCAUAUCAACUAAACACCAGAAUCAUGGAUUUCCCAUGCUUUCUACUGGACAACGAUUGUCAGUUCUUUCUCUUGUUCACUUCUACUGGCAGUGGCUUGACUCUCCAACAAAACCCCUGAUGCACCCUGUAGCUCCUCAUUUAAUUCUGGAUUCUUAUCAGCAUCGCUUUCUUCUCCCUUUUGAGACUCUUGGAGUAUGAAAAAGAAAACUUGUGAAGAAUAAGGUGGAAUAUCCCAGCAAUGCAGUAUGGUAGGACCCAUUUGAGGGGGAACCCUGCAUUCAUCACUCUCACCUCCAGUAGCAUUAGAUGCUUGCUGGACCCAAUUCAGCCAGUCUCUGCAUAUUGACUCUCAAUAUAAACGUUUAGAAAUAACAAUGACUUCAUUUCUACUGCCUUGUUUAGACCUUCCUUGAUCAAUGUCUACCUUCAUUUCUCACAAAUUCUGGUUCUACUAUUAAAGUUCUGCCCCCAGUCCGUUUUGCAAAGCAUAAGCUAAUUUUAUAUUUGUAUAAUUCCAUCUUAACACACAAGUCCGUCGUAGCCUUUCCUGAGAAGUUAGAGAAGUUGCUUUUCUGAUAUAAAAAAGCCUUUCAGAACCAUGCUGAAGCUCUGAAUGUUGAUAGUUUUCCAUUGCAACUGAUAUGAGCUCCUCAUCGGUAGUGUCACAAGAAUGAUUCCAUGAGAAGUUUCUUGUUGCAUCACCUUUUUUAUGUAUUCCAACCCCAACUGUUGAGUUUCUUGAAAUUGAAACUACGGAACUUAGUUAUUUUGAAUUGUUUGCAUCUGUAGUGAUAAAUCACUGGAAGAGACAAUCAUAAUUUAGGCACUUGAUUUCCGUUUCGGUCGAACUAACAGCUUCGUAACUGUUAAUCUCAAGGUCAGAUUCAUGCUCUUGUUUCUCAAUUUCCUCUUCCCAUGAGAAUUUUUUUCAUAACAAUCGAAUGAAUUCUUAUAACUCCCAAAAGUUUCUAGCUUUUGCUGAUCAUGGAGGUGCCUCACAAUACUUGUCAUUAUACUCACUUUGGAAUUUUUCUGGUCCAUGUUCACUUUGAAUGAAUGUAUCCCUAAAGGGGGUAUUCAAUGACUGCCCAUAAUGAGUUACAAGUUCCCCAAAAUAGAAUAUAAUGAUCGUCGGCCUUACAGUACUGCUGUUUUAAAAUUUUCUGCUCGCUGAACAGUCAUAGUUCAAACCAUCAAUAUCAAAAGGCUUUCCCAGGCACUCAUCUUCAGAACCAUAAGGCCAGCAAGUCUGCAACCGUUUGAGUUGGGUAAAAAAGAAAGUCCUAAGCAGUGGAAGUGCACAGCAUGAUGCUGUCAAGUUUCAAUAACUUAAAUAUUGGCCAACUUAAGCCAGACCAUAUUCCUCAAAAAUCCAUUCUUCCUCUGCUCAUGUAAACUUGUAAUGCUGUCAGAAAUCCUGUCUUCAGAAUAGCAACCCUGACAAUUGAGUAUGGAAAGCAGAAUACCCAUGUGCUUCCAACUAAGCUUUUUACAACCAUCCUCAUAAACUGAGGCGUGCCAUUCUAAAGAAAAGGCAGAGUCUUUUAGAAAUCACAAUACUUCUGAAGCAGCUUGAAUUAGCAUAUUGCAGUAAUUGGAAGUCGGAUUGACUGAAACAGGGGCUCGAACGCAUCCAUCUGUAAAUCUUACAGACCGACCACCCUCAGAGAAAAGGUCUCCAAAAAAAAGGCUUCAGCUUCAUGACAAACAGCAUUCUCUGUUUCAGAGUUGCAACUGCCCCUGUUAUACUACUCCUGUGCACUUCAGCAUUUAUUCUUUAGUUAUACCGUCCCUUUAGAUAGCAUCUAUCCCACACCGUGAAGCAAGCAAGGUUCACUAUAAUAGGAUCUAGUAGCAGCAACAAACGGGUGAUCCUGGAGAUAUUUUAAACUCAACUUCAUCAACAUCUUCAGCGUGCACUUCUGUUGGAACACAAGCGAUAGUAGCAGUGAAAAAAAAAGUGUUGUACUGAUCCCGUUAGGAUUGCAGCCCAGAAUACCACGAACAGAGAGCCCCAAAAAUUGAAGCAACUCUGCAUCCAACUAAAUCACAUCUAGAACCCGGUUUAACGACUUUCUUGUCUUGAAGAGGAAAUACCCAAUCUGACUCAACAAUCUGUUAUCAUGUGCCAAACCCCACAAACAGCCCACAUUCUACGCAGCCUUUAUAAAGUCUCUACCUUUCAUGAAAUACUCAUGCCAUCAUUGUCUCCAUAGCCCAGAACACCAAAGUAAAGAAGAGGAAGAAGCGUAGAUAUAGAAGCACAAAAAAAGAAACCGAACAAAGAAAGAAAAAAAAAAAAAAAAAACGAAAACAGGGGAAUGGAAGGCAAUGGGUGGGAAAUCUGAAUAAGUCACAUUUCAUUAUUUUCAAAAGGGCUUUGAAGAAUCUGAACACAUUAGGACAAGCUUAGUUAAAAUUAUAUCAGGAUUCCACAAACAUUAAAAUUCAAACAUAAGUCUCUGUUUCAGCUAUUUAUAAAAAGAAUCAAAGAAAUCAAGAACACAAUCAUAAUAGAGCAAGUUUGAAGGAAAUUUCGAUUCAACAACGCAAAUAAAUGGCCCUCAAUGUCCACUCCAAUCAGCAAGAACAACUUCCCGAAAACAGCCAGAGAAUCUCAAGUGAAUGUAAACGGGAAUACCAAAAUAAUAAAAAAAAUAACAGGAAGCGUACCUGGCAGAACCUUGGCUGCAAUCUCCCUCUCUUUCUGCUCUUCUCUCCGCACUUUUUCUUCAAGAUCUCUCUUUUUCUCCUUUUUCUCCUUUCUUUCUUUUCUUUCCUUCUUCCUUUUCUUUCCUUCUCCCUCUCAAGCCCAAAAAUCCUAUCUCUCCCUCCGGAUCUCUCCAAAAAAAAAUCCCCAUGCGUGCUGCCAGUCCCACUUUUCAAAAAGAAAACAUCUUGCUGAAAAGGAAAAUCCUACUUCCUUUUCUCCUUUCUUUCCUUUCUUUCUUUUCUUUCCUUCUUCCUUUUCUUUCCUUCUUGUAGCCGAUCCCCACAUGGAAGAAGUAUAUGUGCUGUCCCUCUAAAAAUCAAAAUCUCCUCUUUUCAAAAUUCCGUUGAUUUUCCUUCCAAAUAAAUGGCGGUUCGUUUCCUCAUGCCCAAAAAAUAAAUAAAAUAAAAAAAUAAAAAUAAAAAAAAUAAAAAAUAAAAAAUUAAAAAAAUUAAAAACAAAAAUAAAAAAAAAUCAAUCACAUGCAAGCCAUACGAGCUAUGUAACCACCAAAGGAAUAUGAGUUAUGCAACCAUGCAAAAACACGAGCCAUGCAACCAUGCAAACCAUGCAAAAACAUCUAAAGGUGACCUAGGGUGUGUCCUAGUGCGCUAGGGCAAACGAAAUGGACUAAGUGUGCUUAAAAGCUAUCCUAAAAAAAAGAAAAGCCUACGACUAAGUUAGGGCUGCCAAGGGUCACAAUAAGGGAUCAAAUAAUCCCUCAACCAAAAUCUCCGAGGUGACUCAGAAAAAGGUUAGUGGUAUGAGUAGCCAUGGGCCACCAAGGAACUAUGGGGCACUGAAAACGAAUUUAAAGACAUGUGCUAAAGGGACAAAAUUGAGGGUCUACACCCUCUUCAGUUCUGUUGAAGAUUAUCAAAGAUACAAGCAAAAAUUCUCCCAGAGGAAACUAGGGAGAAAUAUCAAUUUCUCCCAACUUUAGUACUUCGGGUUUGAGGGACUCUUUAGUCGGAUGGGAUAACUGCCAGUUGUGAUGAUUUUCGAGCCGAUCUUCCUGACUCUGGUGCGGGCAUUUUAUUCAUAGGUGACUUAUGGACUUGGAGGACCAGUCAUGUCCACUAUUAGAGGUGUUGAGAUCAGACUGAGCCCGGAGAGCAUUUUCCGCAUUCUCGACAUUCCUUUAGUUGGACUCCGGGUGUAUGAGUCCAAGGUUUGGCCCACUGUGCCGGGAUUCGAGCCUAGAGAGGCUAUUCAGAGGCUGUGCGGACUUGUAGAUGCUGAGGGGAUGGACAAACCAUCGGCACAUAGCCUGACCGUGACCAGCCAAGUCCUUCAUCACAUGAUUUGCUCCUAUUGCCACAAGGCGGGUAUCGAGAUGAGAUUUCCUACCUGGAUGCUUUCAUAGUGGACACCAUUCUAAUGGGGAGAUGGAUUCAUGUAGGGUAUUUGAUGAUGAUGCAUAUGAUAUCCUACUAUGAGAGCACGACCCGAGUACUCCCCUACAGACGCUUCCUCACUCGAGUAUUCAAGGAUGUCGGGGUCGAUUUGAGUAGAGAGACGAACUUCGAGGCCCUUACUAGCUAUGAUACUUACGAUGAGCAGUCCUUGGAGCGGAUAAAGUUUGAGAAGGCCCUCGAUGGCUCCUGGAUUAGGAGAGUUGAGCGAGCUCCAGCAUAGGCCCGGGGACAAGGAUAGAUGCAUCCCGGAGUAGAGGAGGAGGCUGAGAUCAAAGAGAUGGAGGAUGGGUUAGACCCAAGGAUUGAAAUAUCGAUAAAUAUGGAUAUAUCGGUACUUGGAUUUUACGGAUAUAUCGGAAAUAUCGGAGAAAUAUCAAUGGAUAUUUUUCAUCAAAUAUCGGUGAGACAAAAAUUAUCCAAAAUUGAUGGGAAUGCUUAGAAAAAUCCAAAGAAUGAUAAAAUAAGCAAGAAUAUACAUGUUAAAGUUAUUUUAUGAGUGUAAUUGACAUAAAUAUGGUAUAAAAAAAAUAUAUAUCGGUAAACAGUUUACGAUACUUGGAUUUUAAGAAAAGAAAAUAUGAAAUUUGGAAUUGUACACUUAAAAAGUUAGAAUUGAGUUAAGAAAUAUUUGAUUUUAUUAAAUGAAAAAAAUUUACACAUAAACAUAAUACAUAUGACAUUGCAAUGGUCCUUAAUACCAAAAUGAAGAUCGAUGUGGUUCCAUCAUAUUGUUAUUGUUAGAUGAAGGGAGCCCAUCUUGUUGAAGACAAUAUUCAUACCAGGACAUGGAGUUUCGAUAGUAUUGAUUGUAUGUACUAACAUGCCAUGCAUAAAUUUCUUGAGUCCUACCGACAACCUGUCCAUGGAUGGGAAAUCCAGGGUUUUCCCAUGUGCUCGUUUGAAAUCCUUGUUGUUGCAGCUGAUGUAGAAGGUAGUAUGGAAUUUGUGUGGAAGAAUGAUAGUUAUACCUUUCAUACUCUUCAUCAGUGGAACUUGAAAGAUUUUGAGGAGGCUGACCAUAACUCAUUGCAUAAGGGGCAUAAAUGUUGGCUUCAUUUGAUGAAUCACUUAAUUGAGUCUCUACACUCAUCGACUCAAAACUGGCCGACAAUGAGUCCUCGUUGUAUGGCAUCAUCCUUCGUUGUCUUCCUCUAUAUGGCUUUCCAAUGGCUCCAACACCUGGACCGGCUCUUCUAGAGCCGUGGUCUUCAUCUUGAGUACAAUGUGUGAAAUCAUCUUCACUAAUAAAUGCCAAUGGUUGUCCACUUUGUUGAUGUUGUCUAACAUCCCCUUCAUCAUUUUCAGGGUCGCUACCAUCAUUGGUCCCCUCUCCUCUUGAAUCAUCAUAACCGGAAGCGGAAGUACCAGUAGCACUAGGUCUACUACUAUGUUCAACACUCGUGGGGUCAAAAGAAGGUCGAGAAGUGACUACCAGCUGAGAAAUUCCUUGUCGAAAUGAAUCUUUCGUGUCUUGGUUGAAACUAUCAAUAUGAACUUCUUCGGAUAACACUUGAUCAACAUCAACACCUGCUUCUCGGACAUGUGCGGCAAUUCGUGGGUCGAGAUUUCCAUCUUCAUCAUCUAAAUGAAGAGGUCUAACCCAUUGAAACAAUUGGUUAUCUUCUUCUUCACCAGCCUCAGUUGCAAUAUCAAGUAAAUCAAGGUAAUCUUUCUCUGAAACUUUGUCAUGUUCUGCUUCCAUGUCACGUAUCUUUAGUUUCAUGUUAUAAUAAUAGAAAACUAAUUGUUAGAGCAUCGGGUAAGCAAGCUGAUUUCUUUGUUUUGUAUGAAUUAUGGAAAACAUGCUCCAAUUUCUCUCACAAGCUGAAGAUGAUGCAGUUUGCGAUAAAACCUUGAUGACCAACCUUCUUAAUGUAGGAGUGUGAUUUCCAUACAUGAACCACCAUUCAACUACAACCAAAUAAAUGAUAUCAAUACUUAUAUUGGAAAGCUAUAAUAAUAUGCUAAUGAAAUGAAUUAUUAAUUCACAAAUAAUACUCACCGAGAACCAUUUCUAACCUCGAAGCAAUCACUGUUUGAUCACCGAAUCCUCUUUUUGCAUCUCGGAAUAGUAUAAUCUACAUAUUAAAUAAUUGAAAGUGAAAAAGUUGAGUAAAUGAAAUUAAAUUAUUUAAUUUAUAUUAUAACUCUAAUAAUUUACCUCAUUUCCAAAUUGACUAAAACCUUCUGAUGUAGGAUCUAAUUUCGCAAAGACUUCAUGGACAACUUGAAGUAGAUCAGGAUCAGUACCAACUCCAUGUUUAUAUUGAAAUCUUGGAUUAAGAAAGAAUGCUACAAUAGUAAAAUAGAAAUGUAAAAUUAGAAUGUUAUGAAAGAAACAUAUUAAAUACCAAUAAAUUUCAAAGAUGAAUAAUACUUACCUGCUGCAUGAAAAGGAUGUUUAAAAGUUCUAUCCCAACGAUAUGCAAUUAUUUCUAACACCCAUUCUUUAGCAUUAAGUCGAAUAAGGUUCUCUUUCAUAACUCGAAUCAAUUCGUACACAAAUGGCAUUGUAGGAACAACUUCUGAAUCGACAAUGCGAAGAACUGUGUAUAGCGCCUCAUAUAUUGACACUAGCUUUCCCACUCUUUCCUAGUAUGCAUGGUCAAACAUAAGUGAUUCAACUUCUUUGCCGAUUAAUGUGCAACUUAAGUUGUGUUGUGCCCAUUCAUCACUGAUAAAUAUUUUCUUCAAGUUUAUUUUCUUUUUCAAAAGACUGUCGAAGGCUAUAUAAUUGGUUGCAAAUCUUGUUGCUCCAGGACGAACUAUGUCUCCACCACACACCUUCCGCAUCUGGGUAAGCAACCAACCAUGGUUAUAAAUGAAGUUGGUUAUCUUUCGAGCCUUUGUAAUCACAUCUGCAACACUCGUCCUUUUACCGAUAUCUUCGAACAUUAAGUCGAUGCAAUGUGCUGCACAUGGAGUCCAAUAAAGAUUGUAUUUCUUCAUUAACAACUUCCCCGCCUUCAUGAAUGCCGACCCAUUAUCUGUAACUAUUUGGACCACAUUUUGUUUGCCAAAUUCCUUGAUCACAUCCUUCAACAAACCAUAUAUGUAUUUGUUGUCCUUUAUAUUAUUUGAUACAUCAACAUAUUUGAGGAAGAUUGUGCUACCUUUUGAAUAUACCAUGAAAUUAAUUAUGCUUAAUUUCGUGGGCCCAGUCCAUCCGUCAGACAUAAUCGUGCAUCCAUAAGUCUUCCACUUUUCUCUUUGAAUAUUGACAUAAGCUUCUAUGUCUUUGUACUCCAUAUCCAAAUACUCGUGUUUGAUUUCAUAAGGAGACGGUGGUUUUAUACCCAUACCUACCAUCCAUAUAUAAUUAAAGCAUAUAAGAACAUUUGUGGCAAUCAUACUAUAUAAAUAGUAAUGAUAUUGUUAAAAUGAAUACAACUUUUAAAAUUAUAGUAAUUACCUGCUUGUUGUGCACCAACAAUCAUGUUCUUGAAGUGGUGAGAGUCUGUUUUACUGGGCGGAACACUCUCAUAUAUGAAGAACUUACUGAUCAAACGUCCCAUGGUUUCCUUGAUGGCACCACCUUUGAAAAUAUUUUUCAUAUUUUUAUGUCUUGCUACUGAAGAUUUGUACAAUGAGGGUGCAUCAGGCAGUGAUGGAUCUAAAUAUCGAACACUUUGCGAUUUUCGCAUUUGCCUUGUUGUUGGAUUGGUUGGAUGUGAAGACUUGCCUAUUAUAAUUAUUAAAAUUAAACAUAUAUGCUAAUUUAAUAUUAUUGAUAAAGUUGAUAAGAAAUAGUAAUAAUUCAAAUUAAUAUUAUACCUGUUUUUAUUUUGUCUUUUAUAAAAUGUUCUUCUUAUUGUCGAUUCCAUUCAGCAGCUUUUGAUGCUCGAACCGCCUCUCUAUAAGCAUGUCGCUCACCAAGGUGCAUGUCAGCCAGAUACAUAUACACAUCAUCAUCUCCAUCAUCAUCAUCACCACCAAGGUUCUCCUCAUCGUCCUCAUCAGUUACAUGCUUAUGUCUUAUUCCCAUUGUGUCUCGCAGUUCAGAUCGAAUCUCUUCUAUAUCUGUAGCUUUCUUCGCUUUUGCCUUAUUUUUUUGCUCUAGAAGUCGUCUUAUUUAUUGUUUCACUUCUGGAGGCAUGUUAGGACACUUUUUUGUAUUUGAAUUAGGGUCUGUAUGUGAUAGGUGAAAUUUAAAACGAGUAAUCCCACCACUCUUUAUUGCCAACCCACAGUAAUUGCAUACUGUUCCAUUUUUGUCCCCUUCCAUAGGUGUACAAUAUUUCCAACAAGGAUCUCGACCCAUGAUACCGCUUUCACUAGCCAUUUUCUAAAAUUGAAUUAUGAAACUAAUAUCAAAUUUAAAAUUAUUAAAGAUAAAACAUGUAAGAAAUUUAAUAUUCAUGAAAUUGAUAAGAACUAAUAAAAAUUGAAAUUAAAAUUAAAUUAUGCAUAUAUGAAAUAGAUAAACAUUACAAUAAAAUUUCAAUAUGAAUUAAAUUUAAAUUAAAUUAAAUUAAAUUUGUAUAUUCAUGAAAUUGAUAAGAAUCAUUACUAAUAAAAAUUAAAAUUAAAAUUGAAUUAUGCAUAUAUGAAAUAGAUAAACAUUACAAUAAAAUUUCAAUAUGAAUUAAAUUAAAUUAAAUUUGCAUAUUCAUGAAAUUGAUAAGAAUCAUUACUAAUAAAAAUUAAAAUUAAAAUUGAAUUAUGCAUAUAUUAAAUAGAUAAACAUUACAAUAAAAUUUCAAUAUGAAUUAAAUUUAAAUUAAAUUAAAUUAAAUUAAAUUUGCAUAUUCAUGAAAUUGAUAAGAAUCAUUACUAAUAAAAAUUAAAAUUAAAAUUGAAUUAUGCAUAUAUGAAAUAGAUAGACAUUACAAUAAAAUUUUGAUAAGAAUUAAAUUAAAUUAAAUUUGCAUAUUCAUGAAAUUGAUAAGAAUCAUUACUAAUAAAAAUUAAAAUUGAAUUAUGCAUAUAUGAAAUAGAUAAACAUUACAAUUACAUUUCCAUAUGAAUUAGAUAAUAUCAAUUAAACUAUUGUAGACCCCCCUCUUUUGGUCUCGUUUCUUUUUUUUUCCUCUACAUAUAUUAUGUUUGUUUUAGCCAUUGCGGAAGCACCUGGAAGAGGUGUUAGUGCCUUGAACAAGUGGGGGGACCUGGCUGUUUGGAGAGAUGAGCUGCGUGGAACACGUGGUGGAGCAGUUGGCCACAGCCAUGGUGGUGGUUGGGGCUCCAGUUUGCUGAGCAGAGGAACAGUAUAGUAGCUGAUGGCUUGCAGGAAAAGCUUUGACGGAGAAGGAGGACAGAGGAUUUUUAAGAGGAUCCUUUUGAGAGUGCUGGCAGGGGGGGAUCUUGGAGGGAAAGGGAAGAGGAGAAGUAAGUUUUGAGGAGAAAGGGGCUUUCAGGUAUGGCCAUUUAUGAUUUUUCCCGAAUAUUCUGAUCUUUCAUAUCUUUCCCAUCUUACUCUCCAUGAUUCCAGUUUUGCUUGAUGAGUUGUUUUGUUUUGAUGAUUGUUGGUUUAACAUUAAAAAAGAUGGCUGUUUUUUUUGUGUUUUACCCGUGCAAACCUCUUCCAACUUAACCCUUUGAUCGUUAAGCUCAUGGAUGAAAGAAUGAAACGAAGUUAGCACAUUCAUCAAAAGGUUCCCUGCUAUGUUUCUCCAUUUGUUCCCUUUGCUUGAGUAUGUGAGUAUUGAUGCUAAUAGUAGCAAGGUCCCAGCCAACUUUGUACAAUAGAGCUCAGAUGUUGCUCUAGGGGUUCAUGAUCAUCCUGUCAAGUGCCUAGGAGCAAAUGAUGCCCUUGAGCUUACGUUUCUAAGUCGUGUUCUCCCUACCAAGCUGGAUACCCUCCUUGCUAAGGACGGGGGGACGAAACCUAUUAACAGCCGAAACCCAAUGAUAAGAUCCAAGUCACUGUCGAGUAUCUCAAUGAGAAGGAUGCCAUGGUUCUUUCUUCGUGUACAUGUUGUUCCCAUCUCCACCCAAGUUGACUAAACUGUCAUCAGUGAUGAGAUUGCUGCCUACACUAAAUAAUACAUCAUCCAGCCGGUUAUUCAUGAGAAACAUUAAGAUGAGAAGUCCACCUUCCAACACCCAUUAAGCCACUCUUCACACCCAUCUUCUCUCAUUAACAUCCUCAUACCCCUCCCACCACUUCGUGAUUCAUAUCCCCAUCAUCCCCAGCCGUCCAUGCUAUCAAUAAUAUCCCCACUUAUCUUCAUACCCAUUUGUUCCACUAUUCGGAAUCCCCAUGCAUGCGAAACUGGACGCGGAAGCCAUGAUAGCAGAGAUUGUGAUGAAGAACGUGGAAUGCGGUACCCUGUUGCAUGAAGUGAGCAUGGUGGAGCGGCGGUUUGAGGAGUCGACGAGGAAGAUAGAGCUGUAGAAGAGCUUGCUGGAGGUGUUGGAGUUGGAGAGGACGAUAUUGCUGAAUGAUAACGUGCGGCUGGGGCGCGAGAUGAGUGCGCUGAUUGAGGAGAACAAGGGGCUGUGGAGGUCCCGGCUCCUGCUCCGACGCUGGAGGCGCUGAGUCCUCCAGCACCGCCGGCCGAAGCUCCUAGGCCACAGCUAGAUGCGAUCCCAUCCAUCUCCAUCUCUGCCAGGUGAGAGUAGGGCAGAGAAGAUCACGUGCGUGAGGUAGAGGGUAGAAAUGGAUAAAGGGCAUAGAAAAUGGGCUACAGCAAUGCAUGGAAUUGUUUGAUAAAAGAAAAGAGAAAUGGGUUUGUUGACACGUGAAAGAACUAUGCACUUUAAAAAAACUCUCCCUGUUUGUUUUACAUAUUCUCAAACAAUGCUUAAAAAUCCCUUAAAAUUUUAAAGUUAAAAAUUUAUUCACUUAUUCAUGUUUUUCUAUUCACUUCAAAUUCUCGAAACUCAAUCCUAAAAUUUAAUUUCUUCAAAGUUCAAUCUCCAAAAUAACUUUUUUUUUAGGUUCUAAUUUUAACUUUAAUUCUCCAAAGAUCCAAAAUUUUAAAUUUAACUUUCCAAAAAUCCCACAAUUCCGAAUUUAAUUUUAGGUCUUGUAAAUUAGUAUUAUUAUCCCAUAUUUAUUUAUUUAAAGUCCAAUCCUUCAAAAAUCUCAUUAUUAUUAUUAUUAUUACUUCAACUUUCGAAAUCAAUUUAUUCUUAUUAUUAUUAUCAUUAAUCCAAACUUUCAAAAUCCUAUUAUUAUUAUUAUUAACCCAACUCUCAAAAUAUUAUUAUUAUUAUUAUUAUUAUUAUCAUUAAUUCAGACUUUCGAAAUCUUAUUAUCAUUAUUAUUAAUUCAACUUGCAAAACCUUAUUAUUAUUAUUAUCAUUUCAAAACCUUAUCAUUAUUAUUAUUAUUAUGAUUAUCAUUAUUAUUAAUUUAACUUUUAAAAUAUUAUUAUUACUGUUUUUAUUAAUUCAACUUUUAAAAUCUUAUUAUUAUUAUUAUUACUAAUUCAAUUUUCAAAAUCUUAUUAUUGUUAUUAUUAUUAUUAUUGUUAAUUCAACUUUCAAAAUCUUAUUAUUAUUAUUAUUAUUAUCAUUAUUAACCUAUUAUCAUUAUUAUUAUUAUUAUUACUAUUACUAUUAUUAUUAUUAUUAUCAUUAUUAUUAAUUCAAUUCCCCAAAUCUUAUUAUUAUUAUUAUUAUUAAUUCAACUGUCAAAAUCUAUAUUCCCGUAGUUUAAUUUCUCAAAGUUCAUUUCUUAUCAUUACUGUUAUUAUUAAUUCAAUUUUCAAAAUCUAUAUUCUCGCAGUUUAAUUUCUCAAAGUUCAUUUCUUAUCAUUACUAUUAUUAUUAAUUCAGCUUUCAAAAUCCAUAUUCUCGCAGAUCAAUUUCCUAAAGUUCAUCUCUCAUUUUCUUUGACGAAUUUCAAUUUAAUUACCGAAGCUCUAAUCUUUCAAAGUUAAUUCCAAAUACUUCAAUUUUCAAAUAAAGUCUAAUAAUCCAGUUUUCACUCGAAUGGUUUUAAUCCCAUUUCAGUCCCUAAAUAAUCUUCUGGUAUUCUUGAUUUUAUAUAAGCAAUAGUGAAUUCUUCAUAAUUCUAAAACACGGAAUUUGUGAGACUGGUUCAUGAAUAAUAAAUUGGGUUUUGGUGGGAGGCACUAUGUUUGAUCCCUAUUGAUUGUCAACUGUUGUGCUUAAUGUAUUUUUGCUUGAUCUUCAUUUUGCACCCUGAUAUGCAUGAGUUAUAAUUUGUAUUCAUUAAUUAUGCACUAAUCCUGUUUCUUGAUAGCAAAUUGCUGUUUGCUACCCAGGUACGCAUUCACUCAUUCUGAUCAUUCACUAUACGUAUUCUGAUUCUCAUAUAUGCAUGAUUAAUGUGAGUAUCCAUUGACUUUCUUAUUCGAUUGCCACGUCAGUUUCACUUUAUUAGUAGAGACCCGACUUUAGGGACUUUGAGGGGUGCUAUGGUCUCUACCGUACCUUCCCGAUAAGUAACCUGACCCUCGAACCCGAUCCGGUUUUUCACAGACCACCUUUUCCAAAACAAGGAGUCGCACUUAGGGUUUUUCUUUCUUAUUUUGUUUACCCUUUAAAAAUAAAACAAAAAUAAGUGGCGACUCCAAGUCAUUUUCAAAUAAUCAAUAAAAAUCAAGUUUUCAAAUAAAAAUCGAGUUCGUCAUCGAGUGGGAAACGCAUUGAGCCGAAAUGCGGGGUCCACAACUAUAUAUAACAAAUAAAAUUGAAUUAUGCAUAAUAAAAUAAAUUUUAUGAAAGGUAAGACAUACCUUAAUUAGCUUUGACUUGGAGUUAAUCCCUUUCACCAACAAAUUUUCAAAAUAAAAAAAUUUUGCUAGAUCAUAUAAGAAUUUUGAUGUAUGAAAUGGAAUGGAAUGUGGGUAUUUAUAGGAAUUUUUUGGUCAAACUACUCGUUGGAUGGUCAAAUAGCCGUUAUAAAUUAAUUUUAACCGUUGGAUCAAAAUUUGGUUCAAAUUUCACCAUUAGAUCUUCAUAUAACCGUUGGAAACACUCCAUAGCCCUUGGAUAAAGUGAAGAUUGAUUUUCCACCAUUGGAUCACAAAUCUGACCAUUGGAGGCCUUUAUAAACACACGGGUGAAAUUUGGGCCAUCAGAUCCUCAAAAAUUCAAAUUUGGCCGUCAGAUCAAAAUCCUUGAAGCUGUAAAAAAAUCACCGAUUAAUCGCGAUUUUCUCGGCAAAAAAUCGUUGAUAUAUCGGUAAAAUAGCUGAUUUUUUGGGCUCCUCCUCCGGCUUCUUCGUGCGUGCCUCUACUCGCGAUUUUUCGUCGAUUUAUCGGUGAAGCACCGAUAUUUGGCCGAUAUAUCGGCGAUUUUGCCGAUUUUUCCGUCGAUUGAUAAUCGGUGACGAUUAUUAUUUCGGUGCCGCCCAAUAUCCGAUAUUUCUCCGAAAUAUCGAUGAUAUAUCCCGAUUUUUCAAUCCCUAGUUAGACCCUUAGAGGGAUUUUAAGUAGAGAGGGCCCGAGCUUGACAUUUCUCCUCCACCUCAUUCAGAUGGUAUUCAUGUUGAGACCACUUUCUUAGAGCCUAUGAUGAUUGAGUCGUCUUACACUACAGGAGCAUCAUCUCAGCCAUCAUUCACCGAGCUUCCUCACACAGAGAUACCAUCUCAGGCACCUCACGCUUCUGAUCAUGCCCCUUGGAUGGAUGUAUCAGCUCAUAUCAGCUUCCUUGGGACUCCUAUGGAGGAGCUUGCUUUAGUCAAUGAUACUCGAUUCUACUCUAUGGAGGAUCACAUAGAUCAGUAUCAGACUGGCUUCACUUCUCGUUUUGAGCACUUCCAGCAGAGAUUUGAGCGUAUAGAGGAGCGUAUGGAUCAACAGCAGGCUACAGUUGAGCAUCUCCAGCAAAGUAUUGAGCGCAUUGAGAGUCGCCAGGCGAGUUAGCAUGAGGAGAUGAUGGCUUACCUCCGCUCCGUGUUUCCAUCUUCACCCCCUCAGCCUUGAGUUUAUCUAGAGUUCCCCCUCAAUUUCUUUUUUAUGUUGCUAAAGGGGGAAAAAUAUCUAGGAUCUAGGAAACCCUCAUGCAUAUCAUUGUCAUAUCUAUCUUGAUUAGCAUAUAUGUUAUGUUUUCGUGUACAUGUGAGGUUACCAUAUAUAUGAUAUGCUAUUUUCAUGAUCCAUUGUUUCCUAUUCAAUUUUUCAUGCUUUACAUUGUUUCCUAUUGAAAAUUGAUUGAUUGAUCCAUGAUUGGUUUGAGGGGGAGAUUUUUUUUCUCUCCUAGAUAACCAAGGUUGGUCAUCAUAAAAAAUGGGGAGAUUGUUAGCCUAAGGGCUCUCCUAAUCGGGUUUUGAUGAUAACAAACCAUGGUUAAAUGACUAAUUGGUUUAAUGGUUAAGAAUCUCAGGCAUAAACUCGAAAAUUCAUCAAAUGACCAAAUGGAUACAAGAUCGAGACAUUUGGAAGACUUGUGAUCAUAGGAAACUAAUGUAAGAUAAAUACAUGAGUGCACUUAGGAUUUUCAUACCGUUUCAUGCAAUUUAGAAAACUCGGUUUAUUUUUUAAAACUUCGAUUUCAUUAAAACCCGAGUUUUAACAAAUGUACCUUAGGCAAAAUGUUUUAAAAUUGGCAUAAUAAUUCACCUAAAAACCUUGCCUAAGUGUUAGAAAAAAAAUGAAUUCAAAAAGAUAGGUUUUUAGGGCCAAAAGGCUCAACCGGUUGGAGAACCAGUCGACCAAUUGCCCUUCUCCGGUCGAGGAAUGCACAAAAUUUUCUCUCUCACAGUAGCCUUCUCUUCCCAGUCGAGGUUAUUCUCUUCCCGAUUGAGAACUGGUCAAGGUCCGGUCGAUGACCGGUCGAGGCAACGGUAUCCUGUCAAGCAUUAAAUGCUCCAACGGCUAGUGAACCGGUUGACCCCUAGUUCGAUCGGUCGAGGUUACCUUUUGCUGUUUUUGGCUCCCGAGCUUAGAAACCUAUAAAUUGAGAGCUCCACUUCAUUUAUUGACGAGAGAACACUUGCAACUAAUUGUCUACCUACCUGUUCUUGAUCAAAAAGCUUUCAUUUCUUUCUUAGUGCAUUAAAUCUUCAAUUGCAUAUCCUUUAGUGCACUCUUGUGUGUCAUCCUAGCUUUGUCUUAUAUUUGAGCUAUCCUUAAGCUAGGUUGAGGGAUUCAUUCUUGUAAAAAUCGAGUGUUAAAGCCUUCAAGAGGUUUAAAUCUUGAAGAGAUUGUGUAAGAGCCCAUUGGAGCCGGAAUCCAAGUGUAAGAAGAUUGGAAGCUUGGUUGAAACUUUAAGUUAGUGGAACCCUCACUCAGUUAGGAGAUUGAGGAGAGUGGACGUAGGCAAGAAAGUGCCGAACCACUAUAAAAUCCGAGUUUGAAUUCUUUAACUCUAUUUCUUUAUUUUGCUUAUAUUUUGCUUGAACUCGUUGUGAUCGAAAAGAAUUUAAAAAAUCCAAUUCACCCCCUUCCCCUCCUUUUGGGUGUUUUUCUUAAUUAAGCAUAGCCUAUAUUUUCUCAUAAAUAAUCUCACAAAAUCCUAGUACAAACUUUAGCCUCAAAUUAUACAAGAUAAACUAGGAUUGAAUGGUGCACUAAUGAUAUGUAAGUUUUAAAACAAUGUGUACUAAAAAACACUCCCCUAAGGCUCAAUUAUAUUCAAGAAAGGUUUAAGAAGGUUAAACUCUUGAAACUAUAAAGAUUGAAGCGUUUUUAUAGAAGAGAAAAGCCAAACUACCUAUUGGGGGUUCGUCUGGUCGAGCUCUGGUUCGACCAGUUCACUAGCCAUUAGCAUUUAAUGUAUGAUAGGUGACCAUUGGGCCUUGACUGGUACUCAAUUGGAUGAAGUUCAACCUUGAUUGAUCGAAUAAGCAUUAUGGAAAAGAGAUAAGGUUUUUGCACCCUUCAACUGAGUAAGUUGAAUAAGUCGACUAAUUCCUCAUUCAAUUCAACCAAUUAAGUCAUUUUUUGCUAAAAAAACCAUCAUUUUCAACUUAAAACCUUUUAAACAAGUUUGGAAAGCAUUUGACAUAAGGUUUUAGUUGAAAACAUGAAAUCAUCCAAUUUUUAAAAGAUUUAAAACAAAAUAACUCUUGAAUGAUUUUAGUGUAUAAGUAAAGAAUGUAAUGCAUGAAAAACCCCAUGCACUAACAACCUUACAAAGAGAUCCUAUGAGGCUUAGGUCUUGAAAAAACACUUAUCUUUAAGGUUUUCUUCUUCUUAUUGAUUUUAUCUUUGUGAUUGCCACUUUGGAAAUCAUCUUGCCUAGUCACACUUAAAAUAUAAUCAUUAGUUCUAAACCUUGUUUUGUUAUCAUCAAAACUAAGAUUAACCAAACCUUGGUUUCACAGUAUGAAUAUUGUAUCUUUAGAUCUAUAGUUAAUAGUGGUUUUUAUAGUCAUAUGUUUCUAUUGUGAUAAAUUUAGAGAUGCCUAGGGAUAGAUGAAUGCACCCUAUGAGAUCUAGUGCAUAUGAAUGGAGUAAUCUGGGGUUCCUAACAUAGUUUAGGCUUGUGCUUCAUAGAGCGAUAACAAUUCUUCAAGCAUAGUUAUGCUUUAGAAAUUUGUUAUUGAUUGGUCCAAUUUUUAGACCAUCUUUAGCAACAAUCUUGUGGGCACCAUUGAUAUAAACUUGUUAUACAAAAUAUGAUCUAUCACAUUUUUGGCAAGAACUUUCCACUAGUUUUGUGCAUGGUAAUGAUCAUGCAUGCAAACUUAACUAAGUUAUACACUAGAUGCCAAACUACUACAAUUCUUAUACACCUUCCCAUUUUGUGCAACCGAACAAUUCAACAUCAUAACACCAAAGUUCUUGCUUAGAUUUCCUACAGUGCUAAAAUUUUGAAAUGAUUAAUUUUUUUAUUUUCCUUUCAAUACCAAGACCCACAUACAUCAUGUCAUGCCCUAAGACCCACUCUAAGGGCAUGACAAUCAUUUCACAUCUCAAGGUAGAAAGCUCAAAGUGUAAAUUGACCUUAACAUUCAUUUUGUAACUGGAAAAUUAUCAAUUACCAAAUUCAUAUUCAAAGUAGUAGAAUAAAAUUCUAUAAGUUUCAAAUCUCAACUUUAAAGCUAACACAUCAACUAAAGUGUUAUUGUCCAAACAACUUCAAACUUAACAAUUCAAGCAAUCAUUAAAUUCUAGCUUUCAAAAAAAUAAAGUUUUAACCAAAAGUCUUAAUAUUGCCAAAAUAUCAUCCUAACGAUCACUCCUAGCCCGAAUUAAGGUGCCUAAAAAAUUGUCAAUGAAAGGAAAUGAGAUCAACGCUCAAUAAGGAAUAUUAACAAAGUUUCAUGGAUCAAACAUUUUUAAUUAUAAUUCCAAAUAGGAGAUAUAAUAUAUAAUCAUUUUCAUAAAAACUUUUGAGUUUAAAUAUAAUAAUACAUUCAAAAAUUUUUAGCUAAACAUUUUCAUAUCUAUGUCAAAACAAUUUCAUAUCAAAUUCAAAUCAAAUAUAUACAAAAUAUUUUUAUUUUGGUUAUCAAAUAUCACAUGGUGUCAAGUUAGGUGGGACUUUACAAAUUGGUGUCUAGCCUCAAAUUUUUUCAUUUCAAGGUGGAUGAAACCAAACACUACUAGUAUUAUUAACAUCUAACCAAAUGCCUAAAGGGUGGAAUCUAAAGCAAUUACAUGCCCCGCCAAGAAAUAUAAGGUCAACAAUUAUAACUAGUUAACUAAGGACAAAAAUAAACUAGAGUCAAACACCUUAUUUCAUUAAUUCAAACUUACAAAACAAAAACAUCAUAUCUCCAUAAUUUUCAUUUUUUAUAAACAAAAGAAAUGUUCUAACAUAUUUUUUUCAUGAAAAAUAUAUAUUUGAUCCAUGCAUAAAAAUAAAAAUAAUUUUUUUUAUUAUUCAAAAUAACAUAUAAAAGUAAAUAUGUUCUUUUGGCCAAAACAUGUAUUAAUUUUUCUUACCUCAAAGAAACACUCAAAGACCUUGAAGCAAUUAAUCCUGAAGAAUUUCACCCCAAAAAACAUAUUUCAUACCUUACAAAAAAAAAACAAAAAAACAAAAUUACUAUUGAUUAUUUAUCUAAUAAUAGUUUCGUAUCUCAUAUCACCUAUAUUAUUUUUAACUUCCUAAUAAAUAACAAUUUAAUAAGUGAUUUUCCAAAUUUUAAAAAGUUAUGUUCUUUCCAAAAUUUAUUCAUAAUAUUCUAUUAUUAUUAAUUAAAUCUCUCAAAAAUAUGUUUUUUCUAUUUAUUGCAUUAAACUAUUAUUAUUAUUAUUCAAUUUCAAUUUGAUUAAUUGGUUUUUUCUUUUAAAUUUUUAAUUUAUAUAAGAUUCUUGUUUUGAAAAUCUUCCAUAUUUACUUAUUUGUUUAAAGUAAAUUUCUCCAAAACUUGUUCCUUUUUGUUAAACAAAUAUCUUUUCCUAUUAUUAUUAUUAUUAUUAUCCCUAAUAUUAUAUUCAAAUAACUAAACAAUAAUAAUUUAAAUUAGUGAGUUUCCAAAUUUUUAUAAAACUCAUAUUCAUUCUAAAUCUUAUCAUAUAUAUCUAUUUCUUUUAUAUAAUUAAAUUAAAUUAAAAAUUUUACUUAAAUAUAUAUAUAUAUAUAUAUAUAUAUAUAUAUAUAUAUAUAUAUUAUAUUAUAUUAUUACUUUCAACAUCCUUCUACCACCGAAACAAUUACCUCAAGUAAAAGUCAUCUAUCCUUAUUCUACUAACUACCCUCUCUCUUGCAAUAGCACACUUAGGGAUGGCAAUGGGGCGGGUUCAGGAUAGGUCACCCCCAUCCCAACUCCACCUUGUUUAUUCAAAAUAAUUAUCAUCCUCGUCCCAUUUAAAAAAUUAAAUGAGACGGGGCGAGUAUGAUAAAUUCUCAUACUCGCCUCGUCCUGCCCCGUUUAACUUUUUUUUGAAUUUAUUUAUUUAUUUAUUUUUAAAAUUACUUUUAAAAUUUUUAAUUACAUUAAAAUAAAUAUAUUUUAUAAAUAAUUAAAUAAUUAUAUUUUUUAUUACUUAUUUUAUUAAAAAUAUUUUAUUAUUAUCUAUAUAUUAAAAAUAGUAAAAUAAAAAUUAAAUUAAAUUAAUUUUAAAAAUUAAUUUUAUAUAUAAUUGGGGCGGGGUGGGACGGGGCAAUACCCAAACCUGCUUCGGGUUUUAAAAAAAAUUCUCAAACUUGUCCCAAACCCGUUUAUUAAAAUUGAACUCCGUCCCAUUAGGGACGAGGCGAGUACCUCGAAAAAACCUGCCUUAUUGUCAUUCCUAAGCACACUUUCAUUUUUUUUUUUUCAUUUUUAUUGCUUUUAUCUUUUUCCUCCCUAAGAUCAAUCAUAUUGUAAGCACCCCUUUUUUUUUUCUACCACAUCUUGUUGCAAUCAACCUUGUAAGUUUUUUUAAUUUAAAUUUUUUUUCCACUAUGGAGGCACGUACAACCAUAAAACCCCAUCUUUUUUUAUUUUAUUUUUACAACUCUCAAAUCUCUCAACCUCCAUACUAUUAGGUUUUAUUCAUUCAUUUAUUUAUUUAUUAUUCCAUAUCCAAAACUAUAAUUAAUUUUCUUUUAUAUUUUUUUAUUUUAGAUCUAUUAAUUUGAAUAUUCAAAAUUUCUAAUCUUUACUAAUAACUCUAAAGCAUUCAAAACUAAUUAAUAAAUAUAAAAUAUUAAUCUAAGGAUUAAAAUCUUAUAUAGAAAAUUGAUCUUCAAAUCUUAAACCCCCAAAUUUUCAACCUUACAUUGCGUUGUCUAAUAUCUCAAAUCUCCAUGUAAAAGGGCUUUUGAAUAGAGUAAAUAAGAAAAAUUUAAUUUAUACCUAAAAUUUUUAAAAUAGAGAAAAAUCUUUCUACCCUUAUUAAUUUAAUUUAAUUAAUUUUUUAAAAUUAUGUUUUUACCCUUUAAUUGGGUUUGGGCAUCACACAUCAUACUAAAAAGUUAUCAAUAACCGUCCUUUGAGGCAUAUUAGCAUAAAUUUGCAACUUUAGUUGUGUUCUAGGUGCAAUUCUAUUAUGUUUAAUUGAAAAAUAACACACAUAGCACAACCAAGCCUAAUUGAAAGCAUUUGGGCAAAUAAAUGGUAAAUUUCUAAAAGUUCACCAAAACAAAAAAAAAGAUCAUAGAGGGCAUAUUUUUCAAGUCAACCUAGUUUUGGGAUAGCCACUUUCAAGCCUAAUGAUGUUAAGAUGUCUUAUUGCAAUCCAAUCUAAGAAUGCAAUAAUAGCUCUUUAAUUCAUAAUUUUAAAUUCACAAAAGAUAUCACCAAAAAUUACCAUAGGUUACCAAAGCAUCAACAACAUACAGAAAGCUUAGAAAUGCUUGGAACCUAUCGGAUUUUCACUUUUUAGGAAUAAAAAAAAAAAUCAACUUUAAGGAUUUUAGGGUAAUACUUGCUUGAACCAUCUUUCAAUCCUUUUGUUGGUGGUGGGCCUUUUACCUAUAGGAACAGGAAUAAGAGGUGAAAAUGAGGGAGCCUUAUGAAAACAGAUCCCUAGGGCUUAAGAAGGGGUUUUCAAUUUUAGGGUUUGCCUUUUCACCAAGGAUGUGAAUGGGAAGAUCAAGUGAAGUUAAGAGAUUGGUGAAGCAAAGUGAGGGCAUGGUAGGGUUUGAAUAAGGGAAAUUCUACACUAUUAAUGAAGAUGAUAAUCUCGAGAAAGCAAAGCUAAGGUAAACUAGGGUUUUAAUAACAUUUUUCAAUCUACACUAGUGAAGACGAUAUCUUCGAAAACCAAAGCUAGGGUAAGCUAGGGCUUUAAUAAUGAAUUUCAAUCUACAAUGGUGAAGAUGAGAAUCUUCGAAAACCAAAUCUAUAAUGGUGAAGAUGAUUGAAAACUAAAUCUAUACUGGUGAAGACGAUUGUAAAGCAAAUCUACACUAGUGAAGAUGAUAAUCUUCGAAAACCAAAUCUAUAAUGGUGAAGAUGAUUGAAAACUAAAUCUAUACUGAUGAAGAUGAUUAGAAAGCAAAUAUUCACUGGUGAAGACAACGAAACCAAAGGUAGGUCUUCUAAACUAAACCCUUUUAGGGAUUUUCCAUUUUUUUUCCUUUGUUUUCAAGAAAGGUAAACUCUCUUGAAAACCAAAAAACUAAUGCAUUCUUAAAUCCAGAUCACCAUUUUCAACAUAGUAUUUGGAUUUCCACCUUGCAUUUUUUAUUUUUUAUUUUUUUUAAUAGUCAAGGGCAUUUUAGGGAUUAUUGAAGGAUAAUAUCAAUAAGCUCAAUUUCCUACAUUAGUUAGGUCUUAGGCUCAAAUGUGAAACUUAUAGGGAUGUUAGGCCAAUUAUCAAACUUACUUGCCUAAAGCAUAAUUUCCCCUUUUCAAAAUAGUUGUUAAACAUCAAUCCCAAACAUGUGUAACCCUUUGAAGUACUUGUAUGUCAACCUUGUUUCCUUUCCCUCAUGCAACAUGACUUAUUGAUGGUUGCAUUGAAUCAUUAUCAUUCACCAAAUCCAUGCAACUAUGGACUACCUUUCAAAUCCCUUGAACAUAAAUGGUAAUUCCAAAACAACUCAAGUAUAAUCUUUCCGGCCUUUCAAAUGAUUUAAUUAAUUGAUGUUUGAAUAUACUUCAUAUAUUUUUUUAGAGCAAUUUUUAGGCAUAUGACAUAAAUCUCUAAUUUUUUUUAUUUUUAUAAAAGGUUUUAUAUUUUAUAUUACAAUUUCCUCUCUUUUUUUUCAUCUAAAAAACAAAAUAUAAAACCUUAAUAAACGAGUUUUGUCACAAUCCCUUAAAAGGUAAUCUAUUUUUAAAAAUUACUUUAACCAUUUUAGAUAUAUUGAUUCAGUCUAAUUUAAUUUUAAUAUUUUUUAUAAAAUAUUUUUAUUUUAUAUGAUUAUAAAUUAAUUACCAUUGAUUGCAUAUUAUAGAAUAUAUAUUCUAAAAUAUAUCCUAUUGACAAUAAUAUCAUAAGAUAUUAUAUCCAUAUCCUAAUAUAUUAUAUACUUUUAUUUUGUGCAAUUAGCAACAGGGUGGAAGACGGCUUAGGCGGGAGACGGCUUAACGGAAAUGUCGUCUGCCAUGCGUGUCCCUUCCCUUAGUGAGUCUGAACAGCUCCAACAUUUCUGACACGCCCUUCUUCGGUUAGCUCUUAAGUAUUUUCGUUAACCCCAUCACAUUUCGCCAUGUGGAUCUAAGCCUCAUGGUCCUUUCGUUCGUACUAUGAAUAUAUUCCUUAUCUAGAGUCUGGAUCCUUUAUCUCUGCACGUGUCUAUGGCUCUUCACCCCAGCAAGUAUGGCAUUACAAGGGCAAUAUCGUCAUUAAAGACCCAAAAGGCAAACGAAUGGCAUUAUCUUCCUUUUGGGUCUAUUCUAUUUAUAUUUAUAUUGCAAGUUAUUCGUGAUGACUUCUCUCAUAACAGCUAAAAACCACUCCAACAGAGCACACUUCACUUCUUCGUUUUUGUCUUUCCUCUUUUUUUUCCAGAGAAGCUGAGAAAGCCCAGCUUGCCCUCAACUCCCCGAUGGGUUUGAUGAAUGUUCUCAAAUUCUCAGCUGCAUGCUUUGAUCUUCUUGGCUGGUAUGUUGUCCACGGAUUUUCUCGUCAUUGGAAAAUGAAGUGGAAUUCUAUGUUUGAGGACAAAACUGGGAUUUGCUUUGAUUUCUCCAUGUUGGUUUUAUCCCUUUCCUUUGAAUUGUCCACAUUCUUGUCAUUGGUUGUUAGUUAUUUGUUUGGAUUUCUACUUGCAGGCCUCUGUUUGCACUGGGUUAUCCUCUGUAAGUCUUGGUCUUACACCCCAAGAUAUGAUCAUUCAUUUACUCUUUUCUUGUUCUAUGAAUUCUUAGUUCUGUUACAUUUAUUGGGUUGGAUUAUUAGUUAUUAUAUUAAUAAUCAUCAACGUCAUCUCGGUUCUUCACAGAUGUGCUUCAAUUCGGGUAAUUGAGACUAACUCAAUCUCAGACGUUCGGAAGUUGGUGGCGUAUUGGGUUCUAUUUUCCUUGGUUUCACUCUUUGAUCAUACUUUUGCCAAGCUCCUUGAAUGGUAAUUUUGCUCAACUGCAUUCCACUAUAUGUGGCUCUAUUUCUUUCAUUUCUCUGCCCUUAAGGAAUUUGGAGUUGCUUUUUUCAGUUUUCUUCCCUGUGAAAAUAAUCGAGAUGUUUAAUGUUCCAGGCCUGCAUGCUCAAGGAAGUGGUGUCAGCUUUGGAAAUAAGAUGGAUCUACUAGUUUUUAUUUCUCAUCUUUAUAGGGAACUUUCCAUAAUCACAGUGAUGAAUAAUUGUCUUGUUUGAAAGCAUGGUUGCACUUAUUUCCAUGGAAUUUGUCUGCUGAGAAACAAAUGGAAAUAGAAAAUUCAGAAUCUGACAAGUUUGUGUAGGGCAACUGGAUCUAAUCUCUUAGUCGAAGCUUAAUUGGGGCAAAUGCUGAUCAUCUUUGGACCAUUGAAGGCUCUAAUCUGUGCACAAUUCUAAUGUUUUUGUUUUCUUCAUUUCUUUUUCAACUGUUCAUAAUAGAUGUCAAAAGAUAAAACCGAACUUAUGUAGUCCAUCCAAGUGGAUGCAUAUAAAUUUAACAGAAACUGAAAUUCGAAGAAAUUUAUUUAUUUUUUUAAAUAUUUUAUUUUCUUAUAUAAUGCAUGUCAGGAUACCAUUCUGGCCUUACAUAAAGCUGAUGGUCAUCUGCUGGAUGGUGAUACCGCAUUUUGAUGGUUCAUAUUAUGUCUAUCAACACCUAGUUCAUCCAUGCUUGUCCAUUGAUCCACAAGUUGUCAUGAAUUGGCUUUUCAAUGAAUCAAAAAAGAAGUUUCAUAGCAGAGAAAACUUUCUUGUUUCAGCAGACCAAUAUAUUAAGGAGAAUGGACCUGAAGCUUUGAAGAAACUACUUGCUAGGAAGGUAUGCCAUUAUAAGUAGGAUUAUCAACAAGUCAAACAGAGUUUUAUUUGAGAUGUUCAAGUAAAAAAUGACUAUAGCAGGUCAUCUAGAAUUAUGUGGUCUAAAUUCAUGUAUAUAUCUAUAUAUAAUUGUGUUCUCUUUUUUUCACAUAUGCAUGUGCAUUUAGAUUUACAUAAUUAUAUAUGCAUAAUCAGAUUCAACUGUGAUAGCCCGGGAUUUAAUUCAGUAAUCAACUCUUCUGGGAACAUGUUGGUUAUGGUUUCUCUCUCACUGUCCUCUUAUUUAUACAUGACUUUGGCUUCAGUUGAGGAGCACAAAGCCUAAUGUUGAAGUGAAAGAGAUCAAAGCACCUGCAGCACCGGAGAAAAAAGGGGAAGCGGUAUGCACUCUAAUGUGGCUAUUUUAUUUCUAUGGAGGCAGAUCCCCAGAAAAAUGUUGCUCAUGUAAAUUAGUGAUGCAUUUAAAAGAAAAACCACUUUAUGUAUGUUUCUGUGAAAAAGAGAACAAGUUUAUGGAUUAAGUGAUAUUUUUUAUGGUGAAAUAAUCAAUAAUUUUCAAAAUAAUAAUAUAUUCGUGCAUGUUUUUGCAAUUCAUGAAUUCCUUUUACGAUUGAUUCUUCUCACCUCAGUGGAAGUGUGAAGAGCCUAAUGUUGCAGAAAAGGAGAUCCAAGUAGUCAAAGUAACAGACAUAAAAAAUGGGGGGAUGGAGCAAAGAGGGUAAGUUUUCCUUUUUAUUUAUAAGGAAGGCUGUCUUCACACAAGGAUUAUUGUUAUUAUUUUUAAGACAUGAAUGUUGAAUGCAUUUGGAAUUGUCGUUGAAUCAUGUGAAGUGUGAAGGUGCAAAUGGUGCUAAGAAGGAGAUCAAAGUGAUGGAAGUAACACAGAUAACAUUUGGUGAUACAGAACAGUGGGUAAGGUUUCUUGUCAUACUUAAACGGCACCUCAUAUUUCACUAGGAUUAAUUUUGGCCUACAAACAUAUUUGGCUACAAGUUGAAGACAGAUUUCCAGAUACUGGUAGAAGUUGAGACAUAAGUAAUGAAUGAGUUUAGAAACAUGCACAACUCUUGUGUGAAACACAAUGAGAGUGGAAAAUAGCUAAGUUGAAAAAUGGCCAAAUACUAUUUUGUAGUUCCCCCCACCACUUAAGUAAUUUUUGUCAUCCUUUGUGAAUGGACAAUGCAGUCCCUUCAGUAAUUCCGCUAUAUUCAUGACUUGGUGAAGCAUAUAACCAUUAGUGUCUUGUCCUAAGUUGACCUUUAAUGAUGAUCCAUUGAGAGGGAUCUGACUUUUGUCAACCCUCUUAGAGGUUAAACAUACGGGGCUUAACCCACUUUUCAAUCUCAUUGGAUAUAUGGCACGUGGUAUCCUCUUCAUCUUGAAAGAGUGAAGUGGUCAUACUCUUUCCUCCGAGUCCAUCGUGGCCAUGCACUUCUGGCUCAUUGGGCUGAGUGAAAGGAUUCCCUUCUGCUUCAAAUCAUAGAGAGAUAUGCCAUGGUCAGCCUCUUUAAUUUGAAGGAUUGAAGUACUCAAAUCCAUUUCUUUGCAUCCAUCUUAGUCCUGCUUCCAUGUCUCAUGGUUAACCAGGAAGAUCAAGCUUCCAUCCAUGAGAUCAGCAUCUGCAGGGUUAUGACUCCACCCUUCCUUGGCAUAGGAAAGCGAUCAUUAAGCCACAUGUCGGAUGACAGAAGUCGUCAUUCAGGUUAUCUUGAGAACUAGGGAAGUUGGAAUUCUAAUUAUUGCAUAUGGUUCUUGAUGUUUAGCCAAUAUACUAUAGGAUUUUAAGCAUCAUGCCCAUGUGCAUUGUGGUUUUUUAUCAGCUAUAUGGUUUACCAAACUGAGGGAUUGAUUAUAGUCAUAAGUACCCUUUUCCCAUUAAUUUCUUGCAUGUGCUUUGCUGAGAUUAUGUUUUUGACAGUGCUAAUCAGGGCAAACCAACAAACAGCUUUAUGUUAACUUUUACAAACUGCCACAUUUUCAGGUUGAACGAUCAGACAUAAAUCUUGGUGAAACUAGAAGUAAUACAACCUGUGCUGUGGAGAUAAAAGAAAGGGCAGCAGCACUGGUGGCUGCAGAAAUUGAGGCAUGUAGAGACAAUAGAACCCCCGAGAUACCUCUGCAUAAGAAAGUCCAGAAAGAGUGGGCUUGUGCUGUAUGCCAGUUCACAACCCAAAGUGAAGUGACCUUCAAUUCCCACCUUCAAGGGAAGAGACAUCAGGCCACUUCUGAGCAGUUGAGAGCCAAAAACCAGGCAACCAAAACCAAUUGUUCCCCAUCUGCUUCAAAGGCCAAGAAAUCUGAUCAGUCCACCAAAGAGGAGCAACCAAAGUGUCCUUCCAACAAUCUGAAUUCCAAAAACAAUGGAAUCUCAGCUGCUUCAACAGUGAAGAAACCUGACGAGACCAAAGAUGAUGAGCAACAAAAGUGUGCAUCCAGCAAUGGACCAAACCAGAAGAAUAACAAAAAGCAAGAGGAGAAGGUGCUAGUUCUUGAGACCAAUGAGCAAGGCCAUCAGAAUAAUUUUGAUCCACGAUCCCACAUUUAUUUUGGGUCUCACAAGUUUCAAAUUUGCAGAAAAAUGAAAGAUGUUUGAGAGAAAAUUAAAUCAUAUUGCACUACUGUUAGGAAAAAUAUGGCUGAAUCCAAUUGCUUUUCUUCUCCAAGUCUAUUAAAAAUAUAAUUUUUUCUCCAUUCCUGACAAAAUUUAAAUUUUUUCCUUAAAAAAAAAAAAAUUAAGUUUGAUCACCUAACACAUCUUUCUAAACUCAAUCUCAACUUGAAAAAUCAAACCUUAAUGGAUGGACUAUAGAAAUAGUGAGAAAACACUUCUGGGGUUUUUUUUUUCUUCCAACAUCAAAUUUUUCUAUAUAUGGGAUUUCACAUGCAAAAGCAGGAGUAGAUUUGCUUGUGUUUGAUGUAUGUAUUAGAAAAAUUUGUCCCUUCUGGGAUGUUUAAUACUUUUCUAUUCUUUUAUAUGCAUGUUUAGCUAGAAGAUAUAGAAUCGAUACCAUUCCUUAAAAGUGAUAGCCACAACUGUGAUAAUUAAACACCAAAGAAUGUGAAGAUCUAUAUAUUCUUUUUUUUUUCCUCUCUCUUUCAAUAAUGAAGCUAAGAUGUGUUGUAAGCAUCAAAUGCAUUGUCUCUGCUUGAAUAUAUACAAAGCCAAGGACCACAAGAUGGAUAGAUAUGGGGACGCACAAAACUUCUCAAACAUGAUUAUAUUAAUCAAGAAUUCAACUAAGCUUAAAUUCAAGAUGUUGAUUUCUAGCAUCUCUGGUGCUAUAGGAUGACUAUUGAUCCUGUACUGUUAUGUGCCCUACUGAUAUAUUCUUCGGGUUGUUAUGUAUAAAUAAAAUUUUUGGGAAAGUUUGCUUGGUGGUUACACUAUCACUAUUUAGGCCAGUAAAAAUUGGAAGCCUUUGUAAAAAACUGAUGGUCCAAGAGCUAUUCUACUUCAUCAUCCAUGUAAUAUGACGAUACAAAUUUGACUAAAUGCAGCUAUAGAAGGCUUAGGACCAUAAACCAAGCCUAGUCGAUGUCACUCACCUAAAUUUAUGCAUAAAGCUUUUGGAUGGCUCAGAGUUAUAUUUAAUUACUGUUAUGUUCGCAACUAUAUUUUCAUUGGAUUUAUAGUCCAGCUUGAGAACUAGUCCUCCAUUGCACAUAAUGUCCACACAAGGCCACAGUGCCCGCUCAAAGGCCAUAGCGCUACUCAAGGAUAUAGUGCUUACUCAAGGCCAUAGAGCCCACCUAAGGCUAACGACCCAAAAGGAGAAAAAGGUUGGUUCCACGUACUCUAAUAUUUACUAGAAAAGGUUCUUCCUAUUAAAGAACAAAAAAUUGCAUUCCCUUGUGACCAAUCCAAACAGUAGACCACUGACUUGUAUAAGGCAUUAUUCACCAUGCAAGCACUUUUUCAGCAACCUACCAUCUGGCAUGAACCAUUUUGGAUUGAUUCACAAAGCAAUGGUGUUAUAUUAAGCAUAUUCAAUAUAGAACCAAAUUGUGCCUCCUUAGAUUAACUAAAAUAUUUCCAUUGCAAGAUGUGCAGAUAGGCAUAUGAUCAUGAAGUAAUUUCCUGAUGAUAAUACCCCACAAAAUAUUUCUUUUUCUCACUGAUCUCUCCUAGAUUUUCAGUUCACCCAUCCAUGGCGCCUGACUAAAAAUGGGGGCAUUUUGGAUACCCCGAGCAGUAAGUUAGCCUGGUAGGCAUCCCGUUGCAAGCAAAGUCAACCCGAGCGGUCCAUUUGACCAAAGCUUAUCCAGGCAGUAAGCGUCCAUAUACAGCUAACUGUUAUGCACCAUCAACAGGUUGAGGUUACAAGAUUAAAGAGUCAUAAUGGCCAAAUGGAAGUUACACGACUCGGCCUAUAUAAUAACAGUAUGACAAAAAAUGCAGGUAUGAAGAACUAUCACUGAAAAAAUUUAUUCCUAAAAAUCCUUUAAGCUCCUUUAAGCUAACUUGGGCAUUGGAGAGGUCUCUCCGAAGCACACUCGAGCUUACCUUUUUGUAAGACAUCGAGAACAAGAGGCAUUGAAGUGAUUGUCCGGAGGGUUGAACUUGGUCGGGAACCAACAAUACACACUAUUCAAAAAUAGGGAUCAUAUUAAAUUAUUAAUGCAACCAUAGGAAGCAAUUGAGGACAAGGGUGUUAUUUGAUUAAAAGGGUAAUUGAAAACCUAAAUUUUGAAAUUUAACCCUCCAUUCUAUUUGGCCUUAUGUGAACAAAAAUGCCUUCAUUAUUUUCUUGUAAAAAUAACUCACCCAUUUAAACCUUACAUGAAAAUACUUAAAAUGGUAAAUGAUAUGUUAAAAAUUGAUUAUUUUUCAAAUAAAACAUAAGAAGGGUCAAAUUCAUGAAAGGAUUAUUUCAUCCCUUUUAAUCAAUUAAUUCGAUUUAUUUCUUUUUAUUUUUUUUCUCUCCAUGUUAAUUUUCACAUCACCCAACAACACCACUCUUAAUUCACACAAGUUUGAAGUUUUUGAAUGAGAUAUAUUCGUAAUUAUAUUGUAAUUGUGUUAUAAUAACCAUUUCGUACUUGGAUUUGUUCUUUCAGUCCAUUUAACCUUUUUGUUUAUUCAUGUCAAAACAAUGUACUUAUAAUCGAAUCCAUUUAUGACAUGUUGAUCUUAUAUAAAUUUAUUAAUUUUAUAUAUUUAAAAAUUAUAAAAAUUAAAUAUACUUUUUCAAUUAUGAAUAUCAUAUUACUAAAAUAUUAAAUAACAAAUUAACUUGAAAUGCUAUAUAUUUCAUUAAUUAUUUUAUAAUUAAAACAUUAAAUGAAAUAAUAAACAAGUAUAAAAUAGAAAAUUCUAUCUUAGUUAGAAAUUAUAAACUGUUAUUGAGACAUAUAAGUAUUAAAAUUCUACCCAUUUCACUACCAAACAACUUAUGUUUUUAGUCAUAAUUUAACCUUAUGAUGAACACUUAAAUAAAAUUUGUCAUCUUUUUCUAUUGAUUUAUAUUUAUUUAUUUAAAAAUUUUGUCUGGCAUAAACUAUCAUCUCACAAAAUCAUCAUUGAUGAGUAGGCUAUGCCCCAGUGUAAGCAUCUCCAAAUCAAACAUCAAUGAGAGGAGUACAACCAAUCAUACAUCAUCUUAUCAAAAUGAAUCUCCGCUUUUCAAAGUCAUCGUGGUAACGUGAAGAGAGUAUUUGACCUCCUCUAAAGAAAAAACAUGUCUUGAUGUGAAAAAGAUCAAGCAAAGUGGUAUGCCUCAACAAAAAUGUGCUCAAACAUGAUCAUGCCCCGAUGUAAGUUAGUAUCUCUAAGAUCAAUCGCCAAUGAAAAGGUUAUUCCCCAGUAUAGGGCAAACUCUGAAAUGACUAAACUCCGUUGCAAGCUCUCAUAAGUGUCUGUGUCAUGAUCCAAUCAUCGCAAAAAUUUGUCAACAAUGAUGAGAAGGCUAUGCUCCUAUAAUCACAUCAAAGAAAUCACUCGGUCAUAUUACUCCAAUGUGAAAGAAAUCUAAUCACCUCCAAGGAACAGCUAUGCCUCAAAACCAUCAUCGACUGAGAGGGGGAUGCCCCUGAUCCAAUCACCACCCUAACUAACGUACCCAUCAUGAGGAACACUUGUUUGAGCUCCAUAAUGGGGAUCAACCAUUAGAUGAACAAGAUUCGAAUAUUACUUGCUCCCCAUUUCAACCAAUGAAUGAUGUACCUGGAAACCUUGUAGACAACCAUAGUUUUCAGCCUUCUUCCUCGCGAUCAUCUAGAACAGAGUCGGUAAGCUUCACUCAUUUCUUAUAAUGGACCUUGACCCACAACGUCGAACUACCUGUAUGCAAAAUUAUCCGUCCAGAAAACCCAUCCAUACAAUUCAGGUUCAAAACCCACAAGAACCACCCUAUGAAUAAACUAAUUAUAGCUGGCUUCGUUGCAAUAGGCAUUAACUUUCUUAUGCUGACAGUCCUAGCAUCAUUUACCAAAGGAUCAACAACUUUUCCAUGUCAGAGAACAUUAUCAAUCACAAUGACACCCCUGGUCCUCACUAGUUGCGAUAGCAAUUUAAAGUAUUCUUGAUUCAAAGGGUAAACAAAACAAAAAAGAAAACCCUAAGUGUGACUCCUUAUUUGAAAAAUGUGGUUUAUGAAAAACCGGAUCGAGCUUAGGGGUCAGGUUACUUAUCGGGAAGGUACAAAAAAAACCGUAGCACCCCUCUAAGUCCCUAAAAUGGGUCUCUAUUGAUAAAAUGAAGCAAUCAUGGCAAUUGGUAAGGAAAUCAUUGAGUAUCAACAUGAUCACACAUUGAGAGUUAAAGCAUGCAUGAGGAAUGGUCAAAGUGAGAAAGGAUGCGUACCUUAGCAACGAGUCCCAAUGCGCUAUCAAGAAAUUGGGUUAGUGCACAAUCAAUAAAUAUAAAAUAUAACACACAUGCAUCACUAAAUAGGGUAAUAAAUCCCCGAUGACAAACCUUGCACUUCACUCAGGUUUAUUUCUACUUCUCUGAUGUUGGGCCCCACCAAAGCUCAUUUUAUUUUGCAUGAAUCAACUCCAAUAACUCCAUUAUUCGGAAUUACGAAAUUUAAUUCUUGCUUAUUUUAAAGCAUUUUAAAAAUAGAGGAGAUAUGAGAAUUGCUCGCCAGAAAAGAAGAUGGCGGCAAAAUUUUAAUGAAAAACGAGUUUUUGGAACCUAAGAAAAAUGUUAAGGAUGGAAAAUUUUGGAGGUUUGAAAUUAAUUAAAAAUUAGAAUUGAGGAAUUUAUUUACAAAAUGGGGUUUAGGAAAAUUAUUUUCAAAAAAAAAAAAUGAUGAAAUGAGAGAUGGCACGUGACACAAGGGUGGCCAUGCUGAAGGCGUUCUCUUCUGGCCCAAGCUGGAAAUGCACUCCAAUUAUCCUUCUUUUCUGGUAUAACACCUUCAUCAAAAUAAAUAGCUUUUGCACCAUACUCUGAUAGACAAGGACCAAUAACAAUGCCUAUAUUUGCCUUAAGUAGACAAAGUAAGUCACCCAUUGAACCUCCAAUAUAAAUUGUCAAGUGCUCUGUGUCAUUACUGCAUCCCUCCUUCAAGAUGUCCUUAGAAACCUAAAGCUUUUCCACGACAUACUCCAUCUUCUUAAUGAUUUCACCCGUGGAAAUGGAUUCUUCACAAGCCAACUCAUUUGAAUAUACUCUCAAAACACCCAUAUCACCUGAUGAAAAUGCUGAUCUAACGAAAUCGCCACACCAACAGUAUGAAAGUCCAUGAACAUCUGCUUUCAGAUUAUUAUUUUUAAGAAUCUUUUGGAAGAAACCUGUGCAACCAUCUUGAAGAAUUAGACCUUGACCAACCUGUUUUAUAUCAUCUGAAUUUAAACCCUUCAAUACUCCAGACUGAGUCACUCUUGAAUCUGCCUUUUCCUCAAAAUCAGAAAGUUGCUCAAGUGCUUUACAUAAGCCUUCAUAAUUGAAUUUUUCCACUGUUUCACUGGGGACGAUGCUUCCCAUGCAUUUUUCAAGCUCUUCAGUAUGCUGGGUAGAUAGAACACCCCAUGUGUGUGUCCAGAUCACCAUGAGUGACCAUUUGAACCUUGACGAAUGAGAGAGUACAUAACAUUUAAGCACACAGGACAUAUAUUAACAUUCUCCAUUAGCUUCUCUUUGCCUUUGUCCACCUCUUGACCUCCCAUGCAGCCAACUGUGAAGACCACGUCCAGGUGCAGUCACGUGGUGACACAUCUCAUGGUCUUCCUCAUCCAAUAAAUCACAUGCUCUGUUAAAUCUGCUACCCGAAUGGAUACCUCCUAUCCAUCAACCUGAAUAUACUCCGAGCUUUCUUCAUAAAACCCAAGAAACUCCAGAAGGCAUCAUGGUUCUCCUCCAUCAUUGAAAUGAUUAGGGAUAGUAAAUCACUCAUCCCUUAGCAAUAUCCCAUUUUUAAACCAUAGGGUGCGUAGGCUUCUAGAAUAGUAGCAAAGUGAGCAACACGGAAAAUCUUGCGUGGAUCCAAGUUCCAUGAUGGUGAUCGUAGCCUCACCUUUGAAAUCACAAGACCCAGAACCCAUUCGUUCUUCCUGGUAAUAACUAUCAGAUGCAUAGGAGGCAGGGUUCUUCAGAUUGUUGAUUUGGUAAAAGCCUCUUCUGGUUGAACCCCUGAAUGAUUCACUUUUCUCAGUCCGCAAACCUAGUUCAGAACAGCCCGCAAGAUCAGAACCUUAACCUAGGCGUGGAGAUCCAGUGUUGUAUAACGCCUCAAUUGUCGGAAGCAGCCAUGGCCCAAACAAUGAUAUAAUGGUCAGCAAGUUGUCCCCAAGGACCAUGACAGUGAUGAGCAUUUCCGGGCAGCGCGUCACCACGUUCCACGUCGCGACGGUAAUGGCUAUGGACUGAGUGUCAUGGUCAGGGAGCUUGAUGAAGCAGGUGAAAAUCUGGUGUUUUAGAUUCUGAGGCAAUGACUGCUUGAUCGGUCGGAUUCUAGUACCGGCGUUACAUUGGGGAGGCAAUCUUAAAGUUCCAACGGAGGUAGUAGUGGACUAAUAUUCCUCAAUAACCAAACUUGAGUUUCUCACUUUCCGCUUCUCAAGGCAUUCACCUGAAACGCUUCAGGCGCCCAAACCCUUUCUGCUCAUCAGUAUAAUCACGCGCAUGAAAGUCUUAACUGCCUUCUAAACUUCACAACUUCAUCUUGCAUCUGGGUCAUCGUCGGCACGAACUUAUCACCUGAUUCAGUUAAUAUCCCCAUAUAACAAGUUCCAAUGAAGUCGCAACUUUGCAUCUUCUUUUCUGCGAUUACUUUGAUUCUCAAAGCCGAUUACUUGUUGCAGUCCAUAGGAGAUUCAAUAAUCAAACAUCAUGCACAAGCAAAAAGGCAACAAAAUACAUCGGCAUGUGGCCCAUACACCCUCCAAAAUCUUCACUCAUUUAGUAAGUUUUAGAUUCAAAAGAGUUAGCCUUCUGGUGAGCAACCCGAUACCCAUAACGAAUGAUGUAUCUGAAACACCUUUCCCACGUGGCCCUUGAAGGAUUCACUAGAAGGUGACCAUGCAUAGUAGGUCUUCACUCGCAGGAGAAUGAGAAGGAAAUAAACCUAAAGGGGGGUUGACAGCGUAGUCUAGAAGGUGAUGAGCUGAGCGGGUGGGGGUAUUAGGGUGGUCAAGUUCAGUGGGUAUGAAGGGUGGAAAGAUGGCAUGAUAGAGGAAUAAGCAGCUGAUAGUGGGUGCGAUGAUAUAAGGUAGGUUGACUAUGGAGAGUAUGGCAUUAAAGGAUGAAGACUUAGAGAGAGAGAGGUGGGUUUAAGGGUAUGGUGAGAUGGAGGGUUGAGGGUGAUAGGCUUGGAUAGUUGCAUGAGGAGGAUGAAAGGUGGGUAUGGAAAAUGUGCAUGGGUAGGAAAUGGGUAUAACAAUGGGUGUGAAUAUUGAGAGGUAGUGAAAUGAAGGCAGCCUUGCUCGUAUGGAUCAGUGUCGGAUUGAGUUAAGAAUGGUGAGAGAAAGGGAUUCGAUGAAUAUUGAAUGAUGGAAAAUGGUGAUUGGUUAGAUAGGGAUUUGUGGUCGAAUGGAAAUAGGAGACAUGAACAUAGAGAUGAGUGUGAUGGAUGAUAGUGGGCAUGAAGGGUAUUGGAUUUGUUCAUGGGUAUAGUGGUUAAAAGAGUGGUGAGAAGAAAAAAAAAUGGCCAUGUAAAUAGCAAUUAUACAUGUGGGCCCGUGAUUGCAAACGGGACUGCAUUGUUGCAUCUCAUGCUGAACCCUCACCUCCUUCUAGGAUCAUUUUCUGCAUCAAAGCUAGAUAAACUUAGAUGGUAUUUCCUGCCAAUUUUGGAUGCCCCCCACUUUGGAAAUAUUUCCUUUUCACCCAUCAGAAUAUGCUUAUCAGGUGUACUUGACUCAGGUUCAUUCCCAUAUUGCCUCUCUGAUUUAUGAUCUUCAAAGGUUUUGCAUGAAGGAAGCCUUUCACUGCAUUCCCCUUCAUCCACCAGACCUUCAGAGCAUCGUUUCCAACAAAAGCAACCUUGACUCUUCUAGUCCCAUCAGAAAAAAGUCUGAAUAUCCUCAGUUUAUGUCAUCCCUUGAUGCCCAACUCAGAAAUGAUCCAAAAAACAGUCAUCUCCCAUAUUUGGCUUCCCAGAAACACCUCGACUCAGAUGGCCAGUCCAAAUGUGAUACCCAACAUUCUAAAAAUGCUAAAAACAGAGGAGAUGAUGAAGAAAAACAGAGCAUGUAUAAAAGAAAAAAAAAAGGACUGUUAAAUCUCACUCCAUUCCAUAAAUGCUAAUGGGGUGGAUAUGGUGGAAUCAAAAGGAAGCAAGAGCGUGAUCUUCAAAAUCAAAAGCAAUGAUGGAUCCAUAUUCAAAACGUUCCAGAAUAGAGAAAGACACAAAUAAGGAGCAGGGUUUUUUUUUGUUACUGGCAGGAAGAUAUUUUUUCUAGAGAGUAACUAGAGAGAAAAAUAGGAAGAAAAGGGAAGAGCAUAGAAGACAUCUACAUAGGAGAGUAUUCAUUGUUGUGAGGAGUAGUAGAGAGCUUAGGAGGAGUUACAAAGAGAGUGAGUUUGGUUAGAGGAGGAAGUUUUGUUGGUUUUUCAGAAAGGAUUCUAGCUUGAGUGAGAGCCAUUCUAGAGAGGGUUAGAGAGGAGAAAGGUGUGUUUUGAGCAGCAAAGACACGAAGCAAAAUAGAGCAGCCAGGAAAGAGAAGCAGAAAAUCAAAAUUACUAAAAAAUUAGUGAAAGCUGUGAAAUUUCAUAUUGUUACUAAUUAUUAUAAUUUUUUUUUGUAUUUUCAAUAUUUCAACCAAUAUUUUAUAUAAUUAAAUUUAAAUUAUAAGAAUUAUAUUAUUAAUACACAUAACUAUCUUAAUGUUUUAACAAUGUAUACUUAUUUAAAUUUAUUUCAAUUUUUUUAUUUUUUUAUAAAUAUCUAAUUAGACUUAUAAUUCAUUGAAAUUAUUCAUUUUUUUUUUACUUCAUAAACCAAUUAUAUUACUUUUUGUAUUUUCAAUAUUCAUUUGGAAAAAAUAAUUUCAAUUUAAAAUAAAAUAAAUUAAUUAACUCUCAAUUUAUAAAUUGUGUCAUUGAAUUAUUUUUUAUUUAUAAUAUUUAGUUUAUUUUAAAUUUAAUUUUUUUUCUUCACCUUUUGGUUUAUCACUUUAUAUUAAAAAAUAAAAUAAAAUUGAAUUUCUUUUAAUUUAUAUUUUCACAAAUUAUUCAAUAUUUUUUUAAUUUUUAUAAAAUAAAUCCUCAGAUUAUAUAAUUGGAUGUUGUAAAGAGUUAAAAUUUUUGUGUUGCAUUGAAUUAUUUUUUCUAACAAAAGUAUAUUUGGGUACCGUAGACAUUAUAUCCAUAUCUUAACGUAUUAUAUACUUUUAUUUUGUGCAAUUAGCAAUUGAGCGGAAGACGCGGAGCCGGCUAACGGAAAUACCGCGUGUCACGCGUGUCCCUUCCCGUACCAAGUCUCAACUGCUUCAAGAUUUCCGACGCGCCCUUCUUCGCUUAACUCUUAAGUCUUUUCUUCCACUCUUCCUUAAACCCAUCACAUUUCGCCGCGUGGACCUAAGUCUCAAUGUCCUUGUGUUCAUACGAUGUAUGUUCCCCCAAUUCCUCAUCUACACUGAAACUCCAUACUCGCCUACUCAAUCACUUCUCUACUCUAGAGUCUGGAUGCUUAUCUCUGCGCGUGUCGAUGGCUCUUCACCCCAGCGAGUAUGGCAUUACAAGGGCAAUAUCGUCAUUAAAGACACAACAGAGUGUCUAUUUUAUUUAAGCUGUACGUAAUCGUGAUUGACUUCUUAGUAUCCUUUUGCUCCUAGUCUUCUCCCGCGUCUCUUAUAAAAACUAAAGAAAACCACUCCAAGAGAGCACACUACAAGAAUCUUCUUCCUUUUUUUCUUUCCUCUUUCUCUUUACAGAUAAACUGAGAAAGCCCAGCUCAUCCCUCAAUUCCCAGAUGGGUUUCAUGAAUGUUCUCAAGUUCUCAGCUGCAUGCUUUGAUCUUCUUGGCUGGUAUGUUGUCCACGCGUUUUCUUGCCAUUGGAAAUUUUUGGGAAAUGAAGUGGAAUUCUCUGUUUGAGGACAAACAUGGGAUUUUCUUUGAUUUCUCCCUGUUGGUUUUAUCUAUAUUCUUUGAAUUACCCACAUUCUUGUCAUUGAUUGUUAGUCAUUUGUUUGGAUUUCUACUUGCAGGCCUCUAUGUGCACUGGGUUAUCCUCUGUAAGUCUUGGUCUUACACCUCAAGAUAUGAUGAUUCAUUUACUCUUUUCUUGUUCUACGAAUGGUUCAGUUACAUUUAUUGUGUUGGGAAACUGAAAAGGAAAAGGAUUAUUAGUUAUUAUCGUAAUAAUCAUCAACAUCAUCUCGGUUCUUCACAGAUGUGCUUCAAUUCGGGCAAUUGAGACUAACUCAAUCUCAGACUUUCGGAAGUUGGUGGCGUAUUGGGUUCUAUUUUCCUUGAUUUCACUCUUUGAUCAUGCUUUUUCCAAGCUCCUUGAAUGGUAAUUUUGCUCAACUGCAUUCCACUAUAUGUGACUCUGUUUGUUUCAUUUCUUUGCCCUUAAGGAAUUUGGAGUUGCUUUUUUCAGUUUUCUUUCCUAUGAAAAUAAUCGAGAGGUCUCCAUGUAUUUUAUAUUCCUUCAUUUCUCUGCUUUGACAAAGGCCCACAUUCUGAUCAGCAGAAAGGUUAUAACAUUUGAAAAAGAAGUGCUUUAUUUUUGUUUUUUGUUAGUACAAUAAUUUUCGUUUGGAUAAAUGGUCUGAAGGGUGUUUGUGUUUGGCUGAGUUCAUGGAAUUUUCUAGCUAAUUUGGGAUUUAUUCUCAAUUUCAAGAUCAUUGUGGAUAUGUCAGAAAUUAAUGAAAUAUAAACGGUGGAAUGUGAUUUUCUUGUUUAAGAAAAGUUUUUCUUUGAAAAUACGGGUGCACCUGACCUACCUUAUUGUGCUACUUGGAACACAAAACAUUAGUACAGGUAAUUUAUUAACUAAAUUGUACACUUUUUGAUAGUUCAAGGAGGUGGUUUUCUUCUUUUAGGGUGUCAGCUUUGGAAAUAGGAUGGAUCUAAAAGUUUUUAUGUCUCAUCUUUAUAGGGAACUUGAAAGCAUGGAUGCACUUAUUUCCAUGGAAUUUGGCUUCCUUGAAAUCAAAUUAAGCUUUAUGCAUCAUUUGGAUGCUGAGAAACAAAUGGAAAUAGAAAAUUCAGAAUCUGACAAGUUUUUGUAGGGCAACUGGAUCUAAUCUCUUAGUCGAAGCCUAAUUGGGGCAAAUGCUGAUCAUCUUUGGACCCCAUUGAAAGCUCUAAUCUGUGCACAAUUCUAAUGUUUUUGUUUUCUUCAUUUCUUUUUCAACUUUUCACAAUAGAUGUCAAAGGUUAAAACCAAAUUUACGCAGUCCAUCCAAGUGGAUGCAUAUAAAUUUAACAGAAACUGAAAUUCGAAGAAAUUUAUUUUCCCUUUUGUAAAUGGUGUUUAAAUAUUUUAUUUUCUUAUAUAAUGCAUGUCAGGGUACCAUUCUGGCCUUACAUAAAGCUGAUGGUCAUCUGCUGGCUGGUGAUACAGCAGUUUGAUGGUUCAUAUUAUGUCUAUCAACACCUAGUUCAGCCAUGCUUGUCCAUGGAUCCACAAGCUGUCAUGAACUGGCUCUUCAAUGAAUCAAAAAAGAAGUUUCAUAGCAGAGAAAACUUUCUUGUUUCAGCAGACCGAUAUAUUAAGGAGAAUGGACCUGAAGCUUUGGAGAAACUACUUUCUAGGAAGGUAUGCCAUUAUAAGUAGGAUUAUCAACAAGUCAAACAGAGUUUUAUUUGAGAUGUUCAGGUAAAAAAUGACUAUAGUAGGUCAUCUAGAAUCAUUUGGUCUAAAUUCAUGUAUAUAUCUAUAUAUAAUUGUGUUCUCUUUUUUUCACAUAUGCAUGUGCAUUUAGAUUUACAUAAUUAUAUAUGCAUAAUCAGAUUCAACUGUGAUAGCCCGGAAUUAUUUCAGUAAUCAACUCUUCUGGGAACAUGUUGGUUAUGGUUUCUCUCUCACUGUCCUCUUCUUUAUACAUGACUUUGGCUUCAGUUGAGGAGCGCAAAGCCUAAUGUUGAAGUGAAAAAGAUCAAAGCACCUGCAGCACCGGAGAAAAAAGGGGAACAGGUAAGUUCUCUAAUGUGACUAUUUAAUUUCUAUGAGGCAGAUCCCCAGAGAAAUGUUGCUCAUGUAAAUUACUGAUGCAUUUGAUUCAAUGGCAUGGUUUUAAAAGAAAAACCACUUUAUGUAUGUUUCUGUGAAUAAGAGAACAAGUUUAUGGAUUAAAUGAUAUUUUUUAUGGUGGAUUAAUCAAUAAUUUUCAAAAUAAUAAUAUAUUCGUGCAUGUUUUUGCAAUUCAUGAAUUCCUUUUAUGAUUGAUUCUUCUUGCCUUUUUUCUCACCUCAGUGGAAGUGUGAAGAGCCUAAUGUUGCUCAAAAGGAGAUCCAAGUUGUCAAAGUAACAGAGAUAAAAAAUGGGGGGGAUGGAGCAAAGAGGGUAAGUUUUGCUUUUUAUUUAUAAAGUAGGCUGUCUUCACACAAGGAUUAUUAUCUUUAAGACAUGAAUGUUGAAUGCUUUUGGAAUUGUCCAUGAAUCAUGUGUAGUGUGAAUGGCCUAAUGCUGCUAAGAAGGAGGUCAAAGUGACAGAAGUAACACACAGAACAUUCGGUGGUACAGCACAGUGGGUAAGGUUUCAUGUCAUAUUUAAAUGGCUCCUCAUAUUUCACUAGGAUUAAUUUUGCCCCUACAAACAUAUUUGGCUACAAGUUAAGACAGAGUUCCAGAUGCUGAUAAAGUUGAGACAUAAGUAAUGAAUGAGUUUAGAAACAUGCACAACUCUUGUGUGAAACACAAUGAGAGUGGAAAAUAGCUAAGUUGAAAAAUGGCCAAAUACUAUUUUGUAGUUCCCCCUACCACUUAAGUAAUUUUUGUCAUCCUUUGUGAAUGGAAAAUCCAGUCCCUUCAGUAAUUCCGUUAUAUUCAUGACUUGGUGAAGCAUAUAACCAUUAGUGUCUUGCCUUAAGUCGACCUUUAAUGAUGAUCCAUUGAGAUGGGUCUGACUUUUGUCAACCCUCUUAUUCCCUUGAUCAUAGAGGUUAAACUUAGGGGGCUUAACCCACUUUUGAACCUUAUUGGAUAUAUGGCACAUGGUAUCCUCUUCAUCUUGAAAGAGUGAAGUGGUCAUACUCUUUCCUCUGAGUCCAUUGUGGCCAUGCACUUCUGGCCCAUUGGGCUGAGUGAAAGGAUUCCCUUCUGCUUCAAAUCAUAGAGAGAUAUGCCAUGGUCAGCCUCUUUAAUUCAAGGGAUCGAAGUACUCAAAUCCAUUUCUCUGCAUCCAUCUUAAUUCUGCAUUCAUGUCUCAUGGUUAACCAAGAAGAUCCAGCUUCCAUCCAUGAGAUCAGCAUCUGCAGGUUUAUGACACCACCCUUCCUUGGCAUAGGAAAGGGAUCAUUAAGCCAUGUGUUGGAUGACAGAAGUCAUCAUUCAGGUUAUCUUGAGAACUAAGGAAGUUGGAAUUCUAAUUAUUGCAUAUGGUUCUUGAUGUUUAGCCAAUAUACCGUAGGAUUUUAAGGAUCAUGCUCAUGUGCAUUGUGGUUGUUUAUCAGCUAUAUGGUUUACCAAAAUGAGGGACUGAUUAUGGUCAUAAGUACCUUUUUCCUAUUAAUUUCUUGCAUGUGCUCUGCUGAGAUUAUGUUUUUGACAGUCCAAAUCAGGGCAAACCAACAAACAGCUUUAUGUUAACUUUUACAAACUGCCACAUUUUCAGGUUAAACGAACAGAGAUAAAUCUUGGUGAAACUAGAAGUAAUACAACUUGUGCUGUGGAGAUAAAAGAAAGGGCAGCGGCACUGGUGGCUGCAGAAAUUGAGGCAUGUAGAGACGAUAGAACCCCCAAGAUACCUCUUCAUGAGAAAGUCCAGAAAGAGUGGGCUUGUGCUGUAUGCCAGGUCACAACCCAAAGUGAAGCGACCUUCAAUUCCCACCUUCAAGGGAAGAGACAUCAGGCCACUUCUGAGCAGCUGAGAGCCAAAAACCAGGCAACCAAAACCAAUUGUUCCCCAUCUGCUUCAAUGGCCAAGAAAUCUGAUCAGUCCACCAAAGAGGAGCAACCGAAGUGUACUUCCAACAAUCUGAAUUCCAAAAACAAUGGAAUCUCAGCUGCUUCAACAGUGAAGAAACCUGAUGACACCAAAGAUGAUGAGCGACAAAAGUCUGCAUCUAGCAAUGAACCGAACCAGAAGAAUAACAAAAAGCAAGAGGUACAGACCAAUGAGCAAGGCCAUCAGAAGAACUUAAAGCAAACUGGCGAUGGAAUGAAAGAGUUGAGAUUAUGCUGCAAUAUCUGUAAUGUAAGCUGCACAAGUGAGCUUGACAUGGCCUCUCAUCUCAAUGGAUGGAGGCACUUUAAUAUGAUAAAGGAGGCGUCUGAAUUAUGGUGCAGUAACUGCAAUGUAAGGUGCAACAGUGAGGCUGUCAUGGCCUCUCACCGAAAUGGGAGGAGGCACUUGAAGCAGCUGAAGGAACGGUCGGGAUUAUAGUGCAGUAUCUGUAGCGUGAGAUUGUGUUAGGAAGAGGUGGAAUGGGUUCCAAUCAGGAAUUAAGACUCGGUUCCAAGACAUGGAAAGUGUCUUUAGAUUAUGUUAUCUCCAUUUUUUUUAUUGUGAGAGGGGAGUAUAAGGAAUGAAAAUAAAUAUAUAUAUAUUUUUUAAUAGAGAUGAAUUUGAUAAUUUUAAUUAUUGUGUUUUGAUGUAUUUAGGAAUGUAAAAUUAAAAUAAUUAUUUAUUUUCAUUUUAGUAUUUGACAAUAAUAAAAUUAUGAAUUAAAAAAUAAUGUGAUAAUAAUACAUUUAUAUUUAAUUUAAAAUAUUUUUUAUUUUAUUUUAGAAGAAUAUGGGUUAAAUUCUUUUUUUAAAUAAUAAGCUUAAGAAAAAUAAUUUUUACUCAAUAAAUAAAAUUAAUCAUAAAAAGUCAUAACAACCUAAUAAAAAUAUAGGGGUAAAAUAAUAAUUUUAAAAUAUUAUUUAAGUUAUCCAAACAAAUUUGACUCUUCAUUCUCUCUCUUGAACCAAAUACGGUCUUUUAAGCGUUUGUCAACUUAUUUUUUUUUGCAAAAUAUCAAUAUUUUACUAAUAUUUUUAUCGAUUAUUUGCCAAUAUUUAUCGCCACGUCACCAAUUCUUUGAGUUUGACUUUCAAAAUUUUGAAAUGAUAUUUGAAGUCCAGUUCAGCCCAAAUCACUACACCCAUGAUUUUUCCCUUUUCUUUUUCUCCUUAAUUUUCACAUCACCCAACAACACUACUCUUAAUUCACACAAAUUUGAAGGUUUGGAACGAGACUUCUUCCUAAUUAUAUUGUAAUUAUGUUAUAAUAACCAUGUCGUAUUUGGAUUUAUUUAUUCAGUCCAUCUAAAUCUUUUGUUUAUUCAUGUAAAAAGAAUAUAGUUAUAAUCGAAUCCAUUUGUGACAUAUUCAUCUUUUAUAAAUUUAUUAAUUUUAUAUAUUUAAAAACUAUAAAAAUUAAAUAUAUUUUUUCAAUUAUGAAUAUCAUAUUACUAAAAUAUUAAAUAACUAAUUAACUUGAAAUGUUUUAUAUUUCAUUCAUUAUUUUAUAAUUACAACAUUAAGUGAAAUAAUAAAUAGGUUAAAAUAUAUAUUUUAUUUUAGUUAAAAAUUAUAAAUUGUUAUUGAGACGUAUAACUAUUAAAAUUCUACCCAUUUGACCAUCAAACAAACAACUUAAGUUUUUAGUCAUAAUUUAAGCUUCUGAUAAACUCUAUUUCCAUAAAUUAGAAACCGAAAUCAAUUUCUUCUUAGACUCAAAAACAUAAAGACAAUCUUUUAAUUCUAGAAGACAUCUAUCAUUUAAGAUAAGGGUAACAUAUCCCAUUGCCUAAACAACAACUCUUGCUUCAAAAGCCAAUGUCAAGUACAUAUCCCUAUCAUUCAACCUUUCCCUUAGCUAAAACCCCUAUAAAGAAUUAUAAACAUAAUCAAUGGCUCCAAAAUUUAUCCACCAAGAGUUAGUGGAAUCCAACACUAAACAUAAUUCAACUAUAAGAGAAUGAUGCAUAGUUGACUAUCUCUUCAAGAACUAAGGACAUUCCUUCUUCUUCUAAUGGCAUUUUUUACCACAAAGGAAACACUUGUCAUGACCCUUACUCUUCUUCUUCUUCCCCUUAGCCUUAAACUUCCCCUUCUGCUUGAUGAACUCUAUAGUGUUCUUCUUAUUUUGGCUAGAAAAACCUAAAGAACCCUUAACUGCCAUAUAAAUACCUCUCUGGUCCUUGAGAAUUCCCUCAGUCAUUUUGUGUUCUCUCAUUAGUUCAAUUGUAGUUUAAGAAAAAUAAUGUUUUUUAUUUUAUUUUAUGUGAUUGAACUUGGAAUGAAUUUCCAAGUUGCAUACAUACUUGGGUUGAGAUCAAGUCAUAACGUAGUUUAAGAAAAAGAUUUUUUAUUUUUUAUGUGAUUGAACUUGGAAUGAAUCUCUAAGCUACCUACGUAUCCAAGAUGGGAUCAAGUUCUAACAUAGUCACAAUGCAGUUCAAGAUUUUUUUUUUUCUUUUUUUGUGCUCUAACUUUUGUCAAGACUAAAGAUCUUAAUCUUGCAAGCAUGUCCUAACUUUUGUCUAGGUCACCUUUCCAAGUUUUCAACUUAGCAAACAUUUUUUUUUUUUGUUCUCUAACGUUUGCCAAGACAAAAGAUUUUAAUCUUGCAAGCAUGUCAUAACUUUUACCUAAGUCAGAUUUUUAGGUUUUCAAUGUGGUGGAUUUUUUUGUUUUUUAUUUUUUAUUUUUUAUUUUUUGUGUCGUAGGCAAUUUAGCUCAUACGGCCCAGAAGCGAUGUGUAGUUUGUUGGGAUUCAACCCUUAAAAGCAAAACAUGAUGUAACAAAGUUAGACUUAACUAUCCCCUUGCUAUCAUUUUGGUGUAUUAACAUUGAUUUAAACAUUCAACUCAUAUUUUACAUUGUACAUGACUUAGGUGCAUUAGGAGUUGCUCAUAAGAUACAUGGAUUCCUUGUAAGUAGAUGAGUUAUCCAUAGUCAGUUCAUGGAUUUGGGCAAUCUAGUAGAGACUGUAAUGCACCACCUCUUAAUUGAAGAGAUGACUUGUCUUGACAGUUGGGAUAGGUUUCCUAUGGUGAGUGCACUAGUAUAUAUGAUGCACAUUGGAUAGGACCUACGGUAAAUCAUGAGCAAAGCUAUCAAUUGUCAUGAUUCACCAAGUUACGAUACUGCAUGGACUCUCAAUCUUGAGAGGACAUUGAACCUGUGCCAAAAUCAACAAAAAGCUUUCACCUAUAGAUGAGACCUUAAAGUGAUCAUAUAUCCCUAUGGAUUGAGUCACUAUUGAUGAAGGUUGGUGGUAAUAGGUAUUCUCAAUAGAGGCACCAUGAUAUCUCAUGAGAUUGAGACGGUGUGUCCCCUUGGGUGAUACAAAGGACAUGUGAUCAUAAAAUCUGUGACCAUAGUAAUUCUUUUAUUGAAAUUUGACAUAUACCCCUUCGAGCUAGAGUAUGUCAGUUGAUUACAUAAUAAGUGGCAUCUAUAACUUAAGGAUUUGAGAGGUAAUCUUGAUAGGUGAUAGCACUACCUUGUUAGAUUAUGGACACCAGUUCAUGGGGAAUCUACAUGCAGUGGAUGAUAUGUCACGAACGCGAGCUUCAUAUCGUUGUUAUUAACAUAGGAUACUGGAGUGCAAUUGAUUCUCUUUAGUAGAAUGUUGAAUCAACUUCAAAAUGGAUUAUGAGGGAGCCAAUACUCCUAUGGGUCUUAAUGGUCCCCACUCUGAGCUCAUAUACCAUGAUGACACAGUUUAUGAGGGUUUGAUUGGCUUUAUGUUCAUUUUUGUGCAUAAGGGCAUUUUGGUAAUUACACAAGGUUACAUAGGGGAUAGUCAAUAAGGUCUUUAGAUUGGGCCAAUUGAUUAAUUAGAUGACCUUAUGUGGUUAAUUAAUCAAUUAUGAUAUGUUUAGGCUAGAUUAAAUGACCCAAGCCUUGAUGAAUUUAAGUCACUUAAGCCUAGCAGAUAACCUUAUAAAUACCCUCUUAUGGGUUAGGGUUUCCUAAUGACUUUCAGUUAAUCAUCUUCCAUCCCUAGAAAGAGAAAGAGAGCCAAAUCUUUCUCCCUUCCAUUGCCCACACUUUGGUAUGCCAAGAUCAUGGUUCAAGUCACUGGGAGGAAGAUCUUGGGUGUACAAGACCUUCGGACUCUUUAAGUUUCUUCUUCGUUGGAUGAAUUUUUAUUUGGGACACAUCUAGAUCAUAAGUAUGUGUUAGAAAAUUUGGCUAAUUCAACUUAAGGUAAUCACUCUAGAGGAGGGGUGAAUAGGGUGAUGAUCUUUUUUUACAAAUUUAAAUUAUGUGAAUGCAAGAGACAAUUAUACUAUGCAAAUAUAUAGUAAAACCAUAUAAAAAUAAUUGCAUAUAAAGUACAAGGGUAGAAAAUAGAGAAUAUAAACACAAGAUUUUUAUAGUGGUUUGGUGCAACUCGGCCUACAUCCAUUCUCCUCUAGCUUCAAUCCCAAGUUUGAGGUUCCACUAAUUCAAGGCUUCCAACCUAACCCUUCAAGCAAUACAAUUGGAUUAUGGUUCCAAUCAAACCUUUUGGACUUUUGGCUCUAAGCACCUUUUACAAUCUUUGAUUCGUGCCUAACUGGUGUUUGCCCUGUUGAUUGGUGUUCAAUCAACUGAUGUGCUUUGAUUUCAGUCCUCAGACGAGAGUAAUCAACAAAAUUUAUAAACCUAUUUCACCAUAUACUAGGGUAGCAUUAGCUAGCAUAGCAUAGUGGCUCUAGGAUCGUCCACAGGGAUGGGUUUUCAAAUUACAAUUGAUAUUAGUUCAAAAACUGAAUUGGUGUUUUUUCUUUUCAAGGUUAGCUUUAAAAGAAAACAUAAGUAUGUGUGAAAAGGUUGGUUUUAAGUGAAACCAAAAAUAAAGUAACUGAAAUUACUUACAAAGAAAAGUGCUUCUUGGAGUUUUAGAUCACUAGGCUCAAGUUCCUUAUACAAAAAGAGAGAUUCCGAUCACUUGGAUCUUUUCCUAGCAUUGGGGAUUUAACAUAUAGUUAUUUCCCGAACCGGUGCGGUACAGAUGCUUCCCCUUAAUGGUUUCAAACACUAAAUCUCUAUCACUGAAUCAUCUUGUAAUGGUUCAUACCUCUCACCUGGUAUUGGUCAUUUAAGGUGAUCAUUAACCUUGGAUUACCCGUCAAAAGCUCGCAAAAGAUAACUAAUGAAUGUCUCCUAGGAGUCCAAAAGCUUACCAAGUGUUGGCUAUUCUAGAUAAUCCUACCUUUAAACCAUCUCCCAAAAGCUCGCAAGAGAUAAACUAGUGGAUCUCAAUGGACGGAGUCCACUUGCCUUACCAAGUGUUGGCCCAAGUGAUUUUAAGGGAUUUUAAGUUAACUAAAAAGAUAAAAACCAUUAACGGGUCACACUUUCUCUUCAUUAAAACCUGAAACAAUGAAACUUCCACUUUUGUAUACGAAACCUUACCUAGCUUCCUUCACUCCAAGAAACAAAAAGCCUAGCCACUCAUCCUCUAGGAAAACAUCCUCAGAGUUUGAUUUGGUAGAAAUAAAAAUAAAAGAGAAAACCAAAUGUGAAGGUAAGGCCGAGCAGAGCUCUGUGUAUUACUUUAUGAAAAACUAUACAAAAUUUGUCUCUAAGAGAAACUCCCCCGAGAUCUCUUUUAAAAGAAAAUUACAAUAGAUAUCAUAUAAAGAGGCUAUUCACCCCUCUUGCUAACUUCCCAACCAUGAAAACUUGUCAAUGGUGGGUUACAAGGAGAAAAUAGGGAUUUACACACAAAUAUUUGAAGAUAAACAUCAAACUGAGUCGGUGCGCAAAUAUCUCAGAUUACAAGUGGAUUUCGCAAGUUCAAACGCAACUUGCAAAAAUUUUGCAAGUUGAAAUUAUGGUUUCGCAAGUUGCGAAAUUGUCCUGCAACUAAUCAGCUCUCUGUCCUACAACAAUUCCUUUCCUCUUCCUAUUUCGCAAGUUGUGAGAAUUUCGCAAGUUGGAUUCCACAACUUGCAAAAUUGUUGGAUGGUUGAUUUCUUUUGUGAUUUUCUUCCUUGCAUCCUCAUUUGGCUUUGGCAAAGGGUUAUGAAGCUCCAAAGCUUAGUUUCUUCAUGAAUUUGAGCUUCAACUUGCUUUGCCAUGAACUAUACAAAGAUCUCCCUCAUUCUUGGAUUGCUUUGGUGAUAAAAAAGCUAUGAAAAACACCAAAACUUAACACAAUUUGAUUAGAAACGAUUGUAAGGGUCUUUAACAUGCCAAUUGAGUUAAAAGGUAAUAGCUACUACUCAAAAGUGUUUAAAAGAGUUAAUUACAAGCUAUAAAAUGACCCUUUUUGAAGUUCAACCCCUUAAGUGAUACCCCUUAAGUGAUACCCCUUAAUUCAAGAGAUGUCUUACUCUUAAACAACCCCUUAAGUGAUACCCCAUACUUGAGAUUCCCUAAGUGAUGCCUCACACUUAGAUUUUUCAUCUCAAAGAUUUACAAAUGAAGAUAGGAAAUAAUCUCACAAAAUCUUAAUACAAAACAUUAGGCUCAAAUGAUACAAGAUAAACUAUGAUUGAAUGGUGCACUAAUAAUAUGCAAGUUUUAAAACAAUGAGUACUAAAAAACACUCUCCUAAGGUUCAAAUAUAUUCAAGAAAGAUUUAAGAAGGUUAAACUCUUGAAACAAUAAAGAUUGAAACCUUUUUAUGGAGGAGAAAUGCCAAACUAGUUGUUGGGGGUUUGUCCAGUCGAGUUCUGGUUUGACCGGUUCACUAACCGUUAGCAUUUAAUGCAUGAUAGGUGAUCAUUGGGCCUUGACCAUCCCUCGACCAGUACUCAACCGGAUAAAGUUCAACCUUAAUCAAUCGAAUAAGCAUUCUAGAAUAGAGAGAAGGUUUUUGCACCUUUCAAUCAGUUGAGUUGAACAAAUAGACGGAUUCCUUAUCCAGUUCAACCGGUUGAGCCAUUUUUGGCUCAACAAUCAUCAUUUUCAACUUAAAACCUUUUAAACAAGUUUAGAAAGCAUUUGACACAAGGAUUUAGUUGAAAACAUUAAAUCAUCCUAUUUUUAAAAGAUUUAAAACAAAAUACCUCUUGAAUGAUUUUGGUGUAUAAGUAAAUAAUGUAAUGCAUGAAAAACCCAGUGCGCCAACAACCUUACAAAGAGAUCUUAUGAGGCUUAGGUAUUGAAAAACACUUCUCUUUAAGGCAGACAACAUCGUGUGAAUACCAAAGGGGAACUCUACGUUCCUAGGGAAAGAUGCCUCGUCAGUACGUCUUGAGGUUGUUCACUAACUUCGGGGUUACCGGCUUUGAGAGGAGCCCUUUGAUGACAUUUGGGCAUGCAACUCUUCAUUUUCUUCCUUGAUUCGCCUUGUUUGGUGGAUCAAAGAUUGCAUAUGCCAGUCAUUUUUGCACUAGGUUCUCUCCAUGCUUUCACGCCAGCCAAAGUAGCUUUCGUUACCCAUAGUUGAGGAUCGGCUUCUAAAGGGUACUAACAUCCUUAGUCAUUCCCACAGAUGACACCAAUGUUGGUUCUGAGUCGGCUGAAGUCAAAUUCAUCCAACUUAACGGAAGUUUGACAACCUUCCUCCAUUUUUUGUGCCUCUUAGAGAAUCCACCUAGCAGUAAUGAGAUUGGGCGAACUCCUUUCUUGCACAAAAGAAUGUUCAGAUGAGUACUUCGGGUACGCCCUUCGAAGCUUAAGUGAGGCAAAAAUAGCUCAAACUACUUAAUGAGAGAGAGUGGAUAGGUGAAUAUGUGCCUACCUUGUUCGUGCUUUUUGAGGGGUUUAUAUAAUGUUGAUGAGAAUGCCACUAUAGUGCUUACUAGACACUUUAACUUUCUUCUAUAAUGAUGAUUGUCUUGCAGGCGGUUGGGCAAUCAUCAAAAUUUUGGGUGGCUGAUAGGUGCCAUCAACUAACGUGCCAUGAUCUUAGACCAUGCAGUAACCUGUUCCCUCAGUCUGUUGAUGGCCUAAGGUUAUGUGCAACAAUUAAUUGACAUGGACUUGAGGGCUAGAAGAGGUCCCAUCGGCCGUUCACAUGUCAAGUGUGAAUGAUCACUCAUGCUAGUGGGUCUUGAAGAUUUGACUAGACAACCUUACCUAUUUGGGAGGUCCAACCUCCCAUUGCCGUUGUUUUGGCCUUAUAGGAGAAAAGGGCUUUCUCAUGUAUGGUGCUAGAGGGACUAGUCGUGAUCCAGAUGAGUUGCAUACCCAUGCUAGAUGGUCGAAGUGUCCGGGUUGGAAAUGGAGGGAAGCCUCCCACAAAUAUGAGGGAGCCUUAUGAAAACGGAUCCUUAGGGCUUAAGAAGGGGUUUUCAAUUUUAAGGUUUGCCUUUUCACCCAAGGAUGUGAAUGGGAAGAUGAGGCGAAGUUAAAAGAUUGGUGAAGCAAAGUGAGGGCAAGGUAGGGUUUGAAUAAAGGAAAGUAUACACUAUUAAUGAAGAUGAUAAUCUCUAGAAAGAAAAACUAAGGUAAACUAGGGCUUUAAUAAUAAUUUUCAAUCUACACUAGUGAAGAGGAUAUCUUCGAAAACCAAAGUUAGGGCUUCAAUAACGAAUUUCAAUCUACAAUGGUGAAGACAAUAAUCUUCGAAAACCAAAUCUAUAAUGAUGAAGAUGAUUGAAAACUAAAUCUAUACUAGUGAAGACGAUUGGAAAGCAAAUCUACACUGGUGAAGACAAUGAAACCAAAUGUAGGUCUUCUAAACUAAACGCUUUUAAGGAUUUUCCUUUUUUUUUUCCUUUGUUUUCAAGAAAGGCAAACUCUUUAGAAAACUAAAAAAACUAAUGCAUUCUUAGAUCCAGAUCACUAUUUCCAACAUGGUAUUUGGAUUGCCAGCUUGCAUUUUUUAUUUUUUUAUUUUUUUAAUAGUCAUUGGCAUUUUAGGGAUUAUUGAAGGAUAAUAUCAUUCAGCUCAAUUUCCCAAAUUAGUUAGGUCUUACACUCAAAUGUGAAACUUAUAUGGAUGUUAGGCCAAUUAUCAAACUCAUCUGCCCUAAAACAUAAUUUCCCUUUUUUAAAAUAGUUGUUAAACAUCUAUCCCAAACACGUUUAACCCUUUGAAUUGCUUGUAUGUUAACCUUGUUUCCUUUUCUUCAUGCAACAUGGCUUAUUGAUGGUUGCAUUGAAUCAUUAUCAUUCACCAAUUCCAUGCAACUAUGGACUACAUUUCAAAUCCCUCGAACAUAAAUGGUAAUUCCAAAACAACUCAAGUAUAAUCUUUUCAACCCUUUCAAAUGAUUUAAUUAAUUGAUUUUUGAAUAUAUUCAUAUAUUUUUUUGAGCAAUUUUUAGGCAUAUAACAUAAAUCUCUUUUUUAUAUAUAUAUAAAAGGUUUUAUAUUUUAUAUUACAAUUUCCUUUUGUUUUUUCAUCUAAAAAACAAAACAUAAAACCUUAAUAAACGAGUUUUGUCACAAUCCCUUAACAAGUAAUCUAUUUUUUAAAUUACUUUAACAUUUUUAGAUAUAUUGAUUCAAUCUAAUUUACUUUUAAUAUUUUUUAUAAAAUAUUUUUACUUUAUAUGACUAUAAAUUAAUUACUAUUGAUUGCAUAUUAUAGAAUAUAUAUUCUAAAAUAUAUCUUAUUGACAAUAUAAUCAUAAGAUGUUAUAUCCAUAUCCUAACAUAUUAUAUACUUUUAUUUUGUGCAAUUAGCAACAUGGUGGGAAGUGGCAAGCAGCUUAACGGAAAUGUCAUGUGCCAAUGUGCCAUGCGUGUCCCUUCCCUUAGUGAGUCUGAACUGCUCCAACAUUUCCGACAUGUUAUUUUUUACUUAGCUCUUAAGUAUUUUCGUCUCGUUUUCGUUAACCCCAUCACAUUUCGCCACAUGGAUCUAAGCCUCAUGGUCCUUUCGUUCGUACAAUGAAUGUUCCCCCAAUUCCUUAUCUACACUAAAACUCCAUACUCGCCAUCUACUCAACCACUUCUCUACUCUAGAGUUUGGGUCCUUUAUCUCUGCACGUGUCUAUGGCUUUUCACCCCAACAAGUAUGGCAUUACAAGGGCAAUAUCGUCAUUAAAGACCCAAAAGGGAAACCAAUGGCAUUAUCUUCCUUUUGGUCUAUUCUAUUUAUAUUGUAAGUUAUUCGUGAUGACUUCUCCCAUAAAAGCUAAAAACCACUCCAAUAGAGCACACUUCACUUCUUCAUUUUUUUUUUUCCAGAUAAGCUCAGAAAGCCCAGCUCAUCCCUCAACUCCCCGAUGGGUUUGAUGAAUGUUCUUAAAUUCUCAACUGCAUGCUUUGAUCUUCUUAUCUGGUAUAUUGUCCACGCAUUUUCUUGUCAUUGGAAAAUUUUGGAAAAUGAAAUGGAAUUCUAUGUUUGAUGACAAAACUGGGAUUUGCUUUGAUUUCUCCAUGUUGGUUUUAUCCCUUUUGUUUGAAUUGUCCACAUUCUUGUCAUUGGUUGUUAGUUAUUUGUUUGGAUUUCUACUUGUAGGCCUCUGUUUGCACUGGGUUAUCCUCUAUAAAUCUUGGUCUUACACACCAAGAUAUGAUGAUUCAUUUACUCUUUUCUUGUUCUAUGAAUUCUUAGUUCUGUUACAUUUAUUGGGUUGGAAAACUGAAAAAGGAAAGGAUUAUUCGUUAUUAUCAUAAUAAUCAUCAACGUCAUCUCAAUUAUUCACAGAUGUGCAUCAAUUCAGGUAAUUGAGACUAACUCGAUCUCAGACAUUCAGAAGUUGGUGGCAUAUUGGGUUCUAUUUUCCUUGAUUUCACUUUUUGAUCGUACUUUUUCCAAGCUCCUUGAAUGGUAAUUUUGUUCAACUUCAUUCCAUCAUAUGUGGCUCUAUUUGUUUCAUUUCUUUGCCCUUCAGGAAUUUGGAGUUGCCUUUUUUAGUUUUCUUCCCUGUGAAAAUAAUCGAGAUGUUUAAUGUUCCAAGCCUCCAUGUAUUUUAUUUUCCUUCAUUUCUCUGCUUUGAUAAAUCCCCAUGAUUUGAUCAGCAAAAAGGCUAUAACAUUUGACAAAGAAAUGCUUUAUUUUGGUUUUUUAAGUACAACAAUUUUCAUUUGGAGAAAUGGUCUAAAGGGUAUCGGUGUUUGGAUGAAUCAUGGAAUUUUCUCGCUAAUUUGGGAUUUAUUCUCAAUUUCAAUAUCAUUGUGGAUAUUUCAAAAAUUAAUGAAAUAUAUAUGAUGGAAUGUGAUUUUCUUGUUUAAGAAAAGUUUUUCUUUAAAAAUUUAGGUAACCCUGACCUACCUUAUUGUGCUACUCGAAACACAAAACAAAAGUACAAGUAAUUUAGUAACUAAAUUGCACACUUUUUGAUAGUUCAAGGAAGUGGUGUUAGCUUUGGAAAUAAGAUGGAUCUACUAGUUUUUAUUUCUCAUCUUUAUAGGGAACUUUCCAUAAUAUAGCUUAUAAAUACCAUAAUCACAGUGAUGAAUAAUUGUCUUGUUUGAAAGCAUGGUUGCACUUAUUUGCAUGGAAUUUGUCUGCGUUGAAAUUAAAUUAAGCUUUAUGCAUCAUUUGGAUGCUGAGAAACAAAUGAAAAUAGAAAAUUCAAAAUUUGACAAGUUUGUGUAGGGAAAUUGGAUCUAAUCUCUUAAUCGAAGCUUAAUUAGGGCAAAUGUUGAUCCUCUUUGGACCUAUUGAAAGCUCUAAUCUGUGCACAAUUCUAAUGUUUUUGUUUCCUUAAUUUCUUUUUCAACUUUUCAACAAAGCAUCAAUUUGCUAUAAUAAAUGAGAACCAACUUGACGAUGAGAAAAAUGACUGGUGAUGAUGUCAUAGAGAAUCGCAGAUGAGAACAACCAAAAAUACUAGGAUUGGUACCACUGAUGGUAAUGAAGAAAACACAAAAAUGGUGCAAAUGGUGAACAGGAAACUCAAAAUGGAAUGGGAAAAGAAACCUAAACAAUAGUCUCCUAUAUAAAGCACACAACAUGUACAUCGAGGCAUCUGAAAGGACACGCUGCCUGAGAAGUCACUCUAAUUGAUGUGACUCCUCAUGACGUGGGUGGUGGACAUAUGUCCCAUGGUGCCAAAAAUUUCAAACACUCAAGCAACCGAAUACUUUCACUUAGUCAUUUAAAGCCUAGCUAGACUCAAUUGCAAGAAUUAAGGGCAUUGUGGGAUGCUCACCACCGUCUAUCAUGGUCCUCAAACACUGUCUGGUGUGAGACAUAUUGGCACAAGAGCCAUGUAGCUUCUCUAUCCACCCCAAGAUACUCCUAGGGUAGCAAACGAACACAAUCCGACCAAACACUAUGCAUUCCUACCCUACAAGCAUUAAUUUCAAUGAGCAAUAAGUGUAUUAACACAUUAAUGAAUGCAACCGUUAUAACGCUAAAACGCCAUACUUUAAGGUUCAUCAAGACACAACAACCAUUAUGGGCCGACAAUUAUUGGCGUUAAAUAUGGUAAUGCGCAAUCAAAGGCUCAAUUAAGGCCCUUUAGAAGACGUUACUAUUGGGCAAAGAUAAAUAACCAUUUUUUACCACAAGAAAGUCUGAUGCCAUUUUUUUCACAAAAACUUUUGCUUAAGUCUUCCAUCUCUAACCUAAGCUUUGAAGGGGUGUACUUGGAAAACCUAUCCGAACAUUCCUUUAUGUAGGUGCAAUCAUCGUUUAUGUCACGCGAAGGCUAGUCAAAGACCUUUAUUGGUCGUGCACCAAUAAAUCUAUUUAGUAUAUCUCAUUUAUCCGUUCAAGUGAGAUGAAGGAGUGACCUAAAGAUAGAUUGGAAACAUCAUAGUUUCUUAUAUUGGUAAGGCAGCAACAACCUCGGCUAGUGCAUCAACCUGCUCGUUUUCCUCUAGGGGUACGCGUUUGAUAAACCAUUCAUUCAAUUUUUCUGUUCAAGUGUACCAAAGAGAGGUAAUGAGCCAUGCAUUCAUCUCAAGCUUCAUAUUUUAGUUAGAUUUGUUCACCCACUAGUUGUGAAUUGCUUUUGAUUUCUACUUUCAUGGUUGUGAGAGCUAAGGCUAGAUCGUCUCAUAAGAAUUGCUUCAUAUUUUGCCUCAAUAUUAGAUACUGGAAAGUUGAGACAGACGACUUGUUCAAUUUGCUCUCCUGUAAGGAAUUGUUGUGUUAGUCCUAUCCUAGCUUCUGAUGUUCUAGAGGCUUCGUCUACAUGGAGAACACGCCAUUGUUCUUCAUUGUUAGACCUUGUCCAUUUUUGGGGUGGUUCGACUAUGAAAUCAAUGAGAACUUGCUAUUUGAGAUACUAAUGAGGUUUGUACCGUAUGUAAUAUUCACUCAAUUUGAUUGCCCAAUUCACCAUUCGACUAGAUAGAUUUAGCUUGUGCAACGUGACCCACAACGGUUGAUUUGUCAAGACCGUUAUUUGGUGCGCCUGAAAAUAUGGACAAAGCUUCUUGGCAGCGAUCCGUAAGUUCAGAGCCAUUUGUUCCACUUAAGAAUAUCGUGUUUUUGUGUCAAUCAUAGCUUUUCUCACAUAGUAAAUAAGUCUUUGUUCAUUACUCUAAUUGUGUGGAAACAAUAUGACAUUGACAGCAAAGUUUGACACAACCAGGUACAUGUAUAACUCUUCUCUAGCUUCAAGACUACUUAAGAUUGGUGGCUUCGUAAGAUACUGUUUGAUGUCUUUAAAGGCAUGCUCACACUCAUCCAUCUAACUAGACAUCUUUGCUCCCUAGAGUUUGCUCAAGAAAGGUCUGAGCUUAUUUAUGAAGCGUGUUAUGAACCAACCUAAGGUGAUUAGACACCCAGUUAGACGUUGCACUUCCUUCUUGCUAGUAGGAGCAGGGAUUUCUAACACUACUUUCACUUGAGCCAGAUCGACUUCAAUACCCCCUUUGAGUCACCAUGAACACAAGAAACUUCCACUCACUUACUCUAAAUGCAUAUUUUAUUGGAUUAAGCUUCAUGUCAUACCUGCACAUUAAACUGAAUGCUUCUUCCAAAUGGAGGAGCUUCUUGGAACGAGUUAUUCUCUUAAUGACAAUGUCAUCGAUAUAGACUUCCAACGUUCGACCUAUCAAGGGCUUAAAAAUAUGGGUCAUCAACUGUUGGUACGUAGCUCCAAUGUUCAUUAACCCAAGCGACAUGAUCUUGUAAAAGUACAACUCCUUAUGUGUAAUAAAUGUCAUCUUCUCUUUGUCAUGUGGAAACAUUGGUAUCUGGUGGUAUCCAAAAGAAGCAUCAAGAAAAGACAACAUUCCAUGCCUGGUUGUGGCAUCGACUAUCUAAUCUAUCUAGAGCAAUGGGAAGCUAUCUUUCAAGCAGACUUCAUUCAUAUCCACGUAGUCUGCGCACACCUGCCAUUUUUCUCCUUUCUUGGUACCACUACCACAUUUGUUAACUAGUCCAAGUAGGUCACCUCCUUGAUAAAUCUUCCUUUUAAUAGCUUCUCAACUUCUAUCUAGAUAAUUUUUUGAUGAUCCAACUAGAAACGUCAGACUUUAUAUUGUAUGGGUCGUGCUGUAGGAAGAAGGUUCAACUUAUGAGAGCUCACCGCUAGGUCUAUUCCAAGCAUUUCCGAAUGAAUCCACACGAGGAUAUCCUUGUUUUUACAAAGCAUUUCACCAACAUUACCACAUUCAUCCCUAGUUAGCAAAAAAUUAGCGUAAGUCAUCUGCUUAUUAUUUUUCGACAAAGAUAGCUAUUGUAAUAGGCUGAUUGCCAAUGAGUCUCUAUCCUCUAGUUUUCCUUCGACCUAAUUCUAUAAUUGUUAUUAGCUCUCUCUUGAUGAUUUGAGUUCAUCUUUAGUUGGGCCUGAACUCCAUCGCCACUUAGUAACACUACUAGGUGGCUAAUUGGAUUCCAUGUGGAUCCACUUACCCAAAUUCUGUCAGGUAGCUCACCAUCUUAUGAUAGGUGGAUGGAAUAACUUUCAUCUUAUGUAGGUACGACAACCUUAUGAUGGUGUUGUACGACGGUAAAUCCUCUACUAUAGAAAAUCAUACGUUGAGAGUAGGCGGGUUGGCUUGGACAAGAAGUACCACGUCGCAUAGUGAUAUUGUGGCAACCCUAUUAAACCCAAACAAAAGUCGAACUAGAUUUUCUAAGGCAGAUGACGAACAUCCCAUUUUCCUGUAGGUUGACAUAUGCAAUAAAUUGGAAUGAUCAUUUUAGGAAGGAUCACUUGAUUAAUGUUAAUUGAAGGGAAAGUGAUUGGGUCAUUGACUGGUCGGGCACUUUCGACAGUAAAUGUGCACUGAACUGCACUUACUCUUUCCCUCCCUGUAGUCGCACAGAGCAUUCGUCUCCUUUGUUGUUUGGAGUGAUAUUUGUCAUCUACUAUUUCCCCAUGGAUAUAGUUAAUCACUACUCGAUGUGUUGUGGGAGAGUCAGGAACUCACUCUGACACUUCACGUGUCAUUUCUUUAUGUCCACCAGUUGCUCAGACAUACAACUUGAGAUGUCCGGUAAUGAUUAGUUUCUCCACCAAGUAGUGCAAAUUUUUGCACUCUUCUGUGGUGUGCCCAUGCUCCUUAUGAUAGAAUCAUCGCAAUCCUCGAUCAUGCUUGGACGAAUCAGUUUUGAUGGGCUCUAGCCACUUGAACUCGAGCAGCUCUCAAAUCAAGAGGAGAAUUCUAUCAUAAAAAAUGGUCAACGGGGUGAGCCUAGGCGAUUAUCAUUGUUGUUGUCUUUCUUGUCCUUGAUUAGUCUAUCUAGACUGGCUUGAGGGCUUUAAGCUCUUAGCCUUCUUUUUUAAUUGCUCGGUUUAUAACCAGGAUUUGUUGAGAGGUUACCUAAACAUCCUCCUCAAGCAUGACAUGUUUGCCCACUCGUCUAAAUAGGUCAUUCAUUGUAGUGGGCAACUUUUUGGCCAUGGACUUGAAGAAUUGAGUGCUUGGACUGAUGAUCCAUUUGAAGAUCUGCAGGAUAGCAUCCAUGUUGUAAGAUUCCAUCUAGAACACCGCUUGUCUGAAUCACUUCAUGAAGUCCCUUAGCGAUUCAUUCUCCUACAUCUGAAUGUUCUAUAAGGUGCUUAUAUUCUGCUUUUGGCGAGCAAAACAUAAAUAAUGGCCCACAAAGGCCUCUAAAACAUCUGUCAUCUGUUGUUGGAAGUGCAUCAGGUGAACAAAAGAGUCACCAUCCCAUAGUAAAUAGUAAAUUUGGGCACCGGAAACCCCUGGGCAGCUCAUAACUAAUGAUAUGUGGGUCAAACGACAUGAAGAGCAUGUCAUCCAAUCAUCUACUUAUGGAGUCAAGAGGGGCUUUUGUCAAUGGGUUAUUUGUCGAUUGUAGUUCUAGUAUUGAACAUUAAGGCAGACGGCUUGGUGAUGCCUCAUCGUUUGAUUGGCCUAAUUGUGCUUUCAAGGCCUCCAAUAUGCAUGGCGAUGCUAGUGUUCUUCUCUCCUGAUACCCAAGAUAGGCUUUCAGGGCAUCUGAGAGACGUAAGCCCCAUUCUUAACCCAUUUUCCAUUUUUCUCCAAUAGAGCUUGCAACCUCUUUCGCUUGAGUUCGAUCGACUACUGAAUGCACUAGUUCAAGUAAUGUUAGCGAACUGCUAGUAGACAAUCCCUCAUCCACUGUUUGUAGAGACGACUUAGUGUAUCAUUGAAGAACUUUCAUUGUUUGGCUUCAAACUACUCUUGAAGUCGUCUAUUGGUUGGAGGUACGAUGACUUUUUUAUCAGCACCCCAUAGCCACUUGUGCUCGUAGCUCUUGGUUCUCUUGCUGUAGUUGUUCUGCCUGUUGGACAGGGACUACAUAGGUUAUUCAUAUUCUUCUUGCUUUUUUUCUAUCUUUCCUUGCCAAGCUUGGAAUCGCUCGUCAACAUUUGCAGAAUGAGUUGCAGGAGGCGUGUUAACCAUCGUGUUUUUUAGGCAUUUGUGGUUGAUUCCCAUAGACAAUGCCAAUGUUGGUGCACGACCAGUAAAAAAAGGUGUUUGGCUAGUCUCCAUGUAACAUAGAUGACGAUUGCACCUGCACAAAGGAAUGUCUGAAUGGGUUUUUCAGGUACACCUUUCCAAAGCUUAGGUCAGAAAUGGAAGACUUAAGCAAGAGUUUUUGUGGAAAAAUUGGUAGCAUACUUUUCUUGUGGUUAAGAAUAACUAUUUAUCUUUGUCCAACUAUAAUAUCUUCUCAGAUGCCUUAAUUGAGCCUUUGAUUGUGCAUUAUCAUCUUUAAUGUCAAUGAUAGCCAACCCAUAAUGGUUGUUGUGUCUUGAUGAACCUUAAAGGUUGGCGUUUUAACCUCAUAAUGAUUGCAUCCAUCAAUGCGUUAAUGCACUAAUUGCCUAUUGCAAUUAAUGCUUGUUGGGCAAGAAUGCAUAGUGCCCGAUUAGAUUGUGUUUGUUUGGUACCCUAAGAGUACCCUGGGGUGGACAAAAAAGCCACAUGGCUCUUGUUCUAACAUGUCUCGACUAGACAGUGUUUGAGGAUCAUGUUAGAUGGUGAUGAGCAUCCCACAGUGAAGACGUAUGAUGAAAGCAAAGGUAGGGCUUCUAAACCAAACGCUUUUAGGGAUUUUUUUUUUUUUUUCAACAAAGUUGACCUCUUCAAGGAAAAAAAAAAAGGUUAAAAAAACUAUUGCUUUUUUGGAUCCAAAUCACCAUUUCCAAUGUGAUAUUUGGAUUUCCACCAUGUAUUUUUUUUUUUUUUAACAGUCAAGGACAUUUUAUGGAUUAUUGAAAGAUAAUAUCUUUCAACUUAAUUUCCUACAUUAAUUAAGUCUUAGGCUCAAAUGUGAAACUUAAGUGGUUGUUAGGCCAUCAAACCCAUCUGCCCUAAAGUAUAAUUUCCCAUUUUCAAAAUAUAUAGUUGUUAAACAUCUAUCCCAAACUAUUGUAACCCUUUGAAGUGCUUGGUAUGUUAACCUUGUUUCCUUUUCCUUAUGCAACAUGGCUAAUUGAUUGUUGCAUUGAAUCAUUAUCAUUCACCAAAUCCAUUCAACUAUGGACUUACCUUUCAAAUCCCUCUAACAAAAAUGGUAAUUCCAAAACAACUCAAGUCUAAUGUUCUCAACUCUUUCAAAUGAUUUAAUUAAUUGGUGUUUGAAUAUACCUCUUAUAUUUUUUUAGAGCAAUUUUUAGGCACAUAACAUAAAUUUCUAAUUUUUUUUUAGAAAAGGUUUUAUAUUUUAUAUUUUAUAUUACAACUUCCCCUUUUUUUUCCAUCUAAAAAACAAAACAUAAAACCUUAAUAACCGAGUUUUGUCACAAACCCUUAACAAAUAAUCUAUUUUCCAAAAAUUACUUUAACAUCUUUAAACAUAUUGAUUUAGUAUACUUUACUUUUAAUAUUUUUUGAAAAAUAUUUUUAUUUUAUAUGAUUAUUAAUUAAUUAAGAUUGAUUGGGUAUGGUAGAAUAUAUAUUCCAAAAUACAUCGUAUUGAGAACAAUAUCACAAGAUAUUAUAUCCAUAUCUUAACAUAUUAUAUACUUUUAUUUUGUGCAAUUAGCAAUUGGACGGAAGGUAGGGAGCCGGCUUAAUGGAAAUGUCGCAUCUCACGUGUGUCCCUUCCCUUACCAAGUCUCAACAAAGGAUGAAAAUAUCGGUAAUCACGGAUAUAUCGGUACUUCGAUUUUACGGAUAUAUUAGAUAUAUCAGAGAUAUAUUGACGGAUAUUUUGGAAAAAAAUAUCGAUAAGCCUAAAAUUGAUCAAAAUUUAUAAAAAUAUAAAAAAAACUUCAUAAAAAUGUAAUUAAAAGAAGGUCGUAUAAGUUACUCAUGUUGAUCAUGUGAUAUAUCACGAGAUAUAAUCGAUUUUUGGGAAUUUCUCACGAAAAUAUCGCGACAUUUCUUCCUUGUCUCGACUGCUCCAAGAUUUCCUAUACGCCCUUCUUCGCUUAGCUCUUAAGUCUUUUCUUCUCCUCUUCCUCAAACCCAUCACAUUUCGCCGCGUGGAGCUAAGUCUCAAGGUCCUUUUGUUCGUACGAUGUAUGUUCCCCCAAUUCCUCAUCUACCUUGAAACUCCAUACUCGCCAUCUACUCAACCACUUCUCUACUCUAGAGUCUGGAUGCUUUAUCUCCGCGAGUGUCGAUGGCUCUUCACCCCAGCGAGUAUGGAAUUACAAGGGCAAUAUCGUCAUUAAAGACACAACAGGCAAACCAAUGGCAUUGUCUUCCUUUUGGUCUAUUUUAUUUAUGCUGUAAGUAUUCGUGCUUGACUUCUCCCGCGUCUCUUAUAAAAACUAAAGAAAACCACUCCAACAGAGCACACUUCAAGAAUCUUCUUUUUUUUUUUCUUUCCUCUUUCUCUUUACAUAUAUACUGAGAAAGCCCAGCUCAUCCCUCAAUUCCCAGAUGGGUUUUAUGAAUGUUCUCAAGUUCUCAGCUGCAUGCUUUGAUAUUCUUGCCUGGUAUGUUGUCCACGCAUUUUCUCGCCAUUGGAAAUUUUUGGAAAAUGAAGUGGAAUUCUCUGUUUGAGGACAAACAUGGGAUUUUCUUUGAUUUCUCCCUGUUGGUUUUAUCUAUAUUCUUUGGAUUACCCACAUUCUUGUCAUUGAUUGUUAGUCAUUUGUUUGGAUUUCUACUUGCAGGCCUCUAUUUGCACUGGGUUAUCCUCUGUAAGUCUUGGUCUUACACCUCAAGAUAUGAUGAUUCAUUUACUCUUUUCUUGUUCUACGAAUAGUUCAGUUACAUUUAUUGUGUUGGGAAACUGAAAAGGGAAAGGAUUAUUCUUUAUUAUCGUAAUAAUCAUCAACAUCAUCUCGGUUCUUCACAGAUGUUCUUCAAUUCGGGCAAUUGAGACUAACUCAAUCUCAGACUUUCGGAAGUUGGUGGCGUAUUGGGUUCUAUUUUCCUUGAUUUCACUCUUUGAUCAUGCUUUUUCCAAGCUCCUUGAAUGGUAAUUUUGCUCAACUGCGUUCCACUAUAUGUGACUCUGUUUGUUUCAUUUCUUUGCCCUUAAGGAAUUUGGAGUUGCUUUUUUCAGUUUUCUUUCCUAUGAAAAUAAUCGAGAUGUUUAAUGUUCCAGGCCUCCAUGUAUUUUAUAUUCCUUCAUUUCUCUGCUUUGACAAAUGCUCACAAUCUGAUCAGCAGAAAGGUUAUAACAUUUGAAAAAGAAGUGGUUUAUUUUUGUUUUUUUUAAGUACAAUAAUUUUCGUUUGGAUAAAUGGUCUGAAGGGUGUUUGUGUUUGGCUGAGUUCAUGGAAUUUUCAAGCUAAUUUGGGAUUUAUUCUCAAUUUCAAGAUCAUUGUGGAUAUGUCAGAAAUUAAUGAAAUAUAAAUGGUGGAAUGUGAUUUUCUUGUUUAAGAAAAGUUUUUCUUUGAAAAUGCGGGUGCACCAGACCUACCUUAUUGNNNNNNNNNNNNNNNNNNNNNNNNNNNNNNNNNNNNNNNNNNNNNNNNNNNAUCAGAUUCAACUGUGAUAGCCCGGAAUUUAAUUCAGUAUUCGACUCUUCUGGGAACAUGUUGGUUAUGGUUUCUCUCUCACUGUCCUCUUCUUUACACAUGACUUUUCAGUUGAGGAGCACAAAGCCUAAUGUUGAAGUGAAAGAGAUCAAAGCACCUGCAGCACCGGAGAAAAAAGGGGAACAGGUAAGUACUCUAAUGUGGCUAUUUAAUUUCUAUGGAGGCAGAUCCCCAGAGAAAUGCUGUUCAUGUAAAUUACUGAUGCAUUUGAUUCAAUGGCCACGGUUUUAAAAGAAAAACCACUUUAUGUAUGUUUCUGUGAAUGAGAGAACAAGUUUAUGGAUUAAAUGAUAUUUUUUAUGGUGAAAUAAUCAAUAAUUUUCAAAAUAAUAAUACAUUCCUGCAUGUUUUUGCAAUUCAUGAAUUCCUUUUAUGAUUGAUUCUUCUCACCUUUUUUCUCACCUCAGUGGAAGUGUGAAGAGCCUAAUGUUGCUCAAAAAGAGAUCCAAGUAGUCAAAGUAACAGAGAUAAAAAAUGGGGGGGAUGGAGCAAAGAGGGUAAGUUUUGCUUUUUAUUUAUAAAGUAGGCUGUCUUCACACAAGGAUUAUUAUUAUUAUUAUUGUUAUUAUUUUAAGACAUGAAUGUUGAAUGAUUUUGGAAUUGUCCUUGAAUCAUGUGAAGUGUGAAUGGUCUAAUGCUGCUAAGGAGGAGGUCAAAGUGACAGAAGUAACACAGAGAACAUUUGGUGGUACAGCACAGUGGGUAAGGUUUCAUGUCAUAUUUAAAUGGCUCCUCAUAUUUCACUAGGAUUAAUUUUGCCCCUACAAACUAUUUGGCUACAAGUUAAGACAGAGUUCCAGAUGCUGAUAAAGCUGAGACAUAAGUAAUGAACGAAUUUAGACACAUGCACAACUCUUGUGUGAAACACAAUGAGAGUGGAAAAUAGCUAAGUUGAAAAAUGGCCAAAUACUAUUUUGUAGUUCCCCCUACCACUUAAGUAAUUUUUGUCAUCCUUUGUGAAUGGAAAAUGCAGUCCCUUCAGUAAUUCCAUUAUAUUCAUGACUUGGUGAAGCAUAUAACCAUUAGUGUCUUACCCUAAGUCGACCUUUAAUGAUGAUCCAUUGAGAUGGGUCUGACUUUUGUCAACCCUCUUAUUCCCUUGAUCAUAGAGGUGAAACUUAGGGGGCUUAACCCACUUUUCAAUCUUAUUGGAUAUAUGGCACGUGGUAUCCUCUUCAUCUUGAAAGAGUGAAGUGGUCAUACUCUUUCCUCUGAGUCCAUUGUGGCCAUGCACUUCAGGCUCAUUGGGCUGAGUGAAAGGAUUCCCUUCUGCUUCAAAUCAUAGAGAGAUAUGCCAUGGUCAGCCUCUUUAAUUCAAGGGAUUGAAGUACUCAAAUCCAUUUCUCUGUAUCCAUCUUAGUUCUGCAUUCAUGUCUCAUGGUUAACCAAGAAGAUCCAGCCUCCAUCCAUGAGAUCAGCAUCUGCAGGUUUAUGACACCACCCUUCCUUUGCAUAGGAAAGGGAUCAUUAAGCCAUGUGUCGGAUGACAGAAGUCAUCAUUCAGGUUAUCUUGAGAACUAAGGAAGUUGGAAUUCUAAUUAUUGCAUAUGGUUCUUGAUGUUUAGCCAAUAUACUAUAGGAUUUUAAGCAUCAUGCUCACGUGCAUUGUGGUUGCUUAUCAGCUAUAUGGUUUGCCAAAAUGAGGGACUGAUUAUGGUCAUAAGUACCUUUUUCCCAUUAAUUUCUUGCAUGUGCUCUGCUGAGAUUAUGUUUUUGACAGUCCAAAUCAGGGCAAACCAACAAACAGCUUUAUGUUAACUUUUACAAACUGCCAUAUUUUCAGGUUAAACAAACAGAGAUAAAUCUUGGUGAAACUAGAAGUAAUACAACCUGUGCUGUGGAGAUAAAAGAAAGGGCAGCAGCACUGGUGGCUGCAGAAAUUGAGGCAUGUAGAGACGAUAGAACCCCCAAGAUACCUCUUCAUGAGAAAGUCCAGAAAGAGUGGGCUUGUGCUGUGUGCCAGUUCACAACCCAAACUGAAGCGACCUUCAAUUCCCACCUUCAAGGGAAGAGACAUCAGGCCAUUUCUGAGCAGCUGAGAGCCAAAAAUCAGGCAACCAAAACCAAUUGUUCCCCAUCUGCUUCAAUGGCCAAGAAAUCUGAUCAGUCCACCAAAGAGGAGCAACCGAAGUGUACUUCCAAUCUGAAUUCCAAAAACAAUGGAAUCUCAGCUGCUUCAACAGUGAAGAAACUUGAUGAGACCAAAGAUGAUGAGCAACAAAAGUCUGCAUCUAGCAAUGGACCGAACCAGAAGAAUAACAAAAAGCAAGAGGUACAGACCAAUGAGCAAGGCCGUCAGAAGAACUUAAGGCAAACUGGUGAUGGAAUGAAAGAGUUGAGAUCAUGGUGCAAUAUCUGUAAUGUAAGCUGCACAAGGGAGCUUGACCUGGCCUCGCAUCUCAAUGGAAGGAGGCACUUUGAUAGGAUAAAGCAGCUGUCUGAAUUAUGGUGCAGUAACUGCAAUGUAAGGUGCAACAGUGAGGUUGAUAUGGCCUCUCACCGAAAUGGGAGGAGGCACUUGGAGCAGCUGAAGGAACGGUUAGGAUUAUGGUGCAGUAUCUGUAGUGUGAGUUGCAACAGCAAGGUGGACAUGGAUUCUCACCUAAAUGGGAAGAUUCACUUGGAUCAGAUCAAGGACCAGUUAAGAUUAUGGUGUGGGGCAUGUAAUACAACCUGCAAGAGUGAGCGCAACAUGGCCUUUCAUCUGAAUGGGAGGAAGCACUUAGAGAAGAAGGGGAAUACCUGAUUUGCAUGUUUCUUCAGAUUAUUGAUACUUACAAAUGGUUUUAGUUAGAAGCAUACAGGCCAGUGGGUGGUGGUCACAGAUGCCUCUAUUUUGUUGUAUGAAGUAAAAACAGUAUUUCCAUGUCCAGAAAUCAACCACUUGUUUAGUGCAUGCAUGGCUGGUUCAAAAUUAAACCUAAUUGUGAAUGACUAGGAGCAGGGAGGGAAAAAUUGAAGGGAAGAAUGUAAGAUUAUGGCUUCAUUUUUAUUUUUUCCUCUUCUGAAAAUUGUAAGAUUGUGUUAGGAGGAGCUGGAAUGGGUUCAAAUCAGGAAUUAAGACCCAGUUCCAAGACAUGGAAAGUGUCUUUAGAUUAUGUUAAGUUAUUUCCAUUUUUUUUUCUUUUCUAUUUUUUUUCUUUAUUUAUUGUAAGAGGGAGCAUAAAUGAAUUUUUAUUUUUUAUUUUUUUUUUCAGAAUAAAGAUGAAUUUGAUAAUUUCAAUUAUUGCGUUUGGAUGUAUUUCGGAACGUAAGAUUGAAAUAAUUAUUUGUUUUCAUUUUAGUGUUUGAUAAUAAUGAAAGUAUGAAUUAAAAAAUAAAUUGAUAAUAAUACUCUUACAUUUAAUUUAAAACAAUUUUUUAUUUUUAUUUUUAUUUUAGAAGAAUAUGGGUUAAUUUUAUUUAUUUAUUUUUUAAAUAAUAAGCUUAAGAAAAAUAAUUUUUACUCAAUAAAUAAAAUUAAUCAUACAAAGUCAUAAAAACCAAACCAAAAUAUAAGGGUAAAAUAGUAAUUUUAAAAUAUUCAUUUAAGUUAUCCAAAUGCAUUCCUACUCUUCAUUCUCUUGUACGAAAUACGGUCUUUAAGCGUUUGUCAAACUUAUUUCUUUUUUGGCAAUAUAUCAAUAUUUUAGUAAUAUUUUUAUCGAUUAGUUGCUGAUAUUUAUCGCCACGUCACCAAUUCUUUGAGUUUGACUUUCAAAAUUUUGAAAUGAUCAUUGAAGUCCAGUUCAGCCCAAAUCACUACACCCAUGAAAGGGAACGGCUGGGCCACCACACUAAUAUGGCCCAUACAUGGGACCUCGUAAAAGAAUACCCAUCUUCAAAAAUAGGGACCAUAUUAAAUUAUUAAUGUAGCUAUAGGAAGCAUUUGAGGACAAGGGUCAUGAUUUUUCCCUUUUCUUUUUCUCCUUAAUUUUCACAUCACCCAACAACACCACUCUUAAUUCACACAAAUUUGAAGGUUUGGAAUGAGACUUAUUCGUAUUUAUAUUGUAAUUAUGCUAUAAUAAUCGUGUCGUAUUUGGAUUUAUUUAUUAAAUCCAUCUAAAUCUUUUGUUUAUUCGUGUCAAAACAAUAUAUUUAUAAUCGAAUCCAUUUAUGACAUAUUCAUCUUUUAUAAAUUUAUUAAUUUUAUAUAUUUUAAAAUUAUAAAAAUUAAAUAUAUUUUUUCAAUUAUGAAAUCAUAUUACUAAAAUAUUAAAUAAUUCAUUAACUUGAAAUGUUUUACAUUUCAUUAAUUAUUUUAUAAUUACAACAUUAAGUGAAAUAAUAAAUAGGUAUAAAAUAUAUAUUUUAUUUUAGUUAAAAAUUAUAAAUUGUUAUUGAGACAUAUAACUAUUAAAAUUCUACCCAUUUGACUAUCAAACAAACAACUUAAGUUUUUAGUCAUGAUUUAAGCUUAUGAUAAACUCUAUUUACAAAAAUUAGAAACCAAAAUCAAAUUCUUCCUAGACUCAAAAACAUAAAGACAAUCUUUUAACUUUAGAAGACAACUAUCAUCUAAGAUAAGGGUAACUCAUCCCAUUGCAUGUACAACAAUUCUUGCUUCAAAAGCUAAUGUUAGGUACAUAUCCCUAUCAUUCAACCUUUCCCUUAGCUAAAACCCCUAUAAAGAAUUAUAAACAUGAUCAAUGGCUCCAAAAUUUAUCCACCAAGAGUUAGUGGAAUCUAACACUAAAAAUGAUUCAACUAAAAGAGAAUGAUGCAUACCUAACUGUCUCUUCAAGAACUAAGGGCAUUCCUUCUUCUAGUGGCUUUUUUUACCACAAAGGAAACACUUAUCAUGACCCUUACUCUUCUUCUUUUUCCCUUGCCCUUGAACUUUCCCUUCUGCUUGGUGAAUUCUACAAUGUUCUUCUUAUUUUGGUUAGAAGAACCUAAAGAACACUUAACUGCCAUAUAAAUACCUCUCUGGUCCUUGAGAAUUCCCUCAAUUGUUUUGUGUUCUCUCAUCAGUUCGGUUAUAGUUUAAGAAAAAAAAUGUUUUUUUUAUGUGACUAAACUUGGAAUGAAUGUCCAAGUUGCAUACAUACUCGGGCUAAGAUCAAGUCAUAACGUAGUUUAAGAAAAAAGAUUUUUUUUUUUUUUUUUUUUUUUUUUUUUUUGUGAUUGAACUUGGAAUGGAUUUCUAAGCUACUUACGUAUCCAGGAUGGGAUCAAGUUCUAACAUAGUCACAAUGCAGUUCAAGAAUUUUUUUUUUCUUUUUUUGUGCUCUAACUUUUGCCAAGACUAAAGAUCUUAAUUUUGCGAGCAUGUUCUAACUUUUGCCUAGGUCGCCUUUCCAAGUUUUCAAUUUAGCAAACAAGGUUUUUUUUUUCUUUUUUUUCUUUUUCUUUUUUUAGUUCUCUAACUUUUGCCAAGACUAAAGAUUUUAAUCUUGGAAGCAUGUCUUAACUUUUACCUUAAGUCGAAUUUUUAGGUUUUCAAUGUGGUGGAUUUUUUUUUUUUUUUUUUUUUUUUGUGUCGUAGGUAAUUUAAGCUCAUAUGGAUUGGAAGCAAUGUGUAGUUUGUUGGGAUUAAGCCCUUAAAAGCAAGACAUGAUGUAAUAAAGUUAAACUUAACUAUUUCCUUACUAUCUUUUUGGUGUAUCAACAUUGAUUUAAACAUUCAACCCAUAUCUCUUACAUUGUACAUGAUUUAGGAGCAUUAAGAGUUGCACAAAAGAUACAAGUUAUGGGUUCCUUGUAAGUAGAUGAGUUAUCCAUAGUCAUUUCAUGGAUUUGGGCAAUCUAGUAGUGACUAUAGUGCACCACCUCCUAAUUUAAGGGAUGACUUGUCUUGGCAGUUGGGAUGAGUUUCCUAUGGUGAGCGUACUAGUGUAAAUGAUGCACAUUGGACAGGACCUAUGGUGAAUCAUGACGCAAGGCUAUCAAUUGUCAUGAUUCACCAAGUUACUAUACUACAUGGACUCUCAACCUUGAGAGGACAUUGAACCCAUGUCAAAAUCAAUAGAAAGUUUUGACCUAUGGGCGAGACCCUAAAGUAGUCAUAUAUUCCUAUGGAUUAGGUCAUUGUUGAUGUAGGCUGGUUAUAAUAGGCAUUCUCAAUAGAGGCACCAUGAUAUGUCAUGGGAUUGAGAUGGUGUGUCCCUUUGGGUGAUCCAAAGAACAUGUGAUCAUGAAAUUUGUGGCCACAGUAAUUCCUUUAGUGAAAUUUGACAUAUGCUCCUUGGAGUUAGAGUAUGUCAAUUGAUCACAUAAUAAGUGAGAUCUAUAACUCAAGGAUUUGAGAGAUAAUAUUGAUAGGUGAUAACACUAACUUGUUAGAUUUAGACACCAGUUUCAUGAGGAAUAUGCAUGUAGUGGAUAGUAGGUCAUGAAUGCGAGCUUUGUCUCGUUGUUAUUUACAUAAGGUACCGGAGUGUAGUUGAUUCUCUUUAGUAGAGUGUUGAAUCAACUUCAAAAUUGGAUUAUGAGGUAGUCAGUACUCCUAUGGGUCUCAAUGGUCCCCACUCUGAGCUAAUAUACCAUGAUGACACAAUUUAUGAGGGUUGGAUUGACUUUAGGUUCAUUCUUAUGCAUAAGGGCAUUUUGAUAAUUACACAAGGUUGCAUAGGGGAUAAUAAAUAAGGUCUCUAGAUUGGACUAAUUGAUUAAUUAGAUGGCCUUAUGUGGUUAAUUAAUCAAUUAAGACAUGUUAGGGCUAGAUUAAGUGACCCAAGCCUUGAUGGGUUCAAGUCACUUAAGCCUAAUGGGUAACCGUAUAAAUACCUCCUUAUGGGUUAGGGUUUUCUAAUGACUUUUAGUUAGUCAUCUUCCACUUUUAGAAAAAUAGAGAGAGCCAAAGCUUCCUCCUUUCCACUGCCCACACUUUGGUAUGCCAAGAUCGGGAAUCGAGUCAUCGAACAAAAGAUCUUAGGUGUACGAGACCUUUGAACUCUUUAGGCUUCUUCUUCGUUGGAUGGAUUUUGAUCUGGGAACAUCUAGAUCACAUGUAUGUGUUAUAAUAUUUGGUUAAUUCAACCUAAGGUAAUCACCCUAGAGAAGGGGUGAAUAGGGUGAUGAUUUUUUUUUGCAAAUUUAAAUUAUGUGAAUGCAAGAGACAAUUAUAUGCAAAAUAUAUGGCAAAACCAUAUAAAAACAAUUGCAUAUAAAGUAAAAGGUUAAGGAAGAGAGAAUAUAAACACAAGAUUUUUAUAGCGGUUCAGUGCAACCCGACCUCCAUCCAUUCUCUUCUAGCUUCAAUACUAAACUUGAGGUUCCACUAAUUCAAGGCUUCCAAUCCAAGCCUUCAAGUAAUACAAUUGGAUUAUGGUUCCAAUCAAACCUCUUGAAAUUUUAGUUCUAAACACAUUUUACAAUCUUCAAGAGAUACCUCACUCUUGAACAACUCCUUAAGUGAUACCUCACACUUGAGAAUCCCUAAGUGAUACCUCACACUUAGAUUUUUCAUCUCAAAGAUUUAUCCGCUCUGCACCCACCUCCCGAGUAUAUGCUUCAACAGGAAUCACACAAGGGUAGAUUGAUACAAUAGAAACCUCUGGUAAAAUGCCCGCUCGUAACCCAGCAGAUAAAGUACAUUACAUAGUCCGUUUUAGGGAUUGGCUACUUACCCAUUCAGUGACUUUGGCACUGGACGUUCCCAAAAUGGGUACUAUCGGGUCGGGUGAAUUCAAUAAUAGACGCCUGUUGGCAUUCCAGCCUUCCUUCUCCUUUCAGGGCCUAUCCGAAAGAGAAUCCAGUACUUCUUGGUCAAAUGAAGAUAGGAAAUUAUUAGCCUAAGGACUCUCCUAAUCGGGUUUUGAUGAUAACAAACCAUGAUUAAAUGACUAAUUGGUUUAAUGGUUAAGAAUCUCAAGCAUAAACUCGAAAAUUCAUCAAAUGACCAAAUGGAUACAAGAUCGAGACAUUUGGAAGACUUGUGAUCAUAGGAAACUAAUGUAAGAUGAAUGCAUGAGUGCACUUAGGAUUUUCAUACCGUUUCAUACAAUUUAGAAAACUCAGUUUAUUCUUUAAAACUUCAAUUUCAUUAAAACCCGAGUUUUAACAAUUGUACCUCAGGCAAAAUGUUUUAAAAUUGGCAUAAUAAUUCACCUAAAAACCUUGCCUAAGUGUUAGGAAAGAAAGGAAUUGAAAAAGAUAGGUUUUCGGGGCCAAAAGGCUCAACCGGUCGAGGCUAUGGCCAACCAACUCAACCGGUUAGGGAAUCGGUCGACUGGUUACCCUUGUCCAGUUGAGGUCCGAUCGAAGGAUGCACAAAAUUUUCUCUCUCUCCCAGUAGCCUUCUCUUCCCGGUUGAGGUUAUUCUCUUCCCUGUCGAGGUCCGGUAUAGGCAACGGUAACCUGUCAAGCAUUAAAUGCUCCAACGGCUAGCGAACCGGUCAACCCCUAGCUCGACCGGUCAAGGUUACCUUUUGUUGUUUUUGACUCCCGAGCUUAGAAACCUAUAAAUUGAGAGCUCCACUUCAUUUAUUGACGAGAUAACACUUGCAAUCAAUUGUCUACCUAUUUGUUCUUGAUCAGAAAGCUCUCAUUUCUUUCUUAGUACAUUAAAUCAUCACUUGCAUAUCCUUUAGUGCACUCUUGUGUGUCAUCCUAGAUUUGUCUUGUAUUUGAGCUAUCUUUAAGCUAGGUUGAGGGAUUCAUUCUUGUAAAAACCGAGUGUUAAAGCCUUCAAGAAGUUUAAAUCUUGAAGAGAUUGUGUAAGAGUCCAUUGGAGCCAAAAUCCAAGUGUAAGAAGAUUGGAAGUUUGGUUGAAGUUUCAAGUUAGUGGAACCUUCACUCGGUUAGGAGAUUGAGGAGACUGAACGUAGGCAAAGAAGUGUCGAACUACUAUAAAACCCGAGUUUGAAUUCUCUAACUCUAGCUCUUUAUUUUGCUUAUAUUGUGCUUGAACUCGUUGUGAUUUAAAAGAAUUUAAAAAACCCCUAUUUGGGUGUUUUUCUUAAUUAAGCAUAGCCUUUAUUUUCUCAUAAAUAAUCUUACAAAAUCUUAGUACAAACUUUAGCCUUAAAUGAUACAAAAUAAACUAGGAUUGAAUGGUGCACUAAUGAUAUGUAAGUUUUAAAACAAUGUGUACAAAAAACACUCCCCUAAAGCUCAAAUAUAUUCGAGAAAGGUUUAAGAAGGUUAAACUCUUGAAACAAUAAAUAUUGAAACCUUUUUAUAGAAGAGAAAAACCAAACUACCUGUUGGGGAUUCGUUCGAUCAAGCUCUGGUUCGACCAGUUCACUAGCCUUUAGCAUUUAAUGUAUGAUAGGUGACCAUUGGACCUUGACUACCCCUUGAUUGGUACUCGACCGGAUGAAGUUCAACCUUGAUUGAUCGAAUAAGCAUUCUGGAAGAGAGAUAAGGUUUUUGCACCUUUCAACCGAGUAAGCUGAAUAGGUCGACUAAUUUCUCAUUCGAUUCAACCGAUUGAGUCAUUUUUUGCUCAACAACUAUUAUUUUCAACUUAAAACCUUUUAAACAAGUUUGGAAAGCAUUUGACAUAAGGUUUUAGUUGAAAACAUGAAAUCAUCCAAUUUUUAAAAGAUUUAAAACAAAAUAACUCUUGAAUGAUUUUGGUGUAUAAGUAAAGAAUGUAAUGCAUGAAAAACCCAAUGCACCAACAACCUUACAAAGAGAUCCUAUGAGUCUUAGGUCUUGAAAAACACUUAUCUUUAAGGUCUUCUUCUUCUUAUUGAUUUUAUCUUUGUGAUUGCCACUUUGGAAAUCAUCUUGCCUAGUCACACUUAAAAUAUAAUCAUUAGUUCUAAAUCUUGUUUUGUUAUCAUCAAAACUAAGAUUAACCAAACCUUGGUUUCACAAUAUGAAUAUUGUAUCUCUAGAUCUAUAGUUAAUAGUGGUUUUUAUAGUCAUUUGUUUCCAUUGCGAUAAAUUUAGAGAAGCUUAGGGAUAGAUGAAUGCACCCUAUGAGAUCUAGGGCAUAGGAAUGGAGUAAUCCGGGGUUCCUAACAUAGUUUAGGCUUGUGCUUCAUGGAGUGAUAACAAUUCUUCAAGCAUAGUUAUGCUUUAGAAAUUUGUUAUUGAUUGGUCCAAUUUUUAGACCAUCUUCAGCAACAAUCUUGUGUGCACCAUUGAUAUAAUCUUGUUAUACAAAAUAUGAUCUAUCACAUUUUUGGCAAGAACUUUCCACUGGUUUUGUGCAUGGUAAUGAUCAUGCAUGCAAACUUAACUAAGUUAUACACUAGAUGCCAAACUACUACAAUUCUUAUACACCUUCCCGUUUUGUGCAACUGAACAAUUCAACAUCAUAACACCAAAGUUCUUGCUUAGAUUUCCUACAGUGCUAAAAUUUUGAAAUGAUUAAUUUGUUUAUUUUUCUUUCAAUCCCAAGACCCACAUACAUCAUGUCAUGCCCUAAGACCCACUCUAAGGGCAUGACAAUCAUUUCACAUCUCAAGGUCGAAAGCUCAAAGUGUAAAUUGACCUUAACAUUCAUUUUGUAACUGGAAAAUUAUCAAUUACCAAAUUCAUAUUUAUAGUAGUAGAAUAAAAUUCUACAAGUUUCAAAUCUCAACUUUAAAGUUAACACAUCAACUAAAGUGUUAUUGUCCAAACAACUUCAAACUUAACAAUUCAAGCAAUCAUUAAAUUCUAACUUUCAAAAAAUAUUUUUUAAAAAUAAAGAUUUAACGAAAAGUCUUAGUAUUGCCAAAAUCUCAUCCUAACCUUCACUCCUAGCCUGAAUUAAGGUGCCUAAAAAAUUGUCAAUGAAAGGAAAUGAGAUCAACGCUCAAUAAGGAAUAUUAAUAAGGUUUCAUGGAUCAAACAUUUUUAAUUAUAAUUCCAAAUAGGAGAUAUAAUAUAUAAUCAUUUUCAUAAGAAAUUUUGAGUUUAAAUAUAAUAAUAUAUUGAAAACUUUUCAGCUAAACAUUUUCAUAUCUAUGUCAAAACAAUUUCAUAUCAAAUUCAAAUCAAAUAUAUACAAAAUAUUUUUACUUUGGUUAUCAAAUGUCACAUGGUGUCAAGUUAGGUGGGACUUUACAAAUUGGUGUCUAACCUCAAAUUUUUUCCUUUCAAGGUGGACGAAACCAAACACUACUAGUAUUAUUAACAUCUAACCAAAUCCCUAAAGGGUGAGAUCUAAAGCAAUUACAUUCUCCGCCAAGAAAUAUAAGGUCAACAAUUAUAACUCGUUGACUAGGGACAAAAAUAAACUAGAGUCAAACACCUUAUUUCAUUAAUUCAAACUUGCAAAACAAAAACAUCAUAUCUCCAUAAUUUUCAUUUUUUAUAAACAAAAGAAAUGUUCUAACAUAGUUUUUUCAUGAAAAAUAUAUAUUUGAUCCAUGCAUAAAAAUAAAAAUAAUUUUUUUAUUAUUCAAAAUAACAUAUAAAAAUAAAUAUGUUCUUUUGGCCAAAACAUGUAUUAAUUUUUCUUACCUCAAAGAAACACUCAAAGACCUUGAAGCAAUUAAUCCUAAAGAAUUUCACCCCAAAAAACAUAUUUCACACCUUACUAAAAAAAAAAAAACAAAACAAAAAAAUUACUAUUGAUUAUUUAUCUAAUAAUAGUUUUGUAUUUUAUAUCACCUAUAUUAUUUUUAACUUCCUAAUAAAUAACAAUUUAAUAAGCGAUUUUCCAAAUUUUUAAAAGUUAUGUUCUUUCCAAAAUUUAUUCAUAAUAUUCUAUUAUUAUUAUUAUUAAUUAAAUCUCUCAAAAAUAUGUUUUUUCUAUUUAUUGCAUUAAACUAUUAUUAUUAUUAUUCAAUUUCAAUUUGAUUAAUUGGUUUUUUCUUUUAAAUUCCUAAUUUAUAUAAGAUUCUUGUUUUGAAAAUCUUCCAUAUUUACUUAUUUGUUUAAAGUAAAUUUCUCCAAAACUUGUUCCUUUUGGUUAAACAAGUAUCUUUUCCUAUUAUUAUUAUUAUUAUUAUUAUCCCUAAUAUUAUAUUCAAAUAACUAAACAAUAAUAAUUUAAAUUAGUGAGUUUCCAAAUUUUUAUAAAACUCAUAUUCAUUCUAAAUCUUAUCAUAUAUAUCAAUUUCUUUUAUAUACUUAAAUUAAAUUAAAAAAUUUACUUAAAAAAUAUAUAUAUUAUAUUAUUACUUUCAACAUCCUUCUACCACCCAAACAAUUACUUCAAGUAAAAGUCAUAUAUCCUUAUUCUACUAACUAUCCUCUCUCUUGCAAUAGCACACUUAGGGAUGGCAAUGGGGUGGGUUCGGGAUGGAUCGCCCCUAUCCCAACUCCUCCCCAUUUAUUCAAAAUAAUUUUCAUCCUCGUCCCAUUUAAAAAAUUAAAUGAGGCAGGGCGAGUAUGAUAAAUUCUCAUAUUCGCCUCGCCCCGCCCCGUUUAACUCUUUUUUGAAUUUUUUUUUAAAAUUACUUUAAAAAUUUUUAAUUACAUUAAAAUAAAUAUAUUUUAUAAAUAAUUAAAUUAUUAUAUUUUUUAUAACUUAUUUUAUUAAAAAUAUUUUAUUAUUAUCUAUAUAUUAAAAAUAGUAAAAUAAAAAUUAAAUUAAAUUAAUUUUAUAUAUAAUUGGGGUGGGACGGGAUGAGGCAAUACCCAAACCUGCUCCGGGUUUUAAAAAAAAUUCUCAAACCUAUCCCAAACCCGUUUAUUAAAAUUAAAUCUCGUCUCAUUAGGGACGAGGCGAGUACCUGAAAAAACCUGCCUCAUUGCCAUCCCUAGGCAAACUUUCAUUUUUUUUUUUUUUUUUAUCUUUUUCCUCCUUAAGAUCAAUCCUAUUGUAAGCACCCUUUUUUUUUCUACCACAUCUUGUUGCAAGCAACCUUGUAAGUUUUUUUAAUUUAAAUUUUUUUUCCACUAUGGAGGCACGUACAACCAUAAAACCUCCUCUUUUUUUUAUUUUAUUUUUACAACUCUCAAAUCUCUCAACCUCCAUACUAUUAGGUUUUAUUCAUUUAUUUAUUAUUAUUAUUAUUAUUAUUAUUAUUCCAUAUCCAAAACUAUAAUUAAUUUUCUUUUAUAUUUUUUUAUUUUAGAUCUAUUAAUUUGAAUAUUCGAAAUUUUCUAAUCUUACUAAUAACUCUAAACGUUCAAAACUAAUUAAUGAAUAUAAAAUAUUAAUCUAAGGAUUAAAAUCUUAUAUAGAAAAUUGAUCUUUAAAUCCUAAACUCCCAAAUUUUCAACCUUACGUUGCCCUAUGUUGUCCAAUCUCUUAGAUCUCCAUGUAAAAGGGUUUUUUUUUUUAAUAGAGUAAAUAAGAAAAAUUUAAUUUAUACCUAAAAUUUUAAAAUGGAGAAAAAUCUUUCUACCCUUAUUAAUUUAAUUAAUUUUUUUAAAUUAUGUUUUUACCCUUGAAUUGGGUCUGGGCAUCACACAUCAUACUAAAAAGUUAUCAAUAACCAUCCUUUGAGGCACAUUAGCAUAAAUUUGCGACUUUAGUUGUGUUCUAGGUGCAAUUCUAUUAUGUUUAAUUGAAAAAUAACACCCAUAGCACAACCAAGCCUAAUUGACAGCAUUUGGGCAAAUAAAUGGUAAAUUUCUAAAAGUUCACCAAAAAAAAAAAAAAACAAAAAAGAUCAUAAAGGGCAUAUUUUUCAAGUCAACCUAGUUUUGGGAUAUUGCAAUCCAAUCUAAGAAUGCAAUAAUAGCUCUUUAAUUCAUAAUUUUAAAUUCACAAAAGAUAUCACCUAAAAUUACUAUAGGUUACCAAAACAUCAACAACAUAUAGAAAGCUUAGAAAUGCUUGGAACCUAUCGAAUUUUCACUUUUUAGGAAUAAAAAAAAAAUGAACUUUAAGGAUUUUAGGGUAAUACUUGCUUGAACCAUCUUUCAAUCCUUUUGUUGGCGGUGGGCCUUUUACCUAUAAGAACAGGAAUGAGAGGUGAAAAGGAGGGAGCCUUAUGAAAACGGAUCCCUAGGGCUUAAGAAGGGGUUUUCAAUUUUAGGGUUUGUCUGUUCACCAAGGAUGUGAAUGGGAAGAUGAGGUGAAGUUAAGAGAUUGGUGAAGCAAAGUGAGGGCAUGGUAGGGUUUGAAUAAGGGAAAGUCUACACUAUUAAUGAAGAUGAUAAUCUUUAGAAAGCAAAGCUAAGGUAAACUAGGGCUUUAACAACAAUUUUCGAUCUACACUAGUGAAGACGAUAUCUUCGAAAACCAAAGCUAAGGCAAGCUAGGGCUUUAAUAACGAAUUUCAAUCUACAAUGGUGAAGAUGAUAAUCUUCGAAAACCAAAUCUAUAAUGGUGAAGAUGAUUAAAAACUAAAUCUAUAUUGGUAAAGACGAUUGGAAAGCAAAUCUACACUAGUGAAGUCAACGAAACCAAAGGUAGGUAAAAAUAAUAAUAAUAAUAAUGCAUUCUUAGAUCCAAAUCACCAUUUCCAACAUGGUAUUUGGAUUUCCACCUUGUAUUUUUUGUUUUUAAUUUUUUCAAUAAUCAAGGACAUUUUAGGGAUUAUUAAGUGACAAUAUUCUUCAACUCAAUUUCCCACAUUAGUUAGGUGUAAGGCUCAAAUGUGAAACUCAUAUAGAUGUUAGGCCAAUCAUCAAACUCAUUUGCCUUGAAGCAUAAUUUCCCCUUUUUAAAAUAGUUGUUAAACAUCUAUCCCCAACACUUGUAACCCUUUGAAGUGCUUGUAUGUUAACCUUGUUUCCUUUUUCUCAUGAAACAUGGCUUAUUGAUUGUUGCAUUGAGUCAUUAUCAUUCACCAAAUCCAUGCAACUAUGAACUACCUUUCAAAUCCCUCGAACAUAAAUGGUAAUUCCAAAACAACUCAAGUAUAAUCUUUCCAAGCCCUUCAAAUGAUUUAAUUAAUUGAUGUUUGAAUAUACUUCAUAUAUUUUUUUAGAGCAAUUUUUUAGGCAUAUAACAUAAAUCUCUAAUUUCAUUUUAUUUUUUUUAUAAAAGGUUUUAUAUUUUAUAUUACAAUUUCCUCUCUUUUUUUUCAUCUAAAAAAAAAAACAUAAAACCUUCGUAAACGAGUUUUGUCACAAUCCCUUAACAGGUAAUCUAUUUUUAAAAAUUACUUUAACAUUUUUAGAUAUAUUGAUUCAGUCUAAUUUAAUUUUAAUAUUUUUUAUAAAAUAUUUUUAUUUUAUAUGAUUAUAAAUUAAUUACUAUUGAUUGCAUAUUAUAGAAUAUAUAUUCUAAAAUAUAUCCUAUUCACAAUAAUAUCAUAAGAUAUUAUAUCCAUAUCCUAACAUAUUAUAUACUUUUAUUUUGUGCAAUUAGCAACAGGGUGGAAGACGGCUUAGGCGGGAGACGGCUUAACGGAAAUGCCGUCUGCCAUGCGUGUCCCUUCCCUUAGUGAGUCUGAACAGCUCCAACAUUUCCGACACGCCCUUCUUCGCUUAGCUCUUAAGUAUUUUCGUCCCGUUUUCAUUAACCCCAUCACAUUUCGCCAUGUGGAUCUAAGCCUCAUGGUCCUUUCGUUCGUACGAUGAAUAUUCCCCCAAUUCCUUAUCUACACUAAACCUCCAUACUCGCCAUCUACUCAACCACUUCUCUACUCUAGAGUCUGGAUCCUUUAUCUCUGCACGUGUCUAUGGCUCUUCACCCCAGCAAGUAUGGCAUUACAAGGGCAAUAUCGUCAUUAAAGACCCAAAAGGCAAACGAAUGGCAUUAUCUCCCUUUUGGGUCUAUUCUAUUUAUAUUGUAAGUUUUUCGUGAUGACUUCUCUCAUAACAGCUAAAAACCACUCCAACAGAGCACACUUCACUUCUUCGUUUUUGUCUUUCCUCUUUUUUUUUUUUAGAGAAGCUGAGAAAGCCCAGCUCGCCCUCAACUCCCCGAUGGGUUUGAUGAAUGUUCUCAAAUUCUCAGCUGCAUGCUUUGAUCUUCUUGGUUGGUAUGUUGUCUACGCAUUUUCUCGUCAUUGGAAAAUUUUGGAAAAUGAAGUGGAAUUCUAUGUUUGAGGAGAAACUGGGAUUUGCUUUGAUUUCUCCAUGUUGGUUUUAUCCCUUUUGUUUGAAUUGUCCAGAUUCUUGUCAUUGAUUGUUAGUUAUUUGUUUGGAUUUCUACUUGCAGGCCUCUGUUUGCACUGGGUUAUCCUCUGUAAGUCUUGGUCUUACACCCCAAGAUAUGAUGGUUCAUUUACUCUUUUCUUGUUCUAUGAAUUCUUAGUUCAGUUACAUUUAUUGGGUUGGGAAACUGAAAAGGGAAAGGAUUAUUAGUUAUUAUCAUAAUAAUCAUCAAUAUCAUCUCGGUUCUUCACAGAUGUGCUUCAAUUCGGGCAAUUGAGACUAACUCAAUCUCAGACGUUCGGAAGUUGGUGGCGUAUUGGGUUCUAUUUUCCUUGAUUUCACUCUUUGAUCAUACUUUUGCCAAGCUCCUUGAAUGGUAAUUUUGCUCAACUUCAUUCUUUGCCCUUCAGGAAUUUGGAGUUGCUUUUUUCAGUUUUCUUCCUUGUGACAAUAAUCGAGAUGUUUAAUGUUCCAGGCCUCCAUGUAUUUUAUUUUCCUUCACUUCUCUGCUUUGAAAAAUGCCCACAAUCUGAUCAACAGAAAGGUUAUAACAUUUGAAAAAGAAAUGCUUUGUUUUGGUUUUUUAAGUGCAACAAUUUUCAUUUGGAGAAAUGAUCUAAAGGGUAUUGGUGUUUGGCCGAAUUCAUGGAAUUUUCUCGCUAAUUUGGGAUUUAUUCUCAAUUUCAAGAUCACUGUGGAUAUUUCAGAAAUUAAUGAAAUAUAUAUGAUGGAAUGUGAUUUUCUUGUUUAAGAAAAGUUUUUCUUUGAAAAUGUGGGUGACCCCAACCUACCUUAUUGUACUACUUGGAACACAAAACAAAAGUUUUUCUCGCUAAUUUAUUAACUAAAUUGCACACUUUUUGAUAGUUCAAGGAAGUGGUGUCAGCUUUGGAAAUAAGAUGGAUGAUUGUAGGGAACUUUAUUUCUCAUCUUUAUAGGGAACUUUCCAUAAUAUAGCUUAUAAAUAUCAUAAUCACAGUGAUGAAUGAUUGUCUUGUUUGAAAGCAUGGUUGCACUUAUUUCCAGGGAAUUUGUCUGCGUUGAAAUUAAAUUAAGCUUUAUGCAUCAUUUGGAUGCUGGGAAACAAAUGGAAAUAGAAAAUUCAGAAUCUGACAAGUUUGUGUAGGGCAACUGGAUCUAAUCUCUUAGUCGAAGCUUAAUAGGGGCAAAUGCUGAUCAUCUUUGAACCUAUUGAAGGCUCUAAUCUGUGCACAAUUCUAAUGUUUUUGUUUUCUUCAUUUCUUUUUCAACUUUUCAUAAUAGAUGUCAAAAGUUAAAACCGAACUUACGUAGUCCAUCCAAGUGGAUGCAUAUAAAUUUAACAGAAACUGAAAUUUGAAGAAAUUUAUUUUCCCUUUUGUAAAUGGUGUUUAAAAAGUCUGUGUGUAGUUUGGUUUUUUUCCUGGAAGAUCAGAUGAUUUCGUGAUCAUUUUUUCUAUUUGCCUUAUCAUCAUGAGAUUUAAGUAUUUUUUUUAAAAAAAUAUUUUAUUUUCUUAUAUAAUGCAUGUCAGGAUACCAUUCUGGCCUUACAUAAAGCUGAUGGUCAUCUGCUGGCUGGUGAUACCGCAUUUUGAUGGUUCCUAUUAUAUCUAUCAAUACCUAGUUCAUCCACGCUUGUCCAUGGAUCCACAAGUUGUCAUGAAUUGGCUCUUCAAUGAAUCAAAAAAGAAGUUUCAUAGCAGAGAAAACUUUCUUGUUUCAGCAGACCAAUAUAUUAAGGAGAAGGGACCUGAAGCUUUGGAGAAACUACUUGCAAGGAAGGUAUGCCAUUAUAAGUAGGAUUGUCAACAAGUCAAAUAGAGUUUUAUUUGAGAUGUUCAAGUAAAAAAUUACUAUAGCAGGUCAUCUAGAAUUAUUGGUCUAAAUUCAUGUAUAUAUCUAUAUAUAAUUGUGUUCUCUUUUUUUCACAUAUGCAUGUGCAUUUAGAUUUACGUAAUUAUAUAUGCAUAAUCAGAUUCAACUGUGAUAGCCCAGGAUUUAAUUCAGUAAUCAACUCUUCUGGGAACAUGUUGGUUAUGGUUUCUCUCUCACUGUCCUCUUAUUUAUACAUGACUUUGGCUUCAGUUGAGGAGCACAAAGCCUAAUGUUGAAGUGAAAGAGAUCAAAGGACCUGCAGCACCGGAGAAAAAAGGGGAACAGGUAUGCACUCUACUAUUUUAUUUCUAUGGAGGCAGAUCUCCAGAGAAAUGUUGCUCAUGUAAAUUAGUGAUGCAUUUAAAAGAAAAACCACUUUAUGUAUGUUUCUGUGAAAAAGAGAACAAGUUUAUGGAUUAAGUGAUAUUUUUUAUGGUGAAAUAAUCAAUAAUUUUCAAAAUAAUAAUAUAUUCGUGCAUGUUUUUGCAAUUCAUGAAUUCCUUUUACGAUUGAUUCUUCUCACCUCAGUGGAAGUGUGAAGAGCCUAAUGUUGCAGAAAAGGAGAUCCAAGUAGUCAAAGUAACAGACAUAAAAAAUGGGGGGGAUGGAGCAAAGAGGGUAAGUUUUCCUUUUUAUUUAUAAGGAAGGCUGUCUUCACGCAAGGAUUAUUGUUAUUAUUUUUAAGACAUGAAUGUUGAAUGCAUUUGGAAUUGUCGUUGAAUCAUGUGAAGUGUGAAGGUGCAAAUGGUGCUAAGAAGGAGAUCAAAGUGAUGGAAGUAACACAGAGAACAUUUGGUGAUACAGCACAGUGGGUAAGGUUUCUUGUCAUACUUAAAUGGCACCUCAUAUUUCACUAGGAUUAAUUUUGGCCUACAAACAUAUUUGGCUACAAGUUGAAGACAGCUUUCCAGAUACUGGUAAAAGUUGAGACAUAAGUAAUGAAUGAGUUUAGAAACAUGCACAACUCUUGUGUGAAACACAAUGAGAGUGGAAAAUAGCUAAGUUGAAAAAUGGCCAAAUACUAUUUUGUAGUUCACCCCACCACUUAAGUAAUUUUUGUCAUCCUUUGUGAAUGGAAAAUGCAGUCCCUUCAGUAAUUCUGCAUAUAACCAUUAGUGUCUUGUCCUAAGUUGACCUUUAAUGAUGGUCCAUUGAGAGGGAUCUGACUUUUGUCAACCCUCUUAUUCCUUUGAUCAUAGAGGUUAAACAUACGGGGCUUAACCCACUUUUCAAUCUCAUUGGAUAUAUGGCAUGUGGUAUCCUCUUCAUCUUGAAAGAGUGAAGUGGUCAUACUCUUUCCUGAGUCCAUCGUGGCCAUGCACUUCUGGCUCAUUGGGCAGAGUGAAAGGAUUCCCUUCUGCUUCAAAUCAUAGAGAGAUAUGCCAUGGUCAGCCUCUUUAAUUUGAAGGAUUGAAGUACUCAAAUCGAUUUCUUUGCAUCCAUCUUAGUCCUGCUUUCAUGUCUCAUGGUUAACCAGGAAGAUCAAGCUUCCAUCCAUGAGAUCAGCAUCUGCAGGGUUAUGACACCACCCUUCCUUGGCAUAGGAAAGCGAUCAUUAAGCCACAUGUCGGAUGACAGAAGUCGUCAUUCAGGUUAUCUUGCGAACUAGGGAAGUUGGAAUUCUAAUUAUUGCAUAUGGUUCUUGAUGUUUAGCCAAUAUACUAUAGGAUUUUAAGCAUCCUGCCCAUGUGCAUUGUGGUUUUUUAUCAGCUAUAUGGUUUACCAAACUGAGGGAUUGAUUAUAGUCAUAAGUACCCUUUUCCCAUUAAUUUCUUGCAUGUGCUUUGCUGAGAUUAUGUUUUUGACAGUGCUAAUCAGGGCAAACCAACAAACAGCUUUAUGUUAACUUUUACAAACUGCCACAUUUUCAGGUUGAACGAUCAGAGAUAAAUCUUGGUGAAACUAGAAGUAAUACAACCUGUGCCGUGGAGAUAAAAGAAAGGGCAGCAGCACUGGUGGCUGCAGAAAUUGAGGCAUGUAGAGACGAUAGAACCCCCAAGAUACCUCUUCAUGAGAAAGUCCAGAAAGAGUGGGCUUGUGCUGUGUGCCAGUUCACAACCCAAACUGAAGCGACCUUCAAUUCCCACCUUCAAGGGAAGAGACAUCAGGCCACUUCUGAGCAGUUGACAGCCAAAAACCAGGCAACCAAAACCAAUUGUUCCCCAUCUGCUUCAAAGGCCAAGAAAUCUGAUCAGUCCACCAAAGAGGAGCAACCGAAGUGUCCUUCCAAC